CUCCCUCUCUCUCGCUCUUCUCGGUCUCCCUCUCUCUCGUUUUUCUUUCUCUUUUAUCUUUCGAUUAUGUAAAUAAAUGGGUUUAAAGAAAAGGGAACUUCCGACGCAUCCUAAAAACGUCAGGAAUAGCACCCUAUUCCCGACGCGAUUAAUGAAUCAUCAGGAAUAAGUAAACCUUUUUUUCGACGUGUUUGACAUCAUGUCAGAGGAAGGCAAAACGGUACAAUUAAUGAUUUUUCCCUCCUCCGACACGACACUGUGGACGUUGAGAAUAGGUAACUUGUUCCCAACGUGUCUGACAUCAUGUCGGAGGAAGGAAAAAUGGUACAAUUAAUGAUAUGCUUCUUCUCCGACGCGGCACUAUGGACGUUGGGAGAACGCGUCUAUGUCUGACGUCGUAAGGGAUGCAUCAGGAAUAGAUACGCUUUUUACCAACGUGUCUGACACCACAUCGAAGAAAAUCUGACGGUAUAUUUAAUUAUCAUGGGUAGUCCAGACGUUCAUGGGUAUGCGUCUGGGAAAAUUGCGUCCCCCGACGUGCAUUGAGAUGUGUCGGGGAACGCCAGCUUCUAUCGAUGUUCAGCUUUCCAACGAUUUGUCGUGUAUCAGAAACUUUUUGAUUUAUUGUAGUGAUGUAUGGGAUGUAUGAUUAUGUGAGUUCAGCCUCAACCUUGGUCAAAGUCAACGGGGCUAACAUGACUUUAGACCAAGUAAUAAACCUUCUUCCUAGACCAUUUUGGACUACCAAAUACUCCUAUUUCGUUGUUUGAUCGAUUUUACCUUUUAAUUAGUCUAAAAUUACCUCAUAACAUACUAAUGAUUAUUAAUAAAAGAUAUUGGAGAUAUCAAUUAAUCUUAAUAUGGACACAAAAUUUUCAAUUUACAGAUGUGUGAAUGGAUAUUUUAGACAUUAUUGCUUCAAACUAGCCUAGCUACAUGAGAUAAUUACAAGACCUUCAGAAAUUUCUUUUACGUUUUAAUACAACUAGAAAAAGUUAUGCAGAGUAACCCUAGUGUAUGAUGGGCAGUGUCACUAAUUGAUAGGCGUAGGCCUCUGAUCUUUAGUCCUAUAAAUUCAGAAGGAUUUUACUUACUAAGAAUGACAUAAUGGUUGCUCAUCAAAACAUGCCUAAGAUUCAAUAGCUAUUAAACUAUACUAAAUGAAAGUAUUGAAAUAAUUUUCCAACUUAUUUUAUAAGCUAAAUUUACAAAGAAUAAUUACCCUAACGUAGGUAGUUGGUGGUUUCAUUUAUGCGCUUUACACAUUUUGAAAUUGGAUAAUAAUGGCCAUAGGUAUUUAUUUCAAUUUUCUCUAAAACUAACCAUUAGUGCCAUUUUCCUAAAAUUAUUAAUGAAAAUUAAUGUGUUCAUGAUGAAAUUGAAAGUAAUGAAAAUCAAGGUAAUUAGAAUUAAAAUCUAACUCACCAAUGUAUUGCAUACCUCAAUCUUAGUCAUCAUAAGUGGAGGUCAACUUAGUUGAGCAAUAAUCAACAUCAUUAAUUUUUAUUUUAUUCUUGAAGUAAAAGAUUUAAUGUUCAUUUCCCAUGUAAUUGUUAUACGAAAGAGAAGUAAUAUAAUUUCAUCGAAAAAGAAUGGUUCUAAUGAAAUAUUGGGUUGAUGUGGACUAAUCAAUAAUUAGGUCUAACACAAUGGUUGUACGUACAUCAUUUAAAUUUAAUAAGUAUUUUAAGGAAAAUUUGAAUGAACCUACACCAAGUAUUAUCAUUUUUUUUCUUCACAAAAGUGCUUAAUUAGGUCUUCUGUUUUUUUAAGAAAUUCAAAAUUAUUAAAACUAAUUUGCAAAAUAGUUUUUUUUUUUUUUUUCUCUUUUUUUAGUUCCACAACCUAUUGAGUAUUAAUUUGGAGUUCAAAUCAUUGGCAGUUAAUUUCUUUUAUUGAAGAUACACAUAUGUUUCAAUUGGUUGGAUGGUAGAUUUAGGAAAGAUAUUGAAUUUAACUACCUAGAUAUAUGGAAACAUUUUUGUAUAAUAUAGCUUACCAUGUAAAUCAUUAUAUUAAUUUCUUUAAUAAACACAUAAACUAAAUAUGUUUGAACACAUAUAAAAUCUAACGUGAUUGGUUUAAAAGUGUUGUCGAACAUAUUAAGUUUCAUCAAAGUAUUAUAACACAACAUUGACAUAAAAUAUGUACCAUCGACCAAUUUCCUCCCUUCCAUUAGUGUUAAACUAAGAAAACCUCGUUUUCAUUUUACUUUAUUUUAAAGUAAAAUACAAACAACUAUUUAUAUAAACUUACGAAAAUAUAAAUUUAAAGUAUAUGGAAAACCAAAAUCUAGAACACUUAUUCAAAGCUAUGCAAUUUCAACAAUCACUCUACAAAAACAUGUUUACAUGACUCUAAAAAUAUGUUAUUACCAUAUUUCGUGACUCUUUUUUAGUCAUGUAGUCACUAACCGGUUGUUGGACAUAUCGUCCAAAAUUUUUAAGAGAUUAUUGUAAUCCAUCUUCCAUCUCCCUUAACCUUAACCUCGUUGCUUUCAUGUAAUUUGUUUUACAACAAACAUAUAUAUAUAUAUAUAUAUAUAUAUAUUUUUGUAGAAAAAAGAAAAGAAAAGAAAAGAAUAAAUGUUUGAAAUAUUAAGGGGAACAUAAUAUUUAGACCUUAAAACAACAUAGUAACGAUGCUAUACAUAUAUAUAUAUAUAAACUAAAAAUGUCAUUAUUUUAUUGCAUAGGGUAUAGAGUAAAAAAUCUCUUCUUCUUUUAUUUUCCCCAGUUCAUGUGUUUUAAAGGGGCAUGGCAUCUCUAUAUAUGAUUGAAAAUAUUAAGUAGAGAGAUCAGCCUAUAAAUCCCUAUUGACAUUCAUCACUUCUCCUUUUACCCAUACUUCCUCUCUCUUUUCCUCUGAGUUUCAUUUACUUCCUCUAUCUCUCUUUAAACAAAAAAAAAAAAAAAAAAAACAUUAAUAUUUCCUUUUUCAGGCAUAAAAAUAAAAUUAAAAAAAAAAAACACACACACACACACCAAUUCUAUUAGUACUACCAUCAUACAUUUAAUAAUUUUCACACAAUAAAAUUACUCCCCUACCUCAUCUCUGUGCUAUAUCUCUUUACACCUAAAAUUAAAAUCCCCCCAUAUGCAUCUCUUCAACCCUUCUUUUUGUGGAAAAUUACCCCUAGAAACUAUAUCCCUUUUUCCACUAUUUCUUUAAAAAUAAAAAAAAACUAUUACAUCACAAAAUAUAAUUAAGUUAACUAUGUCUAGGUGGAAUCAGAAGGUGUACUAAAUUAAAACAUUUUAAUCAGAUGAACAUAUAUGUAACAUUAUCAUCAUACCCCAAUUUUAAAAUCUAAAAGUGAUGCAUUUAGUUGUCAUGUAAAAGAGUUAUGUACAAAUAGGGGAAGAGGAAAACACAAAAUACAAAAGAUUGACAAUUUCUACACCAUAAGCUAGAUAAGGAGGUGAUUCAACUUUCAAUAAAAAUUGAAAAUUUUAAAGAGUAAUUCUAAGUUAUUUUUACUUUCAUACUAAAUCAUAGUUUUUGUUUAUAGUGUGUGUAUAUGUUAUAUUGGGAUUCAUAGAUUCUUUUUUUUAAAAAAAUUAUGUUUAUGGGUAAUUAUAAAAAUAUACAUGUUAGAUAUGAAUUAUUGAUAAUUUUGAAUUUUAUGAAAGAUAGAAACCGAUAAACUUUUAUCAUUGUCUAUCAAUGUCACUUAUAGAAACACUAUCAAUAUUUAUUAUUGAUAAAAUCUGAAACUUUGUUAUAUGUCGUAAAUAUUUUGUCAUAUUUACUGUUUUUGACAAUUUUCUUAUAAAUUAAUCAUAAUUAAUAUCAAACGUAUUUUAAUCCCUUUUUGUUUAAUUAGUUAAAGACCUUAUGUCACUAGAUUGUUAAAAGAAUUAAUACUUUAAAUAUUUAAUAGUAUUUUUAAAAGGGUUAAAAUAACGUUCAUCAUACAUAAAAAUUAGUCUUAAAUGUAACUUCAAUUACUCAAAUAUAGAUAAAUAUUUCAUUCCAGAUUUCAUAUAUCAUCAAAAAUAAUUUUGAAUAAUUAUUAAAUACGUGUUUGAGGGUAAUAAUAAAAAUGUCAAAAGGUAUGGUGAAGCAUUUCAAAAUCAUGACUUUCCAAACAUGUUAUAUGAUAGAUGUAGAUGGAUGAGAUUUCAAAUUAUAUCCCUCUUGUUGGUUUGGUUUGUUUUUAGGGAUUAAUAUCAUAACGAAACCCUAGUAAUUUAGAGGGAAAAUAAAAGGUUAAUAUGGAUGUUUUGUUGAAGAAUCUUCCUUAAAUUUGUAGCCAUGGUAAGUGACAAUCUCCCACGUUUAAGGGCCCCAUUCCCUUUUUACUCUCACACCCAUAGCCACCCACUUUUGUCCUCUCUCUCUCUCUCUCUCUUUCUCCUUCCCUUUGAUCUCUUUCUCAAAUAUCUCAACUAUUUUUACCAGAAGAAAUAAGAUCAUCAACAUACAAAAAAGAAAAAUUUGAGAAGAAGUAGACGAAAUACUAACCCUUAUUGCCCUUAUUGAUCUUCCAAUACUGCAUGACCUUCAACCUCUCUCACACUCCAUCUUCAUAUCUCUCUCCCUUUUGAAUAUCAACCCCUAAACCUAAAAAUCGAUCACAAUUAUAUUUUCAAACCAAGGAAGAAGGAAAAUGAUGAAAGAUCUUUAAUGGGUAGCAGAGUUCUUUGAGAGUUUCAUUUCACAUUUCCAAAAUCCUAAAGGAAAGAAGAAAAUGGGAUCUUCAAACUAUAAUCUCAACCCUUUUCAUUGUUUUCCUUCUUCUACUUCUUCCACUACUAAUUCCUACAAUCUCCCUCCCUCCAUUCCUUCACUUCUCAACUCUGACCCUUCAUCCAGCAACACUUCGACUAUCAACUUCCAUCACCAACCCCAUCAAGAUCCACUCUCAUUUCUAGCUCCCUAUUUUCCCAUUGCUCAUUUCUCCGCGUUGGCACCUCCCGAAACGGCCGUGAUCAAUUUUGCAGUAGCAGGGAACAACAUUCAAGCUCUCGGUGAUAUGGUUAUCCCGAGCGCUCCUGGAGCAGGGACAACGGGGAUGGGGAAGAAGGAUCGGCAUAGCAAGAUUUAUACAGCUCAGGGUUUGCGCGAUCGAAGAGUGAGAUUGUCCAUUGAUAUAGCUCGCAAGUUCUUUGAUUUGCAAGACAUGUUAGGGUACGAUAAAGCAAGCAAAACCCUAGAGUGGCUUUUUAGCAAAUCCAAAAAAGCAAUUAAAGAGCUUUCAAGGACCAAGAGUGGAAAUCUUGGGGUUCAUGGAGGGGCUAAAAAAUUUUCUUUGGUAGCUGAUUCUUCUGAUGUUGAAGAAGAAUAUGAUGAUGAUAAAGAAGGAUGGGAGCUGAAGAUGAAAUCAAUGUUGAGCAUUGAUGAACAAGAGAAAGUGAGUAAAGAGAAAGUUGAAGGUUUUAAUCUUCUUGCUAAAGAAUCAAGAGCCAAAGCCAGAGCAAGAGCCAGAGAGAGAACCAUGGAGAAGAAGCAAGUUGACAACAGGAAAGUUUACGGUCAUCAGAAGGGCGGCGCCCAAGAAGUUUCGAAUCAUUGGAGUAAGCAUUUGAAUCAUAGCACUGAAACUUCAAAUCUGUCAAUGGAGGAAUCCUCGUUCAUUAACAAGAGAAAGAUCAUUUAUUCUAAGAAGUUCAUCAACCACGACAACUACAGUGAUAAAUCGCGUCGAGAUGACGAGAAUGCCGAAACCUCUCAACGGAAGCUUUUGGAUCAGAUGAAGGCUUCAAAGAGGAAAUGGAAACCUUCCAUUAUUUCUGGUUCUUCUCAAAGAAAUUUUCUCAUCUCCAUUGACGGUAUUCCCAUUAACUUAACUCAAAAUUUGGAUACCAAUAGCAACCCCAAUUAUCCUAUUGCCAAGUAAAAUUUUAUUAACAGGUAAUUUCAACCAUCAAAGGCUUUAGAUUUUUUAUUUUUUCCCCCUAAAAAAUUGAUGAAUAUUUUGUUUUUGUGUUUCGGUUUCUUUUUUUUUUUCUUUUCUUUUUUUUUUCUUUUUUGGCAGUUUUACAAAUCAAGGGUGGAAUGCAGUCAACAAUGUCAAAACGUGGCCUGUUUUAGAUUGGUUUUUCUUCAACUACUACUUGAAUGUUCUUUUAGAUUUAUGAUAUUAUAACAAUUAAAGACUGAUGAUUAAGUUUUUUCUUGCUUUAUUAUAAUCACUAAAUCAUGUUCGAUCCAUUAUAUCAUUUUUCUUUAGUAUAUCCAAAUAUAUAUUGUGUCUUUGUCUCAUGGAUAUUCUUCAAAUAAUAUUAAUUUAUAGUUUUGGCUGCCAAAUUGAGAGUUGGAUUUUUUGUGAAUAUCGAUGCUACAUUGCUAUUGGCGAUUGACAUACAUGUGAAUGUUAGGCAUGUAUGAUAUUAAUUUUCGAAUGUCUAAAAUCACUCCUGCUAAAACAUCAUUCAUAGCAUUAUAAUGCUUUUUUAAGUUUAAAACCAAAUAGUAAAUUGUUUCGGAAUGAUAUUGUUUCAGAGUAAUUGUACUAAUUUUAAUUAAAAUCAUUUCCAAACCUUUCCUUUUUUAAGAUCUUUCGAUAGAUUUGGUCUUCAUACAUAUGAGUUUACCAAUCAUAUGUAAUAGUUUAAGGUUUAAUGGUGAUUUAAAUAAUAUCAUAUAUAUUAUGAGGAGAGAUCCCCAAUCAGCUCACAAAUGUGGGAAGAUAUCAUAUAUUUGGUUCUCUUAAUUGUACUAGAUCUACGGUUUUUGUAACUAUGAUAUCACUAUCAUCAUUUAAAAUAGGAAGGAUUUUUCUCUAAUUUUCUGCCUAUUUUGUUCUUCAUUGUUCGUAAUAGCAUGUCCUCUCUUGCAUUUUUCCUCACAUGGCAAUAAAUCUCUUCUUUAUCGGCUUGAAAUCUAAUGAAUAUGCUAUGAAGUGUUAAUUUAAUUAGUUUGAGAUGUUAUGGUAUCGAUUACAAAAUCUCUUUCGUCUUUUGGCGAUUUGUUAAAAGAUAGGAUGGGAGAGGCCUGUAUGUUUUAAUUUUUUGUUUUUAUUUUUUUAACUUAUGAGUUAUAAUUUAGAAAGGUAUUAUUUGAAUGGGAUGGAGCUUAUGAUUAUCAAAUCAAACUUUAAUUUCAACUCUAGCUAAGUAAUGAUUUAUUCAUUAAUUGCUUCUAGAAUUUUGUGCUAUUGCUUUAGAGUAUUGAUUUGUUGUCUUCUAGUCCACACGAUGGAUUAUAACUCAUUGAUUGUCGCUCUUUACAUGAUUACAGAACUGCUUUAUUUAUGUAACCCUUUUCGAAUUUCCUUUUACAUACGUAGUAAAGUAUAUUGGUUUACUAAAAGAUUAGGAUAAUGAUACAUUUAAAUACUGAUGCAGUAAAAUGCUUCAAAAUAGGCGUUUUCAAAUACAUAAUACAAAUAAAUUAAAGACAGAAUAGUUUAUUAUAAGAAAUUAAUUAUAAAAGUGGGUUGAUCAUAUCAUGGAGAAUACAAAGUAAAAUAAGAAAAGCUCUCUCAAAAAGCUUUUGUAAAGAUGUUUGAAAAUGAAAGUAAAAGUGAACAUAACUGACUCUGUGGGAAACAAAAUAUGAUUGACAUGAAGCAUUAGCAACCCUAGCCAUCCCCCUUUUUUUUGUUUGUAGUUUUACAAUAUUUAUCCACUAAAAUUUUGUUUAGUUUUUACACCAAAAAAAUAUCAUAUAUUGGAUUACUAGUCUGUUAAAUAUGAUAUAGUAUGCAAUAUAAAGAAUUAUACAGUGGGUUAAACUACUUACAUAUGCACAAUUAGAAAUGAGGUUUAAUUGGACAACUUUUUAAAUUUUAGUUUGAUUUUUAGACAUGAAACCUGAGUCAUUUUUCCAAACUACACAACUGCAAAUGGUAUAUAACCAAACUUAAAUUAGUUUACUUAGCUUGAGUAAGCACUUGGUAAAAUUGAUGGAGUCAAAAUUUGAAUAAAAAGACAUGGCGAUUGAACUUUCUUUUUAAUUGUCCUAUGUUAACGUAGUGAAUGUGUGGAUUUGGACUUUUAGGACAUGUGCAUUAACAAUAGUUUGACUCAUGGAAAAGAGUUGAGAUCAAACACUUUCACAUGUGUUAUUAAAAACCAUAAUUAAAUUAAUCAUUUUGUACAUCUUUUGUAUGGUAAUUAAAAGAGGGUAGAGUAAAUCUACGUUAAAAGUAUCGUUUGGACUCAUCUACUUUUAAGUUUUAUUUUACUUUAGAACAUAUGCAUUCAAACAUUCAAAUUCUUAAUCCACUUCAAAUAAAAUGAGUCCUUACUAAGUUAAUUUUUUAAAAAACUCAAAAUAUAAUUUUAACAUAAGCAAAAUGUUACAAUGUAAACAUGUUUUUCUCAAAAUUUAUAAAGAGAAAUGGUAAUAAAAUGGAUAUUGGGUAGGAGUUUGUUAGAGGACUAGGAAUAGUGUAUGUGUUCAAAAUCUAUAUUGACAACCUUUUUAAUUAAGAUUUGAUAUAUAUAUAUAGUAUGAGUUUUUCUCACAACCAAAUAUUAUAAGUUAGUAUAAUAGAAGUAGUAAGUAGUAAAAUUUUAAGAAGAGAGAGAGAGAGAGAUGAAUGAUAUAAAAGAUGAUUAGUAGAGAAUAAAUAAAGAUGAUGAUUAGAGAAAGUGAGAAAUAGAUAAAUGGAAUAUAAAGAAGAAGAAAGAAAAGAGUGAUCUGAAUGGAUUAGAGAGAGGUAGGGGUAUAGGGAGAGGAAUAGAGGUAAUGUGGCCAUUCAAAUUUCCGUAUUCUGUUUUGCUAAAAAGUCCUUUCAACCCACACCCCACACCCCACACCCCACCCCCCCAUUUUAAAGCAAAUAUAUAAUAUAUUCCCACAUACGUACCUCUUCAAUCGCUUCCAAAUUUGCAAUCCCUCUACCCCUACCUUUCAAAUAAUAUUCACCCCACCCAUUGCAUCAUAAUUCAACUACCAUCAAUUUUUACUCACACAAUUUUCAUACCAAUUUUCUUUAUUUGUAUUUUGAAAAGAAAAAUAUAUUUUUUUUAAAAAAAAAGAAUGAACGACAAUAACGUGAGUUAUCAAUUUAAUUUCAUGAGAAAAUUUAAUUUUCAUCUUAUCCAAUUUUCUAAUUUUAUUGAAUCACAUGUUCAAAUUAGGGUUGUGUAAUAGUUGGAAGAUUAGAUUUUAUAUUAUCAUGUGAGAAAAUUAUUUUUAUCAUUGAUUUCAUAUUAUAAUAGGCUAAAAUUAAAUAACUUUUAGAUUUUUAGUUGCUUUAUCCAUGAAGAGGUUAUAUGAAAAUGAAUUUAAAUGUUGAUUGCAUUUUUAAAUAGAUAAAAGAUUUAAGAGUGUGUUUGAGGCUUCAACUUAAAAUGGAUUGAGUAGUCCGUAACAGCACCCUUCAAGCUUUUGGAGUGUGUUAUGAAAAUGGAGAAAAUAAUGUUAUUUUGAAUCGUUUUAGUAUGGUUUGUGAUUCUGAUGGUCGUUCUUGUUCGACGUUACUAUGCUUUGCUACAUGGUUUGUUUUAUUAAUCAAAGGGGAAGAUUGUUAAAUUUUUCUGUCUUGGAUUAUAUUAGCAACAAUAUGUUCUAUGACACUGUUACAUGCUGGGCAGUGGGUUUUGUAGGAUAUUUUUUUUCCUUAAUUUAUCAGCGUGACUUUGCAACUUUCAUGGUUUGUUUUUAUUGUUUACAGAGAUGAUUUAUUCCUUCCUUGAAUAUCUUUCCAAACCUCUAGCCAUAUAUAGUGUGUGGUCUUUAAUUUUAGGGUUAGUGGCCUUUUAUUUACAAAAAAGAAAAAUGUGCACUUAGGGUUUCAAGCUUAGGGAUUAUUGUGUGAGCCCCAACAUUCAUUUUUGUAAUAAAACCUUUUUGUUUUUUUCUUUUGGAAUUGUUUCAACAGAAUUUGGUUACUGAUCCUUCUGUCUCACUGUAUUUUUAGUGUUAGUUCUUUGAUAUUACUCUAUUUGUAUAGUUGGUUAUCUGGUUACCAACAUCAAGCUUAUCUACUUUAAUUAUUUCAACUAAUCUAAUUAAAACCACUACAAACAACAAAUUAGCCUAUAGGAAGAAUAAACACUAAUCUUAUAUACAUAGAAUGACCCAGACAAAAUGGAGUGAACAGAUACCCAAUUAUGAAUUGUUUGGAUUCUAACCGUAAUUGUUUGACUAAAUAAAGAAAAACAUAUACAUAGAGCAUAUAAAGGGAAAAAAAGAAAGAAAAAAAGCAAAUCCACCGAUGGUAUUUUCUUUCACGGACUCCCAGGAAACAAACAGAAAAUUGGAGCAGUAGGAAUCAGACAAUGGUCGUAUAUAUCCAUCCCUUAUUAUAAUUAUACCUUUUCAUACGAUGUCUUAUUCUCUCAAAUUCCAUUUAUAUUCAUGUUAUUCACCAAACCCCCUUCCUCUGAAAACAAAUUUAAUUGAGGACUAUCUUCAAUAACAAAUAAGUAAAAUAAUACUAAUACUAUGGUUCAAUGAUAUCAAACCAUGCAGACAUGUAAAAGCAACAUAAUAUGUGCCCUAUCUAAUUUUUUUCCAUAUAUCAGCCCUCAUAUAUAUAUGUGUGUGUGUGUGUGUUAAAUUAUAAUUUUGAGUUUUUCUUAAGUAGGAACCAUACACGAGACCCACUAUUUUAUGUAAGAGUCUCAUUAAGAAUAAUAUGAAGAUGUUAUAUGGAACAUAUUUAUUAAUCAAAAGAACGACUUGAAGAAGAUGUAUAAAAGGUGCAAUAGUAUACGUGGUUUUGUUGUCCACUCAAGAGUUAGUGAUAAAAAUGCUUACAAUUAACAAAGUUUUCGACAACCAAUUAUUAUGGAAGAUAUCAAUAUUAAGAUUAGGUUGGUUGUUAUCUUAGUUUUUUAAAUCAAUCCGUGGGUUUUGUAUACUGAUGAGAUGUUUCUAAAUAUUAACAUCUUUUUACUUUUAGAUGGGAUCAGUUUGAUAAUGAUAGAUUUUGAGUUUUAAAUUAAUUGUGUUAAGCAAUUUUGUAAAUUUAAAGUAAACGUCGAGAAUUGAACAUAAAAUAUAAACAAAAUUAAGUUUGUGUAAUUAAUACUAAAACAAAAUUGAAAUAAUGAAGGUCUGACACAAAAUCAUUAUCUUUCUCUUUCUUUCAACUCAGAGAGACUUUAUCUUUCUCUCCAUUAAAUGUAAGUCAAAGUGCAGAAGCUAUAUAUAUAUAGUGUAGUGAUUAAAAAUAGGAAAUGGAAUAUAUAUAUAUAUGUAUGUAUAUGUUUUAUUAUUUCUCAGGUUUCUUUUCCUAUAUAUAUAGGGAAUUGGGGCAGGGUUUAAUUUUAGGGAGUUGGAGCAUAAUUUUCUAAAAAAAUGGUUUCUUAUAUAUCUAUGUUCUCCAGGUGUGGUCAUGAAAGACAUCAGCAAAAUUUAAAAUCAUAGCAGUACCACCUUCACAUAUUUAAAAUCAUAGCAGUAGCUCUACUCUGGCAAAAAAAAAAAAUAAAUUUUAAAAAAUAUUUAAAACAUAUAACAAAAUUUGAGAUUAUAUCAAUAAUAGACAUUGAUAUGUAAUAAUAUCUUAGAGAGUAGUAGAAACCUAUCAAUUUCUAUCAAUCUAAAAUUUUGCUAUAAUUUAUAAAUAAUUAAAUUUAUUUUAUUAUUUUUAAAAAUAUCCCUAUAUAACAAUUUAUACAUAUUUUGUUUUAGUCUAAAAUAUAAAAGAUAUCUUUAAACUUUGUAUCUUGUGUCGUGUUAAAAUUAAUUGUAAAUUUUCAAAAGUUUAAAAAAUGUUUUUAAGCUUUUAGUUUUAGGGUUUUUAGUCAUAAAUUUGUGUUAGAGGAUUUCGACCAUCCUAUCUAAAAUUUAUGUUGAAAUUUUGUAAAUAAAUAUCACAAUUGUUACUUUAUAAGAAAAUAAAACGAUGAAAAUUGAGAUUUUAAUUUAAGAGUGUAAAGACAAAAAUUAACCAAAAUUAAAAUGACAAAAAGUAAGUAUUUUUAAAAUACUAAAACAAAAAUAUUGAAGUAAAAUUUGAAGUUGAAAUCAUUUAAUUAGACCUCACAAUUGGAUAAAUAAAUGCCUCCUGCCUACUGUCUAGCAACAAAUAUAUAUAUAUAUAUAUAGAUAUAUAUCUAUAUAUAUAUAUUAUAUAAUAGUUAAAGUUAAAGUUAUAAUUGAAACCAAAAUAAUGAAAAUGAAAAUAAACAAUUCACAAUUAUUUACCUAAUUCAUUCUUACUAUUAUUUUAAACUAAAACUUUAAUUAUAAUAACAAAUUUUUUACUCACCAUUUACUAUCUUCUCCGUCAAUCUCAAAACAAAAAUCACUCCAACUAAUCUCCAACAUUACCUGGAAAUGAUUUUAUAAUGCAAAAUAAUUUUGACAAUUAGAAAAAUAAUGUGAUUUUAACUAUCUCAAAAUGAUCACUUCCAAAACACUUUGUUUAGGUUCCUCCUAAGUUAGAGUUAGAGAACUUUUUCUCAACUAAUGAUGAAGUAUUAGGCUCCCCUCAACACCAAAGAACAAUCUUCUCAUGAAGCUCAUACUUCAACAACGAUCACAAGUACAAGUUUAAGAUCAACAAUAUUACUGAUUCUAAAUUAUAUUCACCGGUACACAUCUAUCCACCUCAAAAUAAAACUCUUCAAACAAAACACUAAAGCAAAAGCCUGCUCUUGAAAAAAUAAACAGCAAAAAAAGUAUAUAAUUAUAUACUCCAUUCAAAUAUGAAUAAUGACAAAAACCAACAAAAACACAACACCAAAACAGUGAUGUAUAAAUUUAAGAGAAGGUGAGGUGUAAUAUAAAAAAGAAUAUAUCAUAAACCUAAAUUCCUUAAAAUAAACAUCUCAUAAACCUAAACACAUGAGACAUUUUCAGGACCCUUCUCCAUUUUUCUCUUGCUCUCUUUCAUCUUCAAGUCUUAAGCCAUUUUUCGGUCUAAUUUAAGUUAAAGAUAAACCAGAACAUCAAUUGCAAACAUAAGUACAUCCAAAUAUUUAUUUGUUUUCAUUUAAAAUUAAUUUUAUUUUAAUAUAUUAUUUUAUAUAUCUUUUAUGACAACAAAUAACUGUCGCGAAAAGUGUUAUUCGAAAAAUUAUGUUUUCUUGUCAAAAACGUAGAUUUUUACCUUUUGUGACAGUUUUUUUCCUCCUUUUAAUUUUGAAAUGUACACAACUGUCGUAAUAGAUAGUUUGUGUUAUAGUGAAAGAAUGUAGGCUUUAAUCUAUAGUACAAUAUGAACAACAUAUAUUACAAAAAAAUGCAAAAAUGGAAGGAACGAAUAGUGGAUUGAAAUACAAGUUAGGGGAAAAUAGGGUAUGACUCUUCUCAUUUCAAAAUCUAAGCUUUCGCGUUACACUCUUAUAAAAAAAGAUGAGGUAUUGUACAUCUAAUGGCUAGGCUAUUUCUUGCCACUAACUCUCUAGGUUUUUACCGCACAGAGCCUAUUUUUGGUCCAUGAAGGCCUCUCUUGUGUGUGUGUGCGGUCCAUUCAGACCUCCUCUACUUGGUGAAGAUGAAGUGCUUUUAUAGGCAGUUUAGGCAAGAAGCCUCUCUUCUUUUAAUCUUGUCAGCGCCAUCUUCGGUCCUAUGAAGUCACAUCACUCCAACUACCAUCAUUGUUUUGUAGUGAGUGUUUCUCACAUGAUAAAAUGGUUCCUCGCCUAGAGGUGUUAAUUGAUAGGUGAGCUUCCAUCGUGUGAUCUAUGCACGAGGUGGCUUUUGUUGUUUGCUCCUUUCUUCUUGUUUACUUAUCAUGCAUUUAAACAUGAUAAUCGUGUAAAACAGGCAAGAUGCUUAUGUAAGUUGUAUUUUUAAAUACUUACGUGUUUACAACAUAAGUUACACGUUUUGAUCAUCUUCUUAUGCGUUUUGACCUUAUUAUUCAAAUAAAAUGGGCUAUAACAAUGGACAUUUAUGCGUAUUAUCACACAACAAGAAUAAGGCAUCCCACACCAGAACACACAGCAAGUGUGAGGCAUUACGUCGCAUAGGGUACAAAAGAUCAUUUCAUUUCGAACUUUAUCAAAUCUCAUGUAUUCUCCAUAAUACAUCAUUUCACCACAUCAUUCCAGCUCAUAGUAAGUCCAAUUCAUUUAUAAGUCAUAUGCAGUUUAAUAAUUGGAAAGCAUAAGAGAAAUCAUAUAGUUUAUGGUCUCAACAGAAAUAUAUUUAAGGAUUCAAACAUAUUUUAGAAAUCCUUUUCAUUUUGAAAACAUUUUAUUAGAAGAACCACUCACACACAACAGUCAAGUAGCUUUUUCCCCAGCUCCUAAGCCAAGAAUUACCUUGCAACUUCUUGUCGAUAUUCAAGCUUUCGAGAAUUUUUUAAAUCUUGGAAUUUUUCUCAAUUCUUUCUUAACUCAACACAUGAUAAAAGCAGCUUCAAAAUGGUCGGGCUUCAUCUAUUUAUAGGCCUCUUCGGUGACAUUUUUCAUAUAGAAAUGAUGACUUCUGUCAUCGGCAAGAAUGGUUCGAUCACAAGACUCCAUGUGUCUCUCCAAAUCCUUAUCCUCGAUUCAGUUGGGUGACAAGGUCAAAUCAAUCACUGACCUACUGCUACGCUACUACUUCCUGGUGAAGUAAGCUCAAAAUGCCUAACAGUUCGCUACGUUCUAUUUCCAAUAAACAUCCUUCAUCGUGUAGCCUCCUCACAAAAUGCGAGUUACUUUUAAAUGAUAGUCUCAUCGACAUACUUACUAUUCCUUCUGCAUGGAAAAACAUAAUCCAAGUCUCACAUGUUGUGGUCGUGGAAGCUCGUUUGGUGGAAAAUAAAUCUGAUUGGUUACUAAAUACUAGAGCAUCGAGGCACUUGUGCUCAAAUCGAGAGUUGUUUCAUGAUUUCCAAAAUAUAGCCAACAACGAAUGUGUGUUCAUAGGUAAGUCUGCAAUUGCAAAGGUACUUGAAAAAUGGAAUAUUCUCUUAAAACUAACUUCUGGAAAAACUUUAUCCUUAAGUGAUGUUCUAGAUAUAGCUUCUUUACGUAGAAACAUAGUGUGUAGUAGUUUGUUGAAUCGGGCUGGGCUUAAAAUUGCACUAGAGGUUGGUAAGGUUAUUCUAAAAAAAUAAUGACUUUGUUGGUAAGAGAUAUCUAGCUGAUGAUCUUUUUGUUUUGAACAUCAUGAAGGUUGCUUCUAAGAUUAAUAAAAUUAGUUUGAGUUCUACUUAUAUCGUUGAAUCAAUUAAUUUUUAGUGUGGUAGAUUAAGUCAUGUAAAAAAAUCUUAAAAUACUAAAUCUCAAUAUUCAUCUAAAUCACAUGAAAAUGAUAAAUGUUUUGUAUGUGUAGAAGCCUUUGCAAUAAAAAAAAAAAAAGAAAAACCUUUAAAAUCUGUCACUACUAGAAGCACUUAAUCACUCCAAUUAAUUCAUAUUGAUUUAGCUAAUUUCAAAAACAUUUUAAAUUGUAAAUGAGGUAAAAAUUAUUAUAUCUCCUUUGUUGAUGAUUUUUCUAAAUGUACAAAAAUUUAGCUAAUUAAUCUUUUAAAUGUACAAAAAUUAGUAGUAUGUUUUUAAAUAUAAAAUAAAAGUAGAGAAUCAAUUAGAUAAGAAGAUUAAAAGUGUUACAUUUUGUCCCAAUUUUCUCUAUGCAAUGGAAUGAAAACGUGACUGUCUAGACAUACGACGCAAGAUUCUCCAUAUAGUAACGAAUGGAACGACUAGUAAGUAGAACUAAGAACAUUCGCAAGAGUUUAAACACAAAAUGUGUACAUAGAUAAAUUUCGAGAACUUCGUUGAUACUUCAAAAAAAAGUACAUUUAGGACUUGUACAACGAUCAAUAUAGCAAUUCUAGCAUCAAUCAAAAUGACACUCAAACUUUCCUCGCCUAGCUACUCUAUGUGAUGCGAAUAAGCAGUGGUCACUACCAAGAUGAUGCAAUAAGGAGAAACAGUAGGAGAUAAAGACUGCAAGUUUAACGUUGGAUGUUCUUCGUUACCUAAAGAGGAUAAAACAAAACAUUUGAAAGGUUAGACAAAACAUCUAGUGAGUGAGAUCUUUAACAAAUACCUUAAAUAACUAGAUUGGCCUUAAUGCGACAAAUCCAUUUUAAUUAAUCAUAUUGAAACAACCCCUUUUUAAAGUCUUUCACUAUAACUCAUGGAAAUCAUUUCUUUUCCGUUAUUUCAUCAUAAUUCAUAUCGUGUCGUAUACAUUAUUUGUAUGAUAUACUCAUUUCGUAGAAUCAUCAUGUAUGUUUAAUUACAUCUUUGUACCCCUUUCCUUAGCUCAAGCGUUUACUACACUCUUUUGCCAAGUUGCAUCUAUUCAAAGUAAUCUCAACACAUUUAGCAAGUUUCAUCAAUUCUACUAUACAUAACGAAUAUUCCAAUGCCAGAUCACAUAACAAGCAAAGGGCAUCCCAUGCCAGAUCAUACAAUACGUAUGAGGCAUCCUAUUCAAGAUUACAUAGCAUGAAUAGGGCAUUCUAUUCCAAAUUACACGGCAAGAAUAGAGCACCUUAUCCCAAAUCACACAGCAAGGAUAAGGCAUCUCAUAUCAGAUCAUACAGCAAGGAUAAAACAUCUCAUACCAGAUCACACAGUAGGCAUGAGGCAUUCUCAUCGCAUAGAGUACAAAAGAUCAUCUCGUUUUCAAAUUUACACUACAAGAAAUUGCAUUUUUAGUGGCGGACCAAAACAGUCACUAAAACACAAAAACACGUCACUAAACGUUUUAGGGAUGCAAAGUCAUUCGUCGUUAGAACUGUCAUUAAAUCCACGCUGCUAAAAGUUUUAGCGACGCAUAAAUUACGCGUCACAAAAGAUAUAUUUUUAGUGACGUUUCCACGUUAGCAAAAGCUUACUUUUAGUAACAUAUGUUGUCACUAUUUAUUUUUUAUAGUGAUGCAUUGCACUCGCCACUAAAGGUAAUGUUUUACUCACGAAUAAUGUUGUUGCUGAAGUUUAAUUUGGAACCGUUACAAACACCUUUUGCGACGUAUUGAAGUGUGCCACUAAAAUUUCCUACAAUUUUUUUUUAAAAAAAAAACCAAUGUGAUAACGUGUAGAAAUAUCCGUUAUUAUAGCCUCUUAUACAGAAUAACGAGGCCAAAAUGCAUAAGAAGAAGGCCAAAAUGCGUAGCUUAUAUUGCAAACAGUAAGUAUUCAUCAAUAUACUUUACAUAAGUGUUAUACCUGUUUUACGUGGUUUUCAGUGUUUAAACGCAGAGCUAUGAACAUAAGAAUUCAUCAAUAUACUUGUUUUACGUAAGUAUUCAUCAUUAUAGCCUCUUAUAUUGCAAAUACGUAAGUAUUCAUCAAUAUACUUUACAGAAACAUUAUACCUGUUUUACGUGGUUUUUAGUGUCUAAACGCAGGGCUAUGAACAAAAAAGAAGUUGGCAAAUUAUAGAAUCUUUCACAAGAAGACCAAAUCACAAAGUAAGAAGCAGCUUGCCAGACGACAAGAAUGGCAGUUUGAGAUGAUGUGACUUGCUACAGACAACUUUCAACGGUUGGCACUGACAUGUUCAAAGGAAUAGCAAUUUUCCGUUGAAAAUUACCUAUAAAAAGUCUCCUUCACCAAGAAAAGCACGCUUGAAUGAGUCAUUUUCAGAUAUCUAUUAUCUUUUAUGGUGCCUGAACGGGCCAAAGCCUAGAGAAUGAGAGGGAAAGGAAUAGCCUUUCUGCCAUCUGUAAAGAGUGGUUUUCUUCUUCUUCUCUGAUCAUACUGUAAAUGAGAGCAUAGAGUCUAAGUGGUGAAGGUUCUAUUUCCCAUUCCCCCUAACUUGUAUAUUCUUUCUCAUUCUUCUGUCUUUAAUUUGUGUAUUCUUUGUGUAAUAUUUAUAUUGUUCAUAUUGUAUAAUGGCUGAAGGCCUACAUUCUAUAUAUAUAUAUAUAUAUUACAUGUUUAUACAUUUUCAAUCCAUCAUGUCUCUAUUUUUCAUCAGUCAACGUGUUAUUGAUAGGUUAAGUUAGUGAUAAGUUCUUGAUAGAAAGUUUCACUUAUCAGUCUUAUCACGUUAGUUGAGCUAUACUCAUCGCUUGGCCAGUGUAAUUCGCCAACUACUCGAGAGGGUAAAUACCAAGGACAUGGCUAACGUGCGCAAGAAAGAGUUUUCUCUUCCUUUUUUAGAUAACUUUCAUCACUUGUAUCCCAAAAGAUGAAAAAGUAUGAACACCAGGGGCCAAGAGGCUGUUGUCCUUAAUCACGAAGUUUUAUACGUCUCAUAAGUGAACUCUUCUAGAUAUAUCUCACCUAAUCACCCUUAGUCAUAUGGAUCCCGAAAGGUGACCAUGUAUGGCGUUUAAAGACUUUGAGAGGAUCACGUAUUAAUCAUAAAAUGGUUGAGUAAGUUGUAUCACAUGAAGGCUAUUGCAUUGCUUAAUCAUAUUAUAAUGCAUAGACAUUCUUUCACUCUUUCUCUCAUACAAGUUAGUUCACAUAUUUAUCUCGCAUCCAUUUCCACCCCUUUAUAGAUUCUCUAGGCGUAUUUAAGUAGUGUUAUUUUUAGUAUUAUUCUUUUAUAUGUUAAUUAUUUAUUAUUUUAUACCGCCUAAUUGAGAAGUAGAUUCUAGAACUAAGAUUUGAUAUCAAUUCCUUGUGUUUGACUCUGGAUCACCAAGAUAAACCUAUUACUUCGCUUAUAUUUGAGCAAGCAGUAGGAAAACUUGUACUCAACGAGGACUCAAUAAUUAUGCGAUGAAGAGGUAUAUAGUGACUACUUUGUAUACAGUGAUCAUGACCAAUAACUUAUCGCAUAGAACUAAUUGCGUACUUAGGUAGUACUGAGCCCCCGAAUGGAACUGCGAAGAAGGGCAACUCCAUCCGUUGUUACGAAGAGAGUGAUCACAAACACUCUAUACGAACCACAAUGCUUUUAAAAUUAUUUUAUUAUAUAAAAAUAAUAUCUAAUUUAUUAUAUAAACCUAUUAUAAAAUAUCAAAUAUAAUUAUAUUGCAUCUAUGUUGCAGUCCAACAAUUAUCACAUCUCAUAUACUCUCCUCACACCGUUUCAACAAUAAGUCCAAUUCAUUUAUAAGUUAUAUGCAUUUUAAGGAUUUGAAAACAUAAGAGAAAUCAUAAAGAUUAUGGACUUGAUAGAAAUGGAUUUAAGGAUUUAAAUACGUUUUAGAAAUCUUUUUUAUUUUGGAAACAUUUAUAAGAAAAAUCACUCACUGUUACAAUCAAUUUGCUCUUCCUCCUAACUUCCUCGGUCAAGAGACUCCUUGCACAUCUUGAAAUCCUUGUUGAAAAUAACUUCAUUCUGUUUCUUUGAAAUCGUGAAUACUUCCUCGAUCCUUUCUUAAACAAUAUCAGGGUAUAAGAAACUUCAAAUUAACCUGGAUUUCUUCUAUUUAUAGGUCUCCCUUAAUGAAUUUUUUCAUAACGAAAUUAUUACCCUUAUCGGCUGUGAGAAGUGACCCAAUCUCAAAAUGUCACAUGUUCCUAUCCAACCCUUAUCCUAAACUUUGAUUGGGCGACAGGGUCCAAUCAAUUACCAAUCUAUUGACAUCAAGGUCGCAUCAUUGUUUCUCGAUGAAGUAGCUCAGCUUGCACUGUUGUUCAUCAUGUAACCUUUUUUACGUAAAGACCUUCCAUUGCCUACUCUUACGUAAAACGUGUUUUGCCAACAUAAGUUUUUUUGCACAAUAUCCAUACCGUAGGGCCUUCAUUGGGUUGGUGGUACGUGAUCACAACCUUACAAAAAGAUUAAGGUCAGAUAAAGUUGGAGAAGAUAGAGAAAACUUUCUUAAAGAAUUUUGUGAGUUACACCUUAUUCUUCAAAACAAAAUGGUAUAACAUAACAUAAAAUAAAAUUAUUAAGAAAAUGAUGAAUGUUAUGCUUUUAAGUUUUGGAUUAUCUAACAACAUACGAGGUAAACAUGCACAGUCUACCUAUUUUAUUCUUAAAAGAGUUCCUCACAAAAGACUGGAAAAAACACCAUAGCAUUGAUCCUUCGCACCUUUCAGUCGUUUGGAGGCUCUUUGAAUUGGAAGAGCAAAGAAUAUUGCGAAAAAGAAGGUUACACACCUAAUCUCAACUACAUGAGAGAGUGUAAGGGUGUUUAGCUAAGGUAGUAAACCCUGUAUUCAAGAAAUCUAUGAUAGGAUAUAAAAUUUUUUACUGUGUUUAUCGAUUGUGCUCAAAACAGUGUUGCUUCUAGAUUUAUAUGCUUGAAUGAUAAAUUCAUACGUGAAUAUGGAGAUGUUGAACUCUUUGAGCACAUUUUUCCUUUUAAAAAGGGAAAAUUUGAAUCUUUUAGAAUGUCUAACCAUGAAAAUGUAUGCAUUUGGCCCAUUACGUACUUUGUCUAGUAGUAUACAUAAAGCUGAAGAUGUUAGUACUUCUUAAAAAAAAAGAAUGAAAUAAAACCUAGAAAAAGUAAGAGACGGAGAAUUGAGAAAAAAAUUUGUAUGGGUUUUUCUACUACCUUUUUAGUUGAAAGGCCAAAUGAAUUGACUAUCAGUUUGCAGGUAUGUGUCUAAUAGAUGAGGAUCCUAAAACCUAUCAAGAGGCGUUAGGCUUUCUAGACUCAAGUUUUUGGAAGGAAGCAAUUAAGAGUGGAUUAGAUUCACUUACCAUGAAUCAAACUUGGGAGUUGGUAGAUCUUCCUAAAGAUAGUAAAUCUAUAAGAUGCAAAUGGAUCUUUACAAAAAAAACAAUACAUGACAGAUUGAUUUGAAAGGUACAAAGCUAGGUUAGUAGUAGUAGGAUACAUUAAAAAAAUAAGUUAUUGAUUACUUUUGUAGGUCUAGAAAAUAAAGUGUGCAAGCUUAAAAAAUCUUUUUAUGAUAUAAAAAAAACUCCCAAAUAAUGAAUGAAAAGUUUAAUAAAACUCUAGUAAACAAUGUGAAACGAAUUGAAGAGUGAAUCAAGAAAUCAUAAUUGAAGUAAAUGAAAAAGUUGAAGAGAUGAAAUGCUUGAAAGUUGAAGAGUUCCUUGAACAUCCCAAAAGUCAUAAAAUUAAAAGGAAUUAUGCAUUUGUGUGUUUUCAUUUAUUACGGUAGUUGAAAAGGUAUAAAAUUAAAUGUUGUGACCUUUCAUUUAAUAUUUUAAUUAGCAUAAAUAGGUGAUAGAACUAAGUCAUGCACAGCGGAAAAAGAAUCGAAUUUCUACCCUAAUUGCCACAAUUAACAUAUAACCAUAAACUAAUCAAAUUAGGGUUUUAAGAAAUAUUACCUUUGAAGCUUUCAAAAGGUUCGAUAUCUUCUUACCAAUGCUAGCCGAGACCACCACUAGUACUCAACUGCUAUCCUCUAGACAAAGAACCGGGUUGUGGGACCCAAUUUUGGUGUAGAAAGUAAUGGAGAUAAAAAUGGGAUUGGAAGGUUUCUUUUUUCUUUUGUUGAGAUUAUGAAAAUGAUCAAAGAGGCAAAAGUCUUUUCAACAUUUGAAAACACCUCUAUUUAUAACCUAAUUACAUGCAAAAAUGCAUGAAAUUCAUUUGCCAAAUCUCAACACCUAAUGUUCCACUAACAAUUAGUGGAACUUAGUGGGCUAGGUGUCUAUAUCUCAUAUAGCCACAUAUCCCACUAAGAGUUAGUGGGAUUAUCCAACAAAAUGUUGGAUUUUCCCACUAACUUAGUCCAAGGGUAAAAUGGUCAUUAGAUAUUUCUAGUAGUCAAAAGUCAAACUUUGACUUUUCUAAGUCAAAAGUCAAUAUUUUGACUUUUUACCAUUUUGUCCGUCUUGACUAAUUCCAACCUCCCGAGCAUGAAUCCGCAUUCAUUUUUCCAAAAUUCAAAUCACAUUUGAAUAUAAGGCCGGUCAAAGUUUGACUUUUCAAAGUCAAAAGUCAACAUUUUGACUUUUUACUAUUUUUGACCAAUUCCGAGCUUCUUAGUAUGAAUCCGCAUUCAUACUUAUAGUAUGUAAAACAUAAAGCUCUAUUUCUAAUUAGAAGACCGACGACUAUAUCACUGUAUAUGUCGGUUUCCCUUUCUUCUCCCAAUUCGAACAAUUCGACUUAUUUCAUAAAUUCGACUUAUUUCAUACACUGUUCUAAAGUUUAAUCCAUAUGAGCUAGCAGAGGAACCUAAUGGACCUAUAGAUCAUGGGCUCCAACGAUUCAAGGUUAACUAGCUAAACUCUUUUAAACCGAGUUAAUCAACAUUCGUUAACUAACGGGUCAUUCCACUAAAGUCCCGUAGUUGCACUCCCCUCACUAUAGAUAUAUUUGUGUCCAUUUGAUAAAACCAUAAUCAGUAAGUUAAUCCUUCACAGGUUGCUCGUAACCUUGGCUGGGUCAAAAUACCGUUUUACCCCCAAGAUUACAUCUUGCUCCUUAAGUCCCACUAAUCCACUAUUGAACAAUUGGUUUAAGGUUCAACCUAUAAACUUAAUCCCUCUCGGGCCAAUGAGAGGGUGGGGCCCCUUGUUCAAGACUUGGAUUCAGUGCUUAAGAGAAGCAACCUAUCUACUAACCCUAAAGCGGGUAGGAGUGAAUUCCAUCUUGUACCCUAUGUUCCCAGCUAUCCACCCGAUCUUACCCCUGAAAUGGGAGGCUUAUUGGGCCAACGCUGAUGAGCUGCCCUCACCUAUGUAGAUCUAAGGAUAAUCUCGUGUGAACAGGAGUUCAUAGUUAACUCAGGAUUAAGACUAAGUUACCUAGGUCAUCAAUAAUUGAGAUAGUCAGUUUUAAACAGUAAACGGUGUUAUAACGUAAAAAAGACUAAUUCAUGGUUCAGUCUUAUGUAAACAUUUUACAUAGGAUGCCCCCACUUUCAUGUCUCUACAUGAACGAUUAGGAUCACCUCGUUUGUACAACAAAGUGGGCCGCAUCCAUAGUUUCUCUAAAUAAGGCGCCCAACCUUUAUUUCAUAUACUAUAGACUAUUUAGGCUAUAUACUCGAACUUGAUCCACGUUUAUGUUUACACAUAAAGUUCAAGUUUAUUCAAAAAUAGCCUUGGAACUUGAUUUAUUGGAUUUAAGAUUAUAAUAUUUAAUUUCUCAAUAAACAACUUUAUUGAACAGAAUAUGAUUUACAAACUACGAGUUUUAGGACAAAAAAUUCCAACAAUAGGGUUAUAAUUUCCACAUUUAAAAAAAAAUUGGAUGAAUGAAAUCUGAAAAAUUCUAAAAUGUAAAAUUUUGUUCUUGUGUGCUCUUGUGAUAGAAUGCCCGAAUAUUUGGAGCAUUCAAGUGAGAAUUGAUCUGUAUUGCUUGUGGAGUGCUUUCAAGAUUGAGGGUCGAUGGGAGUUUCUAACUUUGUCAGAUUCUUGGUUCGCUAGAUCAUCUAAGUAACUUGAAUCUCUAUCUUAGGGGUUGAAAUUAAAUUGGUUUUGGAGCUGUUGGGGUUAUGUUCUUUGAGUCUUGUAGUUUAACAUGGUUCUUAGAUCCAAUGCCAGAGGUUUCGUAUCACAAUGAUUUCAAAGUGAAUUUCUCUUAUUCUUACGAUUACACAAAAUUGUUUGGAGCAGAGUGUGUGAUUAUUUGUUUAUAUGCUGACAUGUUAUUGUCAUCACACUUUGAAAUGAAAGAUUUAGUAAAAGUUGACAUAAUUCUUGGUGAAAAAUAAGAAAGAGUGAGAAUGGAUUCUCUUUUUGUCAAUCACACUACAUAGAAGAACUUUUAAAGAAAUUUGAUAGCUUCGAUGACACUCCUGCUAGAACACCUUAUGAUGCAAGUAUAAGCCUUAAGAAAAAUAAAAGAAUAGUGUUUCUCAAUUUGAAUAAGCAAAGAUCAUAGAGAGUGUCAUGUUUUUAAUGAGUUACACAAGACCUGAUAUAACAUAUGUUGUGAGUAGAUUGAGAUACACACAUAAUUCUGAUAAGGAUCAAUGGAUUGCACUCCAUCGUGUGUUAAGGUACCUUAAGGGCAAAGUAGAUCAUUGUUUGCAUUCUAACAAAUUUCUUAUUGUUUUAGAAGGCUAUAGGGAUGCAAAUUGGAUAAUAGAUAACGACGAAGUAAGCUUCACUAGUGGAAAUGUGUUCUUACUAGGAGGGGGAGCCAUAUCAUGGAAGUUUUCAAAAAAGACUAUUAGAGCUAGAUCCACUAUGGAAUCAGAGGUUAUCACUCUAUAAUUAGCAGGACAAGAGAGGUUGAAUGACUUAGAAGCCUAUUGAGGGAUGUACCAUUGUGAGGUGCAUCAGUACUAGUCUUGUUACAUUGUGACUCACAAGUAGCCAUUGGAUUUACCAAAAAUAGUGUAUAUAAUGGCAAAAGGAGACAUACGUCUUAAAUAUGGAGCUUUAAAACAGUUGGUGAAAGGAGGAAUUAUCUCCUUGUAAUUUGUGAGGUCAGAAAGAAACUUAGCGGAUUCUCUAACCAAAGGUCUAAUAAGAAAAAUAUUUCAAAAAGCCUCAUUAAGCAUGAUACUCAAACUCAUGAAAAACUCCAUAGCCCAUAGCUCUUUCUUUGGGUAGCUCUAGUAUAGACUUGAUGGAGGUAACCAAAACCAUAAAGGUCUAUAGCCCUUCUUUGGGUGGUUUUGGUGUGAACUUGAUGGACUAUGUCACACCCUGCUUUGCAUACAAACAAAAAAAAAAUGUGCCAUGCGGGAAGCGACGUGAUUUAGAUUAAACAUUUUUAAACUUGGACUUAUCACCUAGUUCACUCAAGUAACAUGACACUAUAAAACUUAACCAUUACGCGAUAAGAAACAUCAUAACGCUGUAGAGAGUACAACAAACAACUUCUUUUAUUAGAUUUAACCAUGCACCAUACAACAUUAUACAUAUAUCCUUGAUCAAAAUUACAACAGCUUAAACUAAACAUCUUCCUCGACUUCUAACUUCAAACGCCUUGCUAGCUCAUCCUACCUUCUUAGCCUAGCCUUAACACUUGAACACAUGGGAAGGAAAUUUUUAAAAAUAAGUCAAAAGACUUAGUGAGAUUUUAAGAAAAAUCCUUUGAAAAUACAUUUCAAAGACAAAAACGUUUCAGUUCAAUUAGGCUUAUCACCUCAUUUCAUAAUAUUCAAACACAUAACACAUAUUAGCCUUGUAUCUUUCUCGUCGAGACCAUGAACCAUUCUCAAUGCCAAGACUCAUCGCCUUGUGUUUAGACUACUCUGAUGGUCUUUUCAUCAGUAGCAUCCAGGAAUCCCUUGGUUUAUUCCUCGUUGUUCAGGCCGCCAAACAUAAUACACAUCUUUUAUGCAUUGACUAGCUUCACUCCACCAUGCAUACCUUUUCUACAUGGUUGCCUAUACCCUAUUGUUCAUAUAACAGUUAGCUCAUUGAUAGGAAUAAGACUAAUAUUUUGAACACAAUCUCACAUCCAUUUAAACAACACAACUUUCUUUAAACAUAAGCUUUCAUUUGAAAAUAUUCAUGCAUAAAACACCAUUACAAUCCAACAUGAUGUUUAAAAAAAAAGCUUUAAAGUGCAAAACACAUUUCAAAGUCACUCACAAAAAUUUGAUUUUCCUUCAACUUAAAACGCCUAACUUUAGCUGCAGCUCUUCCUUUUUUCUUAGAAUUUCCCUUAACAACUUCAUCACUUUGAAAAAUCUUCAGAAAAACUAACACCCUUAUAAAUCCUUUUCAGUUUUAUUUAUACUAAUCUUAAACGUGAUUAGUCAUCCUUAAGCUUCUUUUAAAAUUGUCAGCUCUUACUUAUAACUUUACAUGUGUAAGAUUAGUAUUUUACUUAAUCAUGCUUAACCCUUAAUCUUACAUGUAAAUUUUUGUCCAAUCAAGAUUAGGCAUCCCGCUUGGUUUCAUUUCGGGUGGUACUUUCAAAAUGCAUAAUAGUCCUUAAACGCCUAACGUCUUCUUGUCUCACCUCGUCCUAACAUAGACAUCAAAAUGCAAGCUUCUUCUCAUAACGCUUAUUCAACACUUAGUCAAAAUUUUGACCCUUAUGUUCCAAACAAAGGUCUCACAGACUAGUUAAAUUUUCAUAGUUCAAUUUUGAGUGGUUUGCCUUUGACAAACUUAAUGAAGUUGGUCUAAGUAUGGACCACGUGAAUAGUCUUCAUAGCUUAGUUGUGAGUGGUCUGCUACGAUAAACUUGAUGAAGCUAUAAACAUGAAUGUGAAAGUGGGGCCGUCUUGUACGAAAGAGUUAUUUUUCAGAGUUUUCACGGUAACCAGAGUUUUAUGUGCACGAUCAUAAAUAACACUUUAUAUCACGAAAUCAAGAAAAUUUAAGAAGUAAAAACGUGUUGUAUGGUCCCAACCUCAGUUAGUUAAGAAGUAAAAACGUGUUGUAUGGUCCCAACCUCAGUUAGGGAAAGUUCAAGAGGCAAAAACUCACUCUCACUAAUAAAGUUGUUGCACCAAUUCAAAUCAAAAUAUACCGAUACUUGCGUUUAUCUUCUAAUAGCUCAUGAAUUCUUUUAGAGUUUUCUUUUUCCUCUUUAUUUUUCUUCUUACCAUACCAGCCAUUCGUGGAGGAUGGUUGAAAAUGAGUUUGAGCUUAAGAUCCAUAACAAAAUGAAAAAGUUGUUUUUUGAAAGAAAGGAGGUAAUCGUCCCACAUUGGAAGAUUUGUGUUACUACACACUUGCUAAACAUAGGAUUUCCAAUGUUGGACAAAAUUCAUAUUUCACAAACCACUUUUCAUUACAACUUUAGAUUUCACAAACAGAACAGUCAUACCAAGUAAUAAUUUUGGCCGAUCAAUUUCUAUUCCAUAUAUCUUCAAGUUCUUAAUAGUUUAAUCAUUAUACUUUCAACCAUUGUCAAUUUUUAUUUUCUAACUACCUAAUAAUUUUGAUUUUAUUAAAAACUACCUAAUAAUUAUAUAGGUUAUAACCAAGUUUGGUUCUUAAUAAGGUUAAUUAUAGUCUGUACACAAGUUGGUUCCUAAUAAGGUUUAUUAAUAUAAAGUAUAAGAAAUUUUAUUCAAGUCUGUAUGAACAGUUUGGACUACCACUUUCACCAAACACAAAAAAAAAUCUUCAAAGGACAUUGAAAUCCUUUGAUCAAAUUUUUUUAGUGCUCCAGAUUAGUGGCAGUAUGAACACAAUGGACCUGUAACUUGGAUCCUCUUCAAUUUAACAAUCAGUAGGUAUUGUAAAUAAAAUAAUCAAAAUAGCACAGUCAAAAUCGAAUGAACGAAUUGGUAAAUAUUAUAUAGCUAAAGUAUAUUGAAACAAACAAUAAUACAUAAUCAAUGGGCAAUGGGCAAUGGGCAAUCUUAGGAUUGCGAAUUCUAAACCAACAAUAGGCACUACAAAUAUCAAUGAUGCUACAACGAAUAGAAGUUUUGAAUACUCUCCAGCAAUAGCUGCAAUUGCAGACUGGAUUCAAGAGCUUCUAAACCAAUUUACAAUGAUACAUAGGAAUAGCCAACACACAAAGUGAAUACAGUGGUGAUAUUCUGAUAUUACCCCACAGAAAUUGGUUAUUUGUUUGUGAGAAGCUGAAAGACAAUGGAGGAAGGAUUCAGAAAGGGCUAACCAUUCGUGCCAAUCUUAUCAAUACCUCUGGAACAAGGCGUGGUUUUGGUGGCGCCAUAGAAUCCUUUGCAAGAGCUUCCUCGUCUCCAGCAUGUAAUAUGGCAACUAUUUGAUCAAAAAGUUCAUAAUUGCCUCCACGAAACGGAUCCUGAAAAAAGAUGACAAGAAGCUUCACAAAAUGACUAUGUAGAAAGAUGCAAGAAGGAAUCUCUCAUCUUCCCAAGUACAACACGAAACGAAGCUAACAAUCAACUUUUUUUUUUCUCUUCCAAUAUAAUGGUUAAGUUCCUCUCCUUUUUGUAAGGGUAUUUAUACAGGUAUACACACUUUUAGUUAAAUAUAUCAAAUCAGUCACGAGUUUGUUAAAGGACUUGUAGAAAAUAAAAACAGGCAGAUAAAAAAGAUAAACCACCUUUUUUAUCCCUUCUCUUCCUAAAUUUUUAAUGACAAUUUUGUGAAAGUCAAAAAACCUAAAAAUGUAAAUAAUGUAUUGCUCUGGUCGAUCUUCCUCCAUAGCAUAAAUACAGUGGAUAAAUUUUAGAGAAAAUGUACGCAUGAGAAAAUAAUUAUCUUUUCCCUCAAAGAAGUUUGUGGGUGUGUGCACAUGUCAAACUUACGCUGAGUCACUCCUGUAGGAGGGUUAUAAAGUUCAAAUGAGAGUAACCAAAAGACAACAUCAGAAGCUACAAUAAGGCCUUGAGGUCAGCUUACUUGAAGGAACAAAUCUGUGUGAGUUUUUCCCUCAUAGAGAAAUAAGUCAGCUUGUGCCCCUACUUUUCGAAGUGUCUCCACGAAAGUUUCACUGAAAAUUUGGAAUUAGCAUCUGAAAGUUAAAAGGACAUAGAACUUAUUCAUCCGACGACCAUGAGAAUAUGAUUCUAUUUUUUGAUGCUUGAAAUUGGGCAUAAUCGGAUUCCUUUACUUUUAUUGGUUUCAUACCUAUGCAUAAUUUAUAUACUGAGCAGGAGCUGAUUAGCAAGCAUCUAUUAUAAGAUUCCAGAAAAGCUAUGAGAUCUUAAUAAAUAGAAGACCGAACAUACUUUUUUCCCUUUCUGUUCCAAUUACACACUUUACACCGCCAAAAAUAUUUUUUUUCACAUAAUCACCCAUUUAUACACAAUUAAAGGUUACAACACUUCACCAUUCCAAAAAUUAAAGAUAAUAGGUCAUUUUACAUAUUUUAUUAGGGUUCAUCUGAUAUCAAUUCAAUAAGAGAAAUACACUAACCUGGCAUCAAAUGGGAUUGAAUAAUCACCCGUGCCAUGGAAAAGAACAAAAGGAGGUAAACUGGAAACAACAUCACUAACACUAGGAUCUUGGAUUCUUAUUUCUGGGGAAAACUGGGACAAAGAUUCUUCACCUUCCAUUAUGCUACAGAGAAUAAAAGUGGCUCAAAUUGUGAAAAGGAAUAAGUUGACAUAAACUAGUCAGUUAAUGAAGAGAAAAUAGACAUUUAGAACCUACCUCAAAAAGACAGAACGAUAUAGACCCCUACUAUCAAAGUGAUCGACUAGUUUCCACAAGUUAUACCUGUUCACAGAAUUCAGAAAAGAAAACUUGAGUACAGGGUCCUCAUUCAGAAGGAAAAUUGCACAAUGAUCAAUAACUGGGACUUUAUAAAGUAAUGAAAUAAAAAUUGAAAGAGCAAUGGUCAACUAAGGGUGUUUCUACUACUUUCCAGCAAGACUACAUUUUGACUAAUAAACUGUUGUGAAUUCAGUCCUCAAAUAUAUAGGCUUCAGCUUUUCAAAUCUAUAGAAUGCACGGUGUUCCCCUUGUCCCCUCAUAUAGAUAAUAGAAUUUGAGAGGUGUUACAAGAUUUAUAAACCAUUGGCAUGAAAAAGGAUCAACCACCUGGAGGCCUUUCAGUUUAUAUCAUAACGUCCCUUGGGCUAUACUUUGAAAGGAAAGUAAAAGAUUUUACCCAGCCAAGAGCCAAUACAAAAAAUGAUUAUAGAAUCUAUUGAAUGGGAUGAAUUUGUUGUUAAAGCCCCAGAGAUGAGAAGUUGAGAGGUUACACAACAACCCGCCAUUUUUAUUGCAAAAAGUCCAGAAAAAAUAUUGACGUGUAUAGCUCAAAUUCUUCUCAUCCUAUUCUAUUCUAUUCUGACUGGCACCUUCUGAAGCACAUACAAAAUGUACUUCAUCUAAGUGGUCUUUAUAAAAGAAGAAAAAGUUUAGGAUUGGCGACAAAGCAUGCGAUGUCCAAUCAUAGACAAACCAAAGAGGCUUGGAAUUAUUGAUCAUAUAAUUUCAUGGGAAUUCCUUAAAUGCCACAAGAAAGACGUAGAAAAUUACCCUCCAGAUAAACCAAAAUAAGCUUUUAUUUGGGAGACACUCCAAUCUACACUCUCUCCUUUUCUAGCUUCUUUGAUUGCUUGAUCCAAGAGGGCACAAACGGAAAUAUGUGCACCAGCUGAUUGUCCCAUCAGAAAGAUUCUAUUAAGAUGGGGCAAAAUAAAAUAAUAAGGUGGUGAGCAUAUGAUGAAGGAUGAAAAAAAUGAAGAAAUCAUUCAGUCACCUGUCCAGAUCUCCUCCAUAGUCUGCUAUAUUCUUGCAUACAAAUGAAAUCCCUUGAGAAACAUCUUUCACCAUGUCACUGAUUGUGCCCUGAGGAAAGUUCCUGCAAAGUACAGGGUUAUGAGAUUAAGAUAGAAAAUCAAGACACGGUCAUAACAAGGACAUGUUUAUUAAAAUAGCACUCUUCAAGAAACUACUAUUUCUGUGUCAGAGAGAAAUUUGAAGUUUCCUUAUGCAUUUAUAGAAACAAGUUUCCUGUAUUUAACUCUCAAAGUUUAUUACGUCAGCUAAUUAUGUUUAACAAUCAUUUGACACAUACCUAAGAAGUUUCAAACUUAUAUUAACUCCAACAACUAGAUUUGACAAUAUCCAUUGUACCAAUAAAUAGAGCCCAUGUCCAAGAAACUACUAGUAUUAUCUGUACUAAUAGAUUUGUCAGAGAAAGUGUCCAACAUGUUGGACACAGAUACAUCACCCAAACUAAAGGUUUAACUUCUCUUAGGUUAACGCAUGCCAUUCAGUCAAGUUUCUUGCACCCAUCAUUCUUCAUUCAAAUAAGUCAAACAGAGAACCAUAUAAACCACCAGUAUCCCCCCUGCCCCACAGAAGAAAAUAAUAAUAACAAUAAUGAAGAAAGGAAGAAUGAGAAGAGUUUAAAAAGUUCAUCGAAGUAAUGCUUGAACAUAAUGCAUUACCUAUAGUCAAUUGAGGCUACAAUGACGUCUCUCUCUGCCAACUGCAGUCCUAAAAGUGCUCCCCAUGCUUUAUUCCUAAAUCAUUAACAAAUAUUAAUAUUGUAUUUCCAGAAUGGGAAACUAAGACGCAAAAAAGCUUCCAUGAAGAUAAUUAAACAAAUCAAUUUGCUAUUUUGGUACAUGUCCUUCCAAAAAAAAAGAGGUAGUUUGGCCAUUUUAGUUUUUUCAUAAUUCAUAAGGUUUCCCGAGGAUGUAAGUUUGUCAUUCCCCAGACCCAAAUGUUUACAAAAAGAUAGAAAAAGAUAUAAUUAUUAUGUGGUUAUUGCAGCUAUAGCCCUCCUGAAGAGAACUUAGAAAGGAAUAUAAUUUUUUAGUACCCUGACUAGUUAUCUUCAAGAUUCUCGAUUUUUUUUCCUUCCUAUCCUCCAUUUGGAUUACCCAAAGAGCUUUCGAAAUCAUCCUUCUUUAAUUAAGGACAACAAAAAAACCAGUGUACAGAAAAGUCUAAAGAAUAAAACAUGUAGUGUAUUGUAGUAAUAAAAUUGUAUAGCUUAGAAGAAGAGCAUCUGUAAGACCUGAACGAAGCCAAUGCCAAAAAUCAUUUUAGGAUGGACAUGCAUAAUCGUCUACAGUCUACACUUACCCAAUAAUCCAAGCUCCACCGCUAACGAAUAUCACAACUGGUUUCUUUUUAUCAGUAUUUGUAGGUAGAUACAAAUCCAAGCUGAAACAUCAUCCAAAAGAAGGAUAGAAAAAAAGUCAUGAAUUGGAUAAUGGUUGACGUAGAAAAAGGCAGACUUAACAAUUACCUGUUGUAGAACACAUACCUAUUUCUCGGUUGAGUUCCAUAAAUAAUAUCUCUCCGAACCUGACUUGAGAAGUAAUAGUCAUACAUAACUGUUGUAAACAAAAGGUAAUCAGAUACGUGAAUUAAUCCAGGACAUGCAAAUGUUUCCAAUAAUAACAUUUCAGUCAAAUUUCUGUAAGUCGAGAUGGCAACAUUAAUAUGAGGGGAUGAUAUUUUCUUUCUUUAGACUGUACUAAAAUGUUGAAAUGAUGGCCAAAAUUACAGGUUGUGUGAUCACAUUGAAUUUCUGUAAGUCGAGAUGGCAACAUCAAUGAAUUUAUUAUCAGAGAAAUUCAUGGAUACUUAAGUUUCAAAUAGCUGAUUAACUUAUAUUUUUCCAACAAUUUUUCUAUUAUAAUAAUUAUCUUGGAUUUCGUUCAUCCUCUCAUUUCUCUAUCUACAUGUAUCUCCCUUUAUCCUCCUUCAUCUUUUAGUUUUUUUAUUAUUAUUUUUUACAUCUAAUUUAAACAACUAUGGUUUUCAUUUUCUUUUUCCUUCAAAAGUCAAAACUUUCAUUGAUAUUCAGAAAACUCUGGACUUAGUACUUCUAUCUAGAUUGAUGUUGAAUUCACUGAACAAUUUCUUGUAAACAUGAUAUCCACUAUCCAGCCAGAGGGCUGCGAUGAUCGUGAGAGUAUCCAAACUCAGAAAACUGUCCAAGUUUAACGUGAUUUCAAUAUAGUUCACUAUACCUUACUCAUUAAAGACAAAGUGUAUCUACCCUUGCACCUGAGUUAAAAUCUUUAUCUUCACCAGAAACUGAGUGAAUCAAGAAUAUUUGGUACAAAAUAAAGUGGAUAAUUCUCAUCCAUUGACACAUAAGAGGCAGAGACGCUGUUUUGAGUAGAGUAUUGAUGUUAGAAACAUGAUUGUAUAGCCUAUCAUCUGUUAUGGAUUGACAUUGGCCCUAGAAGAUUAUUGGUGCAGAGACCCCCUUUGUCUAACAGAGAACAGAGAAUUAUUAAGUGAUCAAUUUGUGCAGCUACCAGUUGAGUGUCCUUUUUCAUUAUUUUUUUUAGCUUCUAAACACGGUUGAAACUUAUAAAGAGUACAUAAAUUAGAACAUGAACCUCUCAUUUCCCAUUGAAAUGCCAUGUAAGGAAAAAUAAAGAACAGGGGAUGUUAUGAAUCAACCAGCAUGAGAUUGAUCUAGUCAUGGAAGGGCUAAGGAUUAUGAGAAGUAACUCUAACCACCAUUUUUUUACAAAAUAUUUACAUACAACAAGCUUCAUUGGAUUAAAUAUCAUAAAACUUGACCAUUGGUCGAGUGAGUUUACUCAAAGUACAAAAAUGAUGGCUCAUAAGAACGAGAUUGAUAGCUAGAAGGUGUUAUUCAGAAAAUAGUAAGGAAGGACGUCAAAGAGGAAAUGUGGCCUUCACCAAUUUUAUAGGCUACGGAAGAAAGCGCAUGACUAAGUUGACCAGAGGCUUCUAUUGGUGCUUUAAUUUGUAUUCCCCACACGCAAUUUUAUAUUAAAGAUAACGAAAUUCCAAUAAGAUUUUACAGGACAAAAAAGCAAAAGACACUUAUGCAAUAAGUAUGUUAAAAAAAAUACCUUGAAGAAAACCGGGCAUAAGAAGGAUGGCAUACACUGCAAGUGCAGUUAAUCGUACGACCCACCGGUACCCUACCCUGAACGAAAAGAAGGGAUCAUGAUACAGAGAGAGAGAGAGAGAGGAAGAGCCCAUUGAAAAAGCAAAACUAUAUUCAUUCCGUAAAGAUUUCAUGAUUAAUUUAAAAUUUUACCGAUCCUCCUGUUCGAAGAAAAGAAAUUAAUACAAUAAGAGAUUUCAUGAUUGAAGUGAUCCCCAGGAGAAGAAAGCAUGAAACUAUAAGCUAUGAUAUAAGAUCCUUUCCAUUAUAGAAAGAAAAUUUGGCAUCCUGUUAGGUAUUUGCAAAUUCUAAUUACAGGAAGAACCCGCCGCAAAUUAAGGAGAUAAUCCAACUCAUAGUCAGAACAGAGAGAUAGAGGGAUCGAAGUUACAUUCACCACUUAAUCAGAACAUUCAGGCUUUCAAGUAAUGGACAAAAAGAGAUAGAGAGCAGAGAGAAUCCAUUUCCAGAUUACCCAAGAGAUCGAAGGAGAGUGAAGCUGAGGCGAGUAAUGAGAAAGGUUUCGGCAGCUGCAUGGCCAAAAUCUCGACUAAAAGACUGCUGGCGCCGUGGCACUUGGGGCUUUCCGACGCCGAGACGGCGGCGCAACUGGUGGUGGAAAAUCCCAAUCGGAUAAGUGAGCAUCCUGGAAAGCAGAGGGCGAGUCUGGGUGGAAUCAUCGUCGUCAAAGCGAAUCCCUUGGCCGGAGAACUUGACGACAGGGCGGAGCCGGUCAGCCGGAGCCGCCAUGGACGGCGGGAGGAGAGGAUGGAAGGGAAGGCGAUCGGAAGGGGAAAUCGGGAGGGGGGAAUUUGAGAUUCAGAUUUGAAAAAUUGGAAGCCGUUUUGAGUAUUGAGAUGAAAUUGUGUGAAUUUUGGAUUCAAAAUGGAAGAGAUGGGAAAAGGGUGUGAGAUUGGAAGGGUAAGAAAUAAAGAAAUAAAAGAAUGGGAAACUUUUGGAAGUUUCAAAGUUGCAAUAAGAUUGCCACGUGUUUGCGUAUGUGGCAUACCGAAUAAUAACGAUCACUUUGAUAAGACUCCCAAUUUGAUGAGAGAGUCCCUUCAAAGUUUCAAACAUCCUUUUUAUUUUUAUUUUUAUUUCUUAUCUAUCAUUUCCAUAUGCUUCUAACUUUAAACUUUUCUUCAUUAUUAAUUACCUCAAUUUAUUUAUUUCGUCCUUUUUCUUUUCAUGGUUCUAACACUAACAAAUUUGGACUACACAUCCUUUAAUAAUAUUUUUUAAAAAACAGUUAUUAAAUAGUACAACUUCAAAGUGUUUUGAAAUUAUAUUAAAUGGUUGCUAACUAAAAUAUACUCAAUUUCUCUCAUUUUUGAAAUCAUUCAAAUUGAAUGAUGGAUUCAAUUCUUUGUAUCUAUGUGAAUAAAUAAACAGUUGGAGGUGUAAGAUGAUGUAGCAGAUAUCCAAAGUUUCACUUACCUCACAAAUGAAUUCAAAGUUAAAAACAGUAGUCGAUGUAGUUUUAAAUUUGGGUUUAUAUACUUCCUAAACUUUCAUAAAAGUUGAAUUCAGUUAUCAAAUGUGUCAAGAAUUUGAGAAAGCAUGCAUGCAUGCACUUCAAAUAUUAAGCAAAUAAUAAUAAUAACAAAUAACAAAUAAAACCAUGAAAUGAAGAUUUGUUACAUCAAGAAUUAAUGAAAAUGGGAGAUGCGUUCCCAAUGAUCCUCCAACUAAAUACGGUGUCGUUGAUGAAAUGUGGUGCCUUUCUAUUGGCUGUUAAAGAUGAUAUUCAUAUUUAAUUAAAAAUAUAGAGCAACAACAAGAAGGGAAAAAAAAUAAGACAGAUGAAAUUCAUGGAGAAAAAUUAUGAGUCAUAAGUUUUGAUUCUCUUUAAUUUCUCACUUUAUUUAUACAUAUUAGUCUAACAAAUGUACUUGGUUAAUUAUUGUUCACUACAGAAAAAAAAAUUAAAUAGAUUAUUGACGAUUGGAUGGAUUUUGCUAUAUUUUGCUUUUUAAAAUGAUCCUUAAAAAUAAAGAAAAAUUUAAAAUUUAAAAUAAAAAAGUUGUAAUUCAUUAUUUAUUCAAACAAAAAUGAGUAGAAUUAUUGAAUAAAAAAACUCAAAACCAAAUUGUUAGCAUAAAAGCAAGUUAUUUAGAAUUCAAAGAUAUAUGAACUCAACUUUGCACCUCAAAUACAAAUAUAUAAACUUAGACAAAACAAUUCUCCAUCCCAAAUAAAGAUAUGUGAACUUCAAACAUCAUAUAUCAACUCACUAUCUCUAACAACCUUUUAUUAUUAUUGACGUUCAAUUUUUUCCUUCUAUUCUAUAUUCAAAACAUUACUUUCAUGUCUACAAAAACAUACUCUUUAAUAUUCAAUUAAGAUUCAAAUUUUGACCAAACAAGUAGGUAUGAAACGCAUAUCAAUAAUGUAAACAGUUUCAAGUCAACUCGUUUAGCUUAAAUGAUGAAAAUAAAUGGCAAUAUUCAACUAAUAAACAAGAAAAUUAAUGUCGGUAUAUUAAUUCAACGAUGGAGUAAUAAUAAAAGUGUUUCUAGAUGAACAAGAAAUGAUUAUUAAGUUUAUACCAAGUUGUUUAGAAAUAUAGUUUUAAUUAGAUAUGGAUAGAUAUAUACGUAUCACUAAUUUUACUAUAUAUAAAAAUACUUUUAAUAAUUUAUCAUUUAAAAUAGGAAUAUUUUUAAAUAUAAUAAAAUAAAUUAAAGGUAUUUACAAAAAAAAAAUAUAGCAAAAGUUUGAAUUCUACCAACAACAGAUAUACUAUUAUCAUAAACUUCCAUUACUAUCCAUGAUUAAGAGUGUCUAGAUAUUACAUAAUUUUUCUAAAGUAGAUUGUUUUUUAAAUUGGAUGUGAAAUUGUGGUGGAGAAAAAAAAAAGAAAGUAAUGGGAGAGAUUAUUAUGGAUAUGAUACUGCCAUGUUUCUUUGAUGGAUGGAAACUGAAAAGGAAAGAGUCCCACACUGUGCUUUCAUAAAUUAAUUUACUUUAAAAUAUUCGUUCACAUGGCACCCUUUGAAAAUUUGAAUAAUCAUUGUUCCUUUCAAAAAUAUUUUUCAUAUUAUAAAUAUUUAUUAGAUGGAUGUUCGUUAUACUACACUUUAUUGUCAUACUUCAACCAUCUACACUAUCAUAUGUCAUGAAGAUAUCAAUUUUUAGUGACAAUGUAAUCUAGCUCAUACUUGUCAAAUUGUCUAUAAAUAACAUAUUUUUCUUUUGCAUAUUAAGAAUAUGAUAAUUAAUUAAUAAUAUCAAACGACUAUCAAUAAUCAAACAGCUACAAAGGAUUAUCAGAAGAUCAUUGGAGAAUUACAACUUUUAAAUUUGUUACUUUACAAUUUAAAAAAUUUUGUGACAAAAACCCUAUUAUCAUAAAUUCGUUUGCUAUUUUUACAAACGAUUUAUUGUACCAAUAAUAUAAUCUUCAAUAAUAUUUCAUGUAUUAUAAACAUUAUAAAAUUCAAGCAUGUGUGUGCAAUAAAUCUAAAAAUUACUACUUUCUAACAUAAAAUUAAAUACUUAAUCUAACCUAAAAUCAACUUUCUAAUCGUUUAUAUGAAAAUUUAAAUAAAUAAAAAAAAUUAUGUAGAACACAAAUAUAAAAUAAUAUUUAUUACAUGAUAUCAUCACCUAAAAGAGUAACUAAAUACAGUUAUAUUAAGAGAAAAGAUUUUACCCAAAACAAAAGCUCCAUGUUCAAAAUAUAUGUAGUCUAUAACCAAAUAACAAAAACAUAAACAAAAAAACAAAAAGUAUAGUUUCAUGUUUAGAGAAAUCACCACCUUCAUUGUUCAUCUUUCUGUUCCUUGUGUUGAAUAUUUGGGAUCUUCUUCCUCAUAACGACUUUGUUCUUUCAUUUUAUGUUGAAUCCUUCACAAAUAUUUGGCAUCUGUGGUUCCUCAACCUCAAACUCUUCACAGCUCUCUCUCUUGGUUCCAUGAUUUGCUAAGCAGUUCUUCCAAACGACAAAAAGUUAUGUCCUCAAUCCCGACUUACUUUUUUCCUCGUUUCUCAACUGCUCUUAGCUUCCUUGCCAUGCUCAAACAAUACAGAAGAUAGAAUCUGAAGAGCUUUCAUUAAGAAGAUGAAAGAAAACAAAGGCAUACAAAAAAAUCGUCUUCGAGACUGACUAUGCACUAGAGCAAAAUAUAAGCAAUCCUACUAUUUCAAUCCCUAUCAAUUACCAAAUAGGCCUCAAUCACCACCAUAUUUCUAGAAAGCAAGCAUAAGAUUUGAAAUUCUUCUGCAAGUUUAUUUAUGUCACCAUUUCCUAUAUGAAUGUUGCUUUUGGAGGAGUGGUUGAGUGGUAACAAGUAUUACGGUGGGAAUAUGUAUGUUGGUGUAGCUUUGUGAAUGAACAAGCCUGACCAAAGUAUCCUUCAGCCAUGAGCGUUUAUCACGUCCUGCAAAUUCUUUGGAUAGCACAUUGUUGUGUGGAGACCAUUCCACACGUUAUCUGCAAGAAUAGCAUUCACUGCAUCCGUUGGAUGAAAUUGAUCCCACCAAAUAUGAUUAGAAGCAUUUUUACAUGCCAUAAUUGGUGAGAUGCACAUGAUCCAUCCAUUGUAACGACCAAACCCACAACAAGCAUUCGAUGUUACAUUGAAACCUAGAUGGAAAAGAGACUAACACAAUGAGACAAACAAAUGUGGAUCAUGGUGAGGAGAGUAAAAAAGAAGUUAGAUUGUCAUUCACCAUAAUAUUCAUGAUUCUUCAAGAUAUCCAUUGAACCUUGAAGCAAAUCACAGAAGAUUAUAUUCGAAUCGGGCAACUCCAUGCCGAGCUCCUCGACCACAUAUCUCAUGGCAAAGUUGAACUCCAUAACCAUAUCAUUUAUCUCCUCAAUACAGGCCCCAUUCUCACUACGGUACUGCCAUAAGUAGAAAGGAGCACAACCAAUAGGUGCCAAUCCCAUUACAACGAUUCUCCUAGCAUUCAUGUUAUACAAAUUCUGGACCAUCAACAGAGAGUCUUUUAGAAAGUUCUUAAACAAUUGAUAAAUUAACAUAGUGUGAAUAAAUGAAACUCCUAUACAGGGCUUACAACGUAUGGUUGGUUCCCGAUAUCUAAAAUAAUCCAAAAGCUCAAAUUUUGGAAAAUGAAAAUAUAUGCACAAUAACAAUAUCCUGAAGGCAAAAAUAUGGCAUAUAUAAUGGGUAAUGUAUGUAUAUACUUCUUUCUAUUAUGUGUAGCAAGAACUAUAUACAAUAAAAUCACCUUGAUUUCCUGUCUGAUUGUGACUGCAAGAAAUUGGUUAAAAUUCCAUGGAGGGUAAAGAUUUUGAACAUUAGAUAUAUUAAACAGAUAGUAAUGAAUGUAAUCGUUGAUUCCAAUUGAUAUGUAAAAGACUGAAUUGGAAAUGUGAUCGGCAGCAGCCUUCUCGCCCAUAUUUAGAACAAACUGCUGAAAAGUGUCCAUAAAUUGCUGAAUUUGUUGUGUAAAGGAGAUGUGUUGGCCCUGUUACAUAUAACAUUUCAGAAAGAAAAUUGACAUGCAAGAAAUCAUAAUACUAAGUUAAAAGAACAACGAUCGUAUCUACCAUUCUAAAUCAACCCAAGAUUACUUGAUACGUUAUGAAACUCCGUUUUACUUCCAUGAAUAUAUUAAUUUAUAACAGAACAUUAAAUUGCUAAAAGAAAUAGAAAUCAAUUUGCAUAUUUCUUGAUGAUUUUCUUUUAAUCAAUGAAUAAAACCGACGGAAAUUAAUGAAAGAAAAGAAGUACCAAUUCGGAUCCACUAGUGAAGAUAACUCCAGCACUAGCCGAUGCGUAAUUCACUCCUUGGAUCAUAUCUUCCACUGCUCCAACAUGUCCAAGAUAACUUGGAACAAAAGGAAGUCCAAGACGUAGGGCUGAGAAGAACAUCCAGAAACAAAAACAAGAAAUCAAACCUAAGAGAACGUUUAAAGAAAUCAUAAGAUAUCCAGAAAGAAGAGCAAAAAGAAUCAAGAAACAAAAAAAGAAGAAGAAAGAAUACCAAGAAAAUCGACGGGAAUUCUUCCAUUAGAGAACCUUCCAGUGGGAGUAUGCGUGUCGAAAUCUCGACCAUAGGGAAGAUGAUCGGCGCGGGCGAAGGUUCCGAGGAAAUUAUUGGUGCCGGAGUCGACGGUGGAGUCACCGAUGACGAAAAGGGCGGGAACAAGAGAGUUGGAGGGCGGAGGAGGGAGGGGUGGAGGAAUGGGAAAAGAAGAAUUUGGAAUGGUUGUGAAACCGUAAUUAGGAGUCGGAGGCAAAGGAUUGGGAUGAGGUGCAGGGUUUGGGAGAGGUGCUGUUGAUUGGAGAAAAACGGAGGAAAUGAGGAUGAAGAAUAGGGAAAUUAGGAGGCUAAGCGCCAUUAGUUUUAGAUUCGAAGGGAAAGAUUGUGAUUGUGAUUGUUAUUGAAGAAGGCGGGAAAAUCACGGCUUCAACUCUUCCUCAAACUCUUACCUUUCUAAUUUCUAAACUAUGUUAUGUUAAAUGUAUAAAUGUCCCUAAAAGAUUUGAAUUUAUAGAGAUAAAAAGAGAAAUUCCCAAAAUUACAUGCUUACACCCCCCAAAGUUUUAUAAAAAUAUGUUUCUUUUACACCCCCUUAGUUUUAAAAAGUUUUCUUAAUUCAUUUUUGUCUCUUAGUUUUUAAAAUGUAACUUUUUAGUCUUCAAUCUUUUAAAAUCUUCAUUCGAACUAUAUGAAAUCGUUGUAUGAUGUUCAACCAUAAAAAACACGAAACCCUAAGAAUAUCUGUGGCAUUGAGUUUCAGUGAAGAAGGUGUAUAAACCCGUCAUCGUCGUAAGAAGGUGAAGUAUGGAAAAUAUGGUCAACUCUGGAGUUGGGAAGAUGAAAUGCACUAGCUAGCGAUGGAGAUGAUGGUGGGCUAAAUGAUCUUUGGUAACUGUGGAGUUGGGAAGAUGAUGGUGGCCCACAAUGAAAAAUAGCAAAAAUGUUGAUGGUGGCCCACAAUGAAAAAUAGCAAAAAUGUUCAAGUCAAUGCGCGAUUAAUUGGCCACUCACGGACGUAACAUAUUUGGUACAUGAUCUUGUACCAAGAUCAUUUAGAUUUGGCUAAAUGUUCGUUAGAUUUAGAUUUUUUUCAAGAUUUUUUGGUAAUCGAUCGUUUAGAUUUUGUUGUUUAGCCAAAUCUAAACAAUUUUUUUCUUCAAGAUUUUUUGGUAUAGAUUGUUUAGAUUUGGACAAUCGUGUUUUGAGCUCCAACGAUUUUUUCAGAUUUUUUCAAGAUCUUUUAUAUUUAGUACACGAUCUUGAACCAAAUAACACUUUUAAAAUCAUAAGAAGGUAAAACCUUUCUAGAGAUCUGUGUGGAAUGUUGGGGUGCCCUGAAGGGUGAAAAUGACUGUGUGGAAGGCUAUUUCCAAUGUUUUGCCUGCCAUGGUCUGGACAACAUUCGCAAGAAAUGAAUUGUUGCUAACCCUCUUUGUUUAUUUUGCAGGACAUGCCUUAUGGAGGUAUAAAUUUAUUAAAAGCAUUUGACUCCCCUCUUUCCCUUUCUUACUCUAUGUUCUUUAUGGUUUAAAGGAUUGUUAGGAUGAGAUCGUGAAAGUGCUGAAUAUUAAAGAUUGGGUUGCUGUAUCCAUCCUUUUAUGGGAUGUUUGGAAUUAUAGAAAUUCUCUCAAGCAUAGUGGAGCAUCUCCAAAGGGCAAUGUUUUGAUGAACAUGUUUGCUCUUCAUGUAGAGAAGUUUAGGGGCGAGGAUGUGGUUGUCUAUGAGCAGUGAUAAGGGAGAGCCUGAGGAGUCAGGUGUCGCCUUUUGCUUGUUUUUGAAAGCUUAAGUUUGAUGCUUCUUGGAGCGAUGCUAAGAGGUCGGUGGCUUUAACUAAGUCAUUUGUGACUCUAUUGGAUCUCUCAUCCUAGCUAGCUGUGAAAAGAUUAGUGUCAAGUGGCCUAUCAAAGUGCUUAAGGCUCUUGGUUUGGUUAGAAGUUUGUCUGUUGUGUUAGCCUUUUUUGGGUCAUGGGUUUUCCCCCAUGUGCAGGUGGAAUAUUAUUGUACGAAUCUCAUUAAUGUCAUUAAUUGUUAGUCUUUGGUGUUGAUUGAGUUGUGAGGUGGUUGAGUUGGGAAAGAUUGCCACGGGUGGAUUUUUUUGGUCGGUGCACUUGCUCGACAAAUGAAAUCGCUCAUUGUUUGGCUUGUGCCGUAUUGUUUAAGGGGGACUGGAUGGUUUUUUUUUUUUUUCUAUCUCUUCUUCCUCUAGAGAAGAAGUUAGGUCCUUUCGUUAUAUUCCAAAUAUUUUCUCCUCCAUUUUUAGGGAGGAGGUGUGAUUUUGGCUAAUUUCUUGUGAAUGAAUUUCACGUUAAAAGAAAAAUUCCUUUCUAGAAUUAUUUUUCGUUCAUGAUUAUUAAUUUUUUUGUAGAUUUUUCUUAAAUGUUAAAAUCAUUUGAAAAUUUAUUAUUUAACAUAAAAUUCUUGAAUUUCAUUAGAAAAAUAAAUAAUAUCUCAUGAGAGUAUUAAUUAAAUGUUGUUAUAAUAUAUAAAUCUAUAUUUAAAAUAGAAAAUUGAGGGUGUGGUCAAGCGAGACACAUAUUUAUAACCUACGGUAUACUCAUAUACCUAUGUAUAAAAUAGAAUAUUAUAGAAGUUUUUUCGAAAAUAGAAAAAAAUAUUAUUUAUACUCCAUAAGAAAAAGCCACUAAAAAAUAAUAUCUCAGAAACUUUUAAAAAUAGAAAAAUUGACAAACGAAUUUAGGACGCAUAGUAAAAUUUUAAUCCAAGCUCAAAAUGGAUAACUAAAUUUUAACCCAAUACCAAAGCAUUCGUGUUUUUUUCCUAUAGGUUGUAAAUACUUUCAAUUUUCUUCUAUUAAUAUAAAUUCCAUAAGAUUUUUCAACGAAGGGUUUGACCAUUUUUUAAAAAUAUUCUAAUUUUGUUCUCCUUCUAUUUAAAUCAAAUCUAGACGAGUGUGUAUAAAUAUUCGUGUAUAAAAAAACACUCAAAUCUAAGCUAUUGUCUAGCAAAGAAUCUUAAAAAAAUCUAUCAUGUGACAAAAUAGUCUAAAUGAUCUCGAUGACAAUUAAUCACGAGUAUUCUUUUUUAAUUUUUGAUCGUGGGUGGUAAGCUUUUUGCUGCUUAUUUAUAUUUUUUUUAAAAGAAUCCAAUAAUUUAUUUAUUUUGACAAUUUGGGUAGAAUAUAUUUUAAAUGUGUAGACGUAAAUAAACAAAUGUGGUUUGGUGUUCCAAAUUAUAUGACUACGAAAUAACAACAAACAUUUUUCAAAAGGAUAAUUAUAAUUGAACUAUCUACCCCUAAUGUUUUCUUUAUUUGGGAAACUAACUCAUUAGAUUCACCUCCAACAUUUCAACCUAUUGCCCUACCGACGGAGAGGAUCAAUAGCCAAAAAUGGCCGGUUUGCUCUCAUGGGCAGCGGACGUCGUCGCCGGCGGCGGCGGCGGCGCCAACCACAACGACGAACGUACCACUUCCAUUCCCCUAAUUUUUACUCCCGACCAGCAGAAUUACGUUCGAGAAUUGAAUCAGAAAGCAGCUUCUCUCAGCCGCUCGGUCCGCGAUCUGCGCCUUCGAUUGCCUCCUCCCGACAUCUCCCAACGCCUUCCCCAUCUUCAUGCUCACUCUCUUGCUUCAACGGCCGAUCUUACUCUUCAAUUGAACGCCCACUCUUCCACACGAGAACAGGUUAGCCUUCUACAUUCUAAAUAUUACUUUGCCAGUAUACGUUUAACGAUCUCGGACUUUCAUUCGUGUUUGUUACUGUUCUCCACAACUCUAACUGCGAUUCGUGUUUGUCAAUUGUUCACCAUAGAUGCUGCAUUGUUGAAUAUUUGUUAUUGUUCUGUUUCGAGAUCAUUACAAAAUAGUUUAAUUUCGGUGGAAUUUAUUCUUAGCUCGAUUUUGACAAAAUAGUUUAACUUCUUCAAGGGGAGAUGUAUGCUGAUUUUUGGUGAGAGAUUCGGAGGAUUGAGAAAAGAGUUAUGCCACCGUUGCUAUUUAUAGAGUGAAAUUAGAUUAGAUUAACCAAUACAAUAAGGUUUGAUGAACUUUUGCCGAUGGUAUGAGGUUUGGCAAGUUUGUGCUUCUAUAGGAGUUAAAACUGGUAUUUAGAGAUCGCUGGCAGAUUUUGGAAACAAAUAUUAAACUUUCUGUACCAUGUAUGUGGAAUAAUUCUAUUGCUUUACACUGAUUGGUUGGAGAAACGAUUUAGUUAUACCCCAGAAAUGUUCUUGGUUGCCUUGUGUUUUCCUUGGUACGUUUAUUUUGUCGAAAAACAGUGCGUUUAAUCAUAUUAUUAUUCUUACUUGAAUGUUCAUAAUGUUUGUCAAGAACCUGUAAUAUUACUUCUGAUAGUUGGCAUCGUUCUCAUUUCCAGGUCCAAUUGAGAGAGAUAUCACUACAGGAAGAAAAUGUUGCAUAUGGAAAGGCCAUUUCAAAUUGUGAAAAUAAAAUACAGGAAAAGAGACAGGAAGCAGAUUUGCUUCUGAGGAAGUUAGAGGUAAUGGUUUAAGAUCCCAACUUCGUGUCAGUUGCUAUUUCUAAGGCUCUAUUUGAUGAAAAUUUCCUUUUUUGUUUUUGGUUUUUGAUAUUUGUGCCGGUUGUUUCUCUCCUAAUUUUGAUUUUUCAAGUAAAAGAAUCACUUCAAUUCCUAGUCAAAUUCUAAAAACAUAAACUAUAGUUCUCGAAACUUAGCUUCGUUUUAGUGAAAAACUUAGGUGUGAAGUAGCCUUUAUAAGCUUAAUUUUCAAAACCUAAAAUUAAGUACCACAUUGGUGUUCUGUUUGACCAUAAAUAUUCAUUUCUCCUUUCAAAUGGAUAUUACGUUAAUCCAGCAUUAUGGAAGAGUUGGAAAUGCAUUUACAUGGCGUUAUUAACAUGAUAUAAAAGAAUUCAUCAAAUUGUUGGAUAGUUCAAGCUCCUACCAAUAUAUAUUUUUUAAAAUUGUUCUUUGUUAAUUUAUACUACAGGAGUUAGAAGAAACCACCAAGAAUCUGGAAGUUGAGCUAGAAAACGCACAAGCUGCUCUGGAAAAUGAUGAAUCAAUCAACUUCGGAAAAUUGACAUCCAAACCUUCGAAAGUUGAAGCAGAACAAGAUAUGGAAUUAUCAAAGUCUGCGUUGCUAGACAAACUAGAGAUCAAGAAACAAGAACUGGUUUGCUGCCUUAUUUUGAUUUUAAUAGUUUUUUUCCUUUUCCUUUUCCUUUUCCUUUUAUCUCUCUUCUCCGCAUUUCCUAAUAGUUAUUGCUGACAAAGUUUGGUUAUUCUUCUAGAGUUCAAUGGAAGACACAGUUAAAGAAUUAGAAAAAAACUGGGCAGAAAUUCAGGAUAAAGCUCUAAAACAGCCUUCACCAGGUAUUUUCAAUUGGUCACAAUUGUUCUCCUUAUUCCUUUUUCAAAGACUUGAUAUCAAAGACUUUUGCAGUUCAGAGAGAGAAAAUGUUAGACAAACAACUCCAUAGCCUCAUGGAGCAACUAGCUGUAAAACAGGUGAAUCUUACAUUUCUGAAGUUGAAUGCUUAAACUUUCGAUUCAAAUAAUAAAAUCAAUUCCAAGUAUUUCCCUGUUUGUAGGCACAAGCCGAAGGUUUGGCAAGUGACAUUCAUCUGAAGGAGAUGGAGCUGGAAAAACUAAAAACAUCAUCAAGGAGGCUGCAAAGUAGCAGCUCCGAGGCUAAUAUUGCUCGUAAUCGUUUUGGAAAAAGCAUGUCCGACAAGAAUUUUCAAGACCUCUUAGCUGACUCGCACCACAGACUACCUUAUCGCAGUGGUGGUCGGAGUGAAAAUCAACAGAGACUGAUGCUAUUCCGUUCUGCUUUCGUGGUCUACAUUUUAGCUCUACAUAUAUUGGUUUUCAUCAAAAUUUCAUUCUGAACAACCACAUAUAUUCAUCAGUAUUUUAUUUGUAUGUAAUAACUAAUUAGAUAUAUAGAAACUCGGAUACCAAGUAGAACACCAAUAAAGUGAUCAAAUAUAUGUAAACAAAUCAUCCUUUUGAAUUCUCUCCAAGAACUGAAUAGAUGGCAAACUUGUGUUGAUUGUGUUUAUUGGCAUUCAUUCUUUCAUUUAAUAGGUGGAGCAAUACAGAUGAAGAGCUGUGGUUGUAAAAAAGAAAAAGAAAAAGUAAUAAUAAUAAUAACUAUUAUAAUUAUAAAGAAUAAAAACCAAAAACCAAAAACCAAAACAAACAAGACAAAACAAAAUGCAGUUGGAAGAACUUUCAUCUUUGAUUCAAUUCUGUUUGAAGAGCAAACUGAACUCUCUCUUGAGCUGAUCGGAUGCCUUCCAUUUUCAACAUAUGAAGCAAGAAAUCACUCCAAAUAUCAAUAGGGCCAGGCAAGCACCAAUGAAUACAAUCAUUAUUCAAAUUCUCAUUCCCUUGAGGCCAAUGACUAUAUUUACUUGGAUGGCCAUCUGGUCUCAACCACAUUGCUUGUGUUGUAUCAAGCAAUCUCAACUUAAAUCCUUUCUUUCUCCCUUCUCUUUCAGCUCUUCUAAACUCCUCCAUUUGAGUCAUAUAAAGCUCCAGAUUCAUACCUUCUAAUGCUGUGUUUUUGCUCUUGAAUGGCUCUGUUCUCAAACAAUUCCCACCUUGAUUCCACAGCCCAUUUUCAAAGUGUGAUGGUGAGAAAGUUCUCAUGUAAGUGAUGCCUUUGUAGUUCUCUGAGUUCAGAAUGGCUUUGAAGGCCGUUCUGAAGGCCUUUCUGUACCCAUGGUAGAUUCCUAACUCGGUUACAUUGUUGAGAAAGCAGUCGUGGCAGCCGGUGACUUGGCCGUUUUCAUAGUAAAACAUAGGAUGGAGAAACCAUUGGCCGGAUGAGAUCAUCAAGUAAUCGAAUCCAGCUAUAUGGGAAGUCCAUGCUUCAUCAUACUCGUCUAAAUAUAGAUUGAAGACACCUCCUGUUGUUAACUCUUUUGAUUUUACUAGAUGGGUUGUCCACAGAAAGGCCACUGUGAAGUUAUAGUUCAUGUAUUUCCAUUUCUUGAAGUGUUCGCCUCGGCUAGGUGAAACAUCUAUUGGAUACUCGAGCUGAGAAUCAACAAAUAAAGAAUGAGGUGUAAAGAAUAAAGUAAAUUACACAGAAAGUGGAAGUUUGAAGGCUUUAUGACUAUUUAGAAGCUACGCUGUUUCGAAAUAGUUUUCUGCUUUUUCAGAACAAAAUCUAAUGAAACAUACUUGAAUGACAAGUCCCCCCCCCCCCCCCCCCCCCCCCCCCCAUUUCUUUUUAAAAACCACUAAGUUGGUUUUCCUUGAACAAUAAUAAAACAACUUGAUCUCUACUUCUUUUUCUAGUACAACAACAAUUGGGGGUUCGUUCCUUCUUAAAAGCUUCAAUUUUACUCCCAAUCCAUCUGAUAUAUAUAAUCCUAAAGUUGCUUAUUAAUUGAAAAUUUUAAAAUGCAUGUGACAUGAGCAUUUAUGUAAUUUAGUUAGUUUAUACAACUUUAAUAAAUUUCCUUUAAACAAACUUUCAUGAGUUUCAAUUACAAUUGAAUUGCAUUGUUUUUAUUUUCUUGUAGCUGUAGCAUACAAGUAAAACUCAAUGGCAUUUUGCCUUCAACAUACUUUUUAAAAAUCAUUGGAAAAAAAACCUACUCAUUAAAAAUAUUUUCAGAAUAAAAGUACAAAAUUGAUUUCCAAAACAUUUUUCUUUUCUUUCUUUUCAAGUGCUAAAGACAGGAGAAUAGCAUAACCAAAUAAAGAAGAAUAGCAUAACUGACAUAUGUAUGUAUCGUAAUGUUUGUGAUUCAAAUUUCUCAUCCUCUAUUGAAUAAAAAACAGGUUUUUUUUCAUAACAUGUAUAACAGCAGAUUAAAAUUGAUUUAGUAUUAGAUACAUUACAUCAUGAAAAUAAAAACGGUGCUAAAUUUCUAAUUUCUCCUAAUUGUAUUGGGAAUGUUUUAAAUCCAUAAGUUAUAGUUAAAUACAACUCUAAAAGUACUAAACAAUACUCAUUGAAAACACAAUAAACAUAUUUUAUUUAUAAGUAAUUAACAUUUGGUUAAUUAAGAAAUAUAGUGGAAUCCCCCAGUGUCAUUGUUCUCAGCAAAGAUUCUCAUAAUAUUAAAACCAUUAUCUAGAUCAAUAUCACAUGGGUGUGUUUCAUGGGUUUUCUUUAGAAAAUAAAUAUUAGAAGAGAAGAAAUGUUCAAGGGAUUAAUUCAUUUUUCUAUAAUUGUCACAAAAAAAAAAAAAAAGGCAUUGUUAUAUGCACAUUUUUUGUUUUAUACAUUAGUGCCUUAAGUUUUUUUAAACUUUAAAUUGUACCAUUACUAAGUCAAACUAGAAAAAUAUCAAAUAGAUGUUUAAACAAUAAAAUUGAUUGUUAUUUAGUAAAUCUUUAAACCUUAAAAAAUAUAUCAUAAAUAGUUGAUCUAUUAGAUGGAAAUUAAAAUUUUGAAAACCAAUAGGAUAAAAAAUUAAAAUUUUAUUACACCCAUUAGAUACAAUUAGGCAGAUUUAUUAGAUAAUUUUUAAAGAAUUUAAUAGACAUUGAAAUAGUACGUAAAAAAGAUCAGAAUUUUAGAGAUCAAAUUUAUAAAUUAACUAAUAAAUACAUUGAAAUUUGAUUCAUAAUUAUUUCACAUAAGGUUGUUGACCUGCCAUAACCAAACCCACAUAAAAAUAUAUAUACUUUUUCUUUUAUAUAUAUAAAAAAAAAAGAAUAAAAGUAAAAGAAAGAAAAGGGAGAGGGGGUUUAAAUGAAUAAAUGGUGCAAUGUGACUUACCCCACACUCAAAGAUACUAAAACAAAAUAUUCCAUAUAGAGACUUUCAAUUCAUUCAAUUUCUAUUACUUCUCCAUUGUACCAUCAAACCUAUGAACACAAAUUUUUUUAUCUAAAUACGGAAUACCAACAAUAAUUUCCACACUAAGAGGCCUCUAAUUAAACCAAGCUUUAAAGUAUAAGGCACACACACACAAAAAGAAAAAGAAAAACUUCAAAAACAACAACAAAUAGUUUAGUCAUUAAACUUAAACAAACUAUAAUUGAACUAAAAGACUGUGAAUUUAUUAUAAAAAAAAAAACUCAAAGUAAAGAAAAUCCACCGCAAUCAAACAAAGCCUUAUCACAUGAUUCACAACACAAAGUCCCUACAUGAAUUCUUUAAUUUUGUUAAAAUAAAUAAAGAAGCAUAAAUAUGAAAAUAUAGAAAGCAAUAUGGAAAGUGAGGAGAUAAAAAAUGAGGAACGAAAUUAGUAAAAAAAAAAAAGAAGAAGAAGAAGAAGCUAAAGUAAUGAUAAAAAUGGUACAGCCGACAAUGGCGGAGUAAGAAAAGCAAAUAAAUAAAAGAAAAAGAGAGUGAAAAAGGGUGAAAUAAUUAACCUUGGAGAGGAGGCAGAUGAGAGACUGAACGUGAUUUCUGGCAAUAUUAUCCCCAACAAACGCAAACGCCUUAUGCCUCAUCAGUUCCAAAAACUGCGCCGGAUUAAACGAAGGAAGCUCACACCCGUCGGGCCUCCACCUCCAGCGCAGAAACCCACCGUCUGGCCUCCCGUACUUGAGGCAAUUGAGGUGGUCGUGAAUCGCCCAGCAGCUAUCGUUGGUGUAGGGGAGGGGCGCUUUGGGGUUAGAAUUAGGGAUCCAAUCCCCGAUAGCGAGAUCGCAAGGGAGGGCGGAGAGGAGGGAGAGAUUUCCAGAGGAGAAGAUCUGGGGGCGGAAGGCGGCGGAGGCGGCGGAGGCAGGAGAUUCGAGAGAGGUUUUGAGGAGUAGGAGGGAGUAAUUGAGGAGAGGGAAAGAGAGAGGGAUGGUGGUGAGGAUCAAUAGAGCUAAUGCUCCACCGAGAAUGGGCAUUAGGGUUCUGAAUUGGCCAUUUUUGCAAGGGCGGAGGUCGGUGGUGGUUGCUUGGCUUUGGAGCAUCAUUGGAGAGAGAAAGAAGAUGGAAGGAGAAAAAGGGGAAGUGAAAUUUUGCUUCUUUUAAUUAAAAUAUAAACAGACAGAAAAUGAUUUUAUUUAAUUAUAAAUAUGUAAAUAAAGGAAGUGUGUGUGAAAGACUGAAAGUAUAGUAAGGGCGUGUAGAUUAGUGGAAUAACGCAGGGAGUAUGGAAGUAGUAGGUCAGUUUGUAUCAAUUUUAUUCAAACUUUAUAUCCAUUUAAUUAUUCAAUUUACAAUUAUAAAGCUAUGAAUAAUUGGUAUUUAAAUUAGGAUUUAUGAUUUAUGGGGAGAGGUGGGUUUGAGUGAGUUUGAAGUUUGUGUUCAUAUUUAUUGUUAAACCUUUUUUAAAAGAUUCCUACAUAUAGUUGUACAUGCAACACUUUCACAUAUAAUGUACUCAUUAUUUAUAUAUUACAUCAACCAAAAAGCAGAAAAGUAGAAAAUGAUUCUGAAUUUUUAUUUUAAUUCUCUUUUGGUUUCACAAUAGAAUGUAGUAAAAGAGAAUAGUAGAUAGGAAGACUAAAAAUCCUCACUACACAACCUACCCCUACACCAUCUCCAACCUCCAACUUCCUAUGCCAAUCAAUAAUCUUCAUCUAACUUAAAUAAAUAAUCCCCCUUUUCUCUCCAAUUUCAUCAUUAUAAUUAACAAUUUCUUUUUAUUUUUACUUUUAACUAUGUAUUUAAUUAUGUUUUUUUUUUCUGCUUUAUCACUUAAGUAAAUUCAUAAAACCAUUUUGUUAAAUACAAAAAGGUAAAAUAUUCAUAAAAAGGUAUUUGAAUUGAAGUGUCGGUGAUGAGUUUAGGUCGUUGAGGAAGAUGAUUUUCCAUAGGAAUUGUUCUCUUUUUCUUUUUCUUUUCAAUUUUAACCAUCUUGGAAUAUAAUUUUCUUUUUUUUUUUACUGCUAUAGACAUGGUAAAUGUGUUUGUGGUCAUUCAUUGUGAUUUGUGAACUUACGUCUAAAUAAUUGAGAUUCAAAUGUUGUUAAAAGAACAAAGACCCCACUCGUCGUCACUUCUCCCACCAAAUUUAAGUGACAUUUCAUACGAUGCGACUAACUUUAGCCAUUACUACAACCCCACUUCAUACACUCUUUUAAUGUUUUUCUUUUAUAUUAAUCAACAUUAAUAGAGAAACUUUAAUUACACAACCAAUCUAAUUUGUUUAUGAAAACAUUUUAGAAAAUGUGUGUUUUUAUUUUAAAUAUUUUUUAUAAAAUUAAAAAAGAAGUGUAUAUAUAUAUUUCUAGUCCAUAUGAACAAUGUCUAAUAUAUAUAUAUAUAGCUUCUUUCAUGAGUCUCAUCCAAGUUUAAUUAAUUCAAGUUAUGGAAGAAGAAAAAAGUCAUCCAUACAAAUUAAAUUGGACAGUACUAUAAAAAAAAAAAUACUCCAAUAAUUUUACAACCGUUUACAGAGUAGAAUUAAAGAAUUUGUUGCUUUGUACAAAUCCAUAUAUGAAGUUUUAUCUAUUCACACACCACAACUGGUAUAACUCUACAAAUUAUAUAACCAAUUUGGCACCUCAAACACCUUAAGAUUUAAAAUCUCAAAUUUAAUGAGACGUCAAGUUGAAAUUUUGAAAUCAGAAAUUAAUUUUUUUGUGGAGUUUAGACGUACGAAUUUUGGAUGUCGAGAUAUUUAGUAUGAAGUUAGAAAGUAUGUGUUUUGAAAUCCCCACCUCAUCCUUGAUAGUUGACAUGUUUAGAUUUUUUAAAAAGAAAGUUACAUUUUUAGUCACCAAAUUUUGAAAAACGUAUGUGUUUUGGUUUAUGAGUUUUAAAAAUGUACCUUUUUAGUUCUCGUGUUUAUAGAAACAGACACAUUUUGUCUCCAAAUUUUCAAAAUAUACCUUUUAGUUCUUCCGUUUUUAAAGUUAGGUUAAAAAAGUAUCUCAAACAACUUUAUAUUUUUAUAUUAAGUAUUACAUGACAUUCUAAAUUAGAAAAAUAAUUUCCAAAAUUCAUAUCCUUUCUAUUUUUUAAUUUUUUUAAAAGUGUUAUACAAUUAUUUAAAAAAAAAAUCAAACAAAAAAUACUUAUAAAAUCUUUUAAAUUUAUUUAAAAAAAUUAGACUAAAAAUGUGUUUUGAAUAAGAAAUUUUGAGACCAAUCACAAAUUGUCACAUUAUUUAUUAAAUUAAUGAUGAAAAUUGCAAAUAAUUAAAUUUGUGACUAAUUAAAAUUGACAUGUGUUCCAAAUUAAAAAAAUAAAAACAUAAAUUGGUUCAUUCUAAUAAUACCUCAUGUUUUUGUCAUAACCCUUGGAUCAAGUUAAUUGUUUUGAUUCAAUAAAAUAUUAUUUAUUUGGACUAAGUUCAAUUAAACCAAAAAAAUAAGUUUACUUGAGCCGCCCGAAGGCUAAAUAUAACUUAAAUAAAUGUGGCUAAGCCCAUGAGUCUGGUCCAUGAACCAACCAGACACAAGCUCAUAAAGUCCACUAGAUAACUCUAUAAAUAGAAGAGUUCUCCUCAUUUGUAAAGGGGUUGGAAAUUUUUUACUUAAGAAGUCCAGAUAAGACUCCCUAACUCUUGAAGUCGACCAUCUUCGAAUAUUGAAGCUUAUCUUUCAAGACUCCAACUUCUACAAGCUUUCUUCUAAGACUCCAAUUUUCCUCGAAGAUUGAAGCUUUUUUGAAGAUACAAAGCUUGAUUGAAGCUUCUUUGAAUUUGAAGAUACAAAACUUUCUUCCAAGACUCCAACUUCAAGAAUAUUCGUGCUUUGCUUCCUCAAAUCAAGCAUAAGGAUCCAAUCGAGAGAGAAUCAGAUGAUCAAAUUCUAGAAAUCAAAUCGCAUCGCAUCAAAUCAACAAGAUACAACAUCAACACCACGAACCAAAUUUCUCCAAAAAUCUCGUGCGAACAAUGUGUUUGUAAAACUAUGACAAAACACACAUUUUGAUUGAAACUUGAAAACUAAGAAGUAUUAAAUAAUUAUAUGAUCAUUCUAAUUUGGAAUAAGAAUUUCUAAAAAUCAUAUCAUUUCUAUUUUUUUAAUUUUAAAUUCAUAUAAUUAUUUUUUAAAAAUAAAAAAAUAAUUAUAAAACCUUUUAAACCUACUUUAAAAUUUUAGACUAAAAACGUGUUUUUAAAACGGGGACAAAACACACAUUUUCAUUAAAACUUAGAAAGUAAAAAGAUAAUUUAAAUACAAUUUAAAAAUAGCAGCCUUUAAAAAUAACAAAAUAAAUUAAAAUACUUACAAGCUAUAGCAAAAUUUUAAAUUCUAUCAAUGAUAAUUUUCUAUCACUACAGUAUAUCAAUGACCAUCGGUAAUAAAAUUUGAUAUAAGAUGCAAAUAUUUUGUAAAAUUUGUUAUUUUUUAAAAUAUCCCUGCAAAUAAAUAAAUAUAUUAACCAUAUUUUAUAUUUGCAGAAAUUUAAAAAUUAUUUUUUAAGAAAAAUGGUCAAAAAUUAGAAAAUGGUCAAAAAUGAUAAAAUGGACGCACUAUUUAUAGUUGAAAGUAAAAAGUAAAAUCAAGGGUAACGAUUCUUUUCCUUCACUGAUUUGUCCUCAAUUUUGUAUUUUUUUUAUUGUUCUUCCUUCUGAAUAUAAUUUUUCAAAAUUUCUUCUUCUGUAAUUUAAUAUAGUAUUAAUUUUCUUUUUUUGGUACAGUAUUAAUUUUCUUUUUUUGGAGAAUUGUAGCAAAUUCUAUGACAAACAUAGUGAUAGAAUCCAAAAUUUUGUUAUCUUGUAAAUAUUUUAAUUUAUUUUAUUAUUUAAAAAAUGCUCAUAUUUGUUCCCUAAAAAAACCUAGUUCUGUAUAUUUUUCUUCCGUAGAUUAACUUAUUAAGUUUUCUAUUUUUUUUUGGUUAUAAAAUGCUUGUUUCUAUAUUAAAAAACAUUUAAUAUUAAUAAGGGUAAUAAUAGCAUUUUUUGAAAAUUAAUUUUUUAAUUCUAAGAAGUGGGGUUUUUUUAAAAAAAUAUUUGGGGAUCCAUUUCCCCAAUUUUCCAAAGGGGAAUCUAUCCCCCAACCUCCAUUCGCACCAAAUAGGUGAGGUUGGGGAUUGAUUUUCCCUGCAGGGAGUGAGAAAGGGAAUGUACCCCAGGCCCUACCCACCUUGUUCCCAACCUUACUCAAUUGACAUGUUGACAACACAUUUUACUUCGAAAAUAAGUUCGGUGCUACAAGGUUAAUACGUGAGUUUUAUAUCACAUGUUGCAUCAGCAUUCAUCCCUGCAUCAGCAUCAGUACUAGAAGAGAGAUGAUUAUGACUACUACUUCAAGUCCUAAGCAAAUUAUUGAACCAUGUGAAACAUAGCUCUUAGUGAUGACGACAGAGAAUUGGAGGAUGUCCAAGAGACACAGCUUAGUUAACAAUCUACUCAUGCGGACCAAAAGAAUAUACGUUCAAACUACACAAGCCUAGUCAAUAAUCUACCCAUGCGGACCAAAGGAAUAUAUGUUCAAACUACAUCUCCUAUUACAAAUGGUUCAUGAAAAACUAUUUUUCCUUUGUAUUACGGUAACACGUCUUAAUUUAUCAUUUAAUUGAAUAAGAUAUAAUGAGAUUGGGUUUGACGUGUGUUAUUAUAUAUGAAACUAUUAUUAAAAAAAAAAUCAAAACAAAGGAAAUUCUAAUUGACACUUAGAAUCGUCCGAUGAAUGUAUAUAUUGUUGAAAUACCAAGAAGCAUUUGAAUGCUUGAAAUUUUCACAACGUUGUUUCUAUACCGAACAAGCUCAUUGGCUUUUGUUACUAAAAGUUAUCAGAAAAUAGUGGGUGAGUAUUAUAGAUUGCCUUUGUUUUUAGAAAUAAGUAUACUAAUUGACCUGGCAUGUUUUAUAUGUAUAUGAGAUAUAGAAAAUUUCUACUAGAAAAUAACAUAUAGAAAGAGUGAUGCAAGAAACACAAAUCCCCAACCUGUUGCCUCAAUGGGGACGAAGACGGGAAUUAUAUAACCACAUACCCAAUCCACACUCUCCUAACCCCAUCAAUAACCACCCACGACAAUUUGGGAAUCACUUCUUCACAUAUUAGAUAAAGAAAAGAUUCUCAUUCCUAAAGUGAUAACAAGUACAUAGUGAAAAAUACAACCUAAUCUUACUCAAACAGAAACUAUUCUCUAGGUUGUACAAUUGUGUCCUUGAUUCUAAACUACACAAUAAAAGAUCAGGUCAGAGGAAGAUCAUUUUCUAGAGAGUCGACCGCUUGAUUUAUAAUCUUCUUUUACCCCACACCUACCCUUAAAAGGCUUAAACCAAAAGCACAAUUAUGUAUCCCCCUAAAUCCUACUCUCAAGGGGUGCGUUAGAAAAUUGUUUCAGGAAACUAAGAGUAUUCAUGAGUCAUGAUGCUAACGAAAUCCCCUCCCCUCCAUAUGAGAAUAAUGGAUUUGAGAAGGUUGAGAUAGAGGAACGACUGCAAUUCUUGGGUAAGCAACUGUGCCCCAUUGGUUCGAAGAAUCUUUAGUCGGAAUUAUUCUAAACCUUGAUCACCUGUCAACAUAACUAUAUCCCUCGGUCAUGUCCUUAAACCAAAAAUUUCCAACUGAAAAUACCAAAAGGAAAAAUGUAAUCCCAAGACCCUAACAAAACCAAGUCAUGUAUAUGAUAAUCGACUCAAACAAAGGUAUCACACAAAGGCAACUACUUGGUCAUAGUUGAACAAGACUACAUGCAAAGUACAGCCUGCGGACAGAUAAUCAGCCUAACAUUGAGUUAGAACCUACACCACUAACAUCAAGUCUUUGUUCUUUGGUAAAGUGUCUCCUUCAUUAUCUAAAUAUAAGAUCACAUGAAUCCUUAACAAUACAAAAUGGACAAUGUCCUUAGACUCCUUAUAAAAAUCACUCUUUCGGGGGUUGUUAAGUAAACACCCUAUGAAGACUCUCUUUGGUGACAGCUCCAAUAGCUUAUCCCUUAAUUAGACCAUUUGCCAAUGAAUUUUUUAAUCAUUGCCCAUAAAUAAUUAGCUCACUUGAUUUGAAGGAGUAAAUUUGUAAGGUAGGCGUGUGUCACAGGUGGGGCAUGCAUGCCAAUCCCCUGCGCCACCCAUGACAGUGUGGGACUGCUUCCUCUAGGAGUUUGAUUAUAUUUUGGCUCAGUAGAGGGUGGUCGCUAAUUCAACCGACUAGUUCCUUCUCUAUUUGCCUUUUCAGGAGAUGGUCCAAUUGUUGAAGUUAGUGGGGGAGUUUGUUGCGGUAUGGGUUUUGUGGGGUAAGAUUGGUCCUUGGUAAAGUUCCAAGUUUACCUUUACGAUUUGAUUUCGAAGACUUAUUGUCAUUACUAUUUAGGCAACAUUAUAUUUUCUCAAUCGCAUUUCUUUUACUAAUAAUAAUAAUAACGAUAAAGAAACUCACUCAUCAACAGGCAAAGCUUAUAGUUAUAGAUAGUUUCCUGUGAAUUCUUCUUUUCACCCAAUCAGACAUUAUUUGAAGCAAAUAACUUCUCAAAACUAUCCCUACAAAACUUGUCCCAACCAAUAAAAGAAUCUCUCAGCCUAAAUGCAGUACCAAGAUUAAUCAGGAUCAAUCACUUCAUGAACAAAUAGCAUAUGGCUUCUUCUUAAGAUUGUCCAAUAACGUAUAAACAGCAUCAUGAAUAUGGAUUUUUCUUUACAUUUCCCUAUUGUUAUUUCUGGACUAUUCUCCCUAAGAAAAUGUGAAACAUAGCCAAAUGUCCCGUCUUCAACUGAUCAUCAGAUAUGUUAACUCAAAGACAUUUAAAUUAAUUCUGCUACAUGUAAAAUUAUCAAGUAGAAAUAGACUUCAUUAAAUCGUUUCCUUGACUCAAAAAAUCUCAAAAAGGCAAUAACAAAAUGUGGGUGAGAAAACUCCAACAGCAGGAGUAAGAAAAUCACAAGAGGGUUUGAAAGAGAGAUCCUACCUUUAAGUCGCCCUAGGAGUGGCCCACUCAACUCUAAGGAUGAGAUUAUCGUAACCAUAUCCAUUAAGCUUGUUAAUUGAUCUUUGUGCAUCCUCACGAUUCACAAAGUUUACAAAACCAAAUCCUCUGCUCAUGCCAUUCUUUUGAUCAACAGCAACAUAAACUCGGCUAACAGCACCAAAAGGUCGGAAGAGCUCAAGCAAGUCAGGUUCCCUAGUGUCCUCCGAAAGAUUGGUAACACGUACAGAGUUUUCAUCAUUCCUACGCCUCAUGUCAGUUCCAGUCCUCUCCGCCCCUGCUCUCAUACCUGGAGGAACAUACGCUCCCUUUGUUGCACCAGGAGCAGCAGCUGUAGUCUCUGGUGCAACAGGCUUAUCCAAUCCAUCAGCUUGUGGUGCCAGGUCUUUGUAAGGGCACCUUGAGGUCCAGUGGUCACCCUUUUUACCACAAGUUCGACAGACCAUAAGAACAGCUCCCCCUUUUCCAAGUUGAGCUAGCGGGUCACCAGCAACCUUGGGCUCCUCUGGUUUGCUACCUGUAAUCAUUUUCAUUCUUUAAAAGAAAAUUUAUUGUAACAAGGCAAGAAGAUCGAUUAAGGUGAGCAGAAUAGAGUAUCAAAACUGUACAAACAAUAUUUAUGAGCAGCACCCAAGUAAAAUUUCAAACUAAGAAAUCAAAAGAAAGGCCCGGAGAAAUUUCUCCGGCUUAAUAAAUCCUACAGACAUAGGAUACAAAAAGAAAAUGAAAUCAUAAUUUGAAGCACCCAAUUCACAAGACAGCCCUGUAAUUCCCAAAAAGAACACACGCCACAGCAUAGUUCUGCAAGCCUAUCACUCUCUCCACACAAAAGUGAUUCUCUCCCCUCGUUUUGAAUACAAACUAAAAAGGUUUACACAUCUCCAGUAAGCAUGGACCACAGUUUUACAUAGCUCAAUCACCACCGUAACCAUAAGAACAACCUUAUGUCCUCCAGGUCUUGUAAGUGCUUCCUCGACUCCACAAAGAAACAAAUGACAUGCUCUAUAACCAAAUUAUAACAUAAUAGUUGAUACAUAGAAAAAACUACCAAAAUCAAGAUUUAUUGAAAACAAACCAGGAGCACGAGGGCGCUCGAGAAGAAUCUCCUCAGUGGAGACCAUAGUGAGCCGACUGCCGACGUCUUCAUGGACAGCAUCGCCGAACUUUGCCCAAGAACGGCGCUCUACCGCAUGUUUACUAAGGCGAGCAUGGGCGAGCUUGCGUGUACGAGUUGUCGUUGUGAUUUUGACCUUGUUACCAUCUUCGUUAAACUGAUACUCAACAAUUUUCUUCAACCCAUUUUCGUCUGGCCCGAUAAUUUGCUUUGGAGGAAGAAGAAAAUCUAGAUCCCCAUCGUCAUCUUCAAGCUCCCCCCAUCUCAAUUUGGAUGCAUUAGUCUGCUGAACCAUUGCGCAGAAGAUGGAGAGCCCAAAGUGCGAAGGAAAUUUUGGGGGCUAGGGUUACGCUAGGGAAGGAGAACCAAAAGAUGUAGAAGUUGCAAAUUAUAAUUUACAUAAUUUUUUCACAAUCAAUUGUAGGAAACUUAGUUCAAAAUAAUUCAUCCUCCUUUUCACCUUGUGGGUGAAAAUAGAUAAUGCUUUUCUUUUUUUUUAAUCUUCUCAAUUAAGAUUGAUCUCGAGCUUCUUACUUAAUUUGAUAGCCCACAAUUCAUGCACAUAUACAAUAACUUCCACACUUUCCACAUUCUGGCAUUAAGUUCUUGGCUACACAUCGUAGGAAUCUUCGUAUCGUUUUCAUCUUCAUAUGGAAAUCUCUGGUACCUGUCGGACAUAUUCGACCCGACAUUCAUGAAUAUCUUUGCGCGUGCUCCUGUAACAUAAUCUUUUUCGAACAUAUAUCUUGCCCUUCGUUGUAGGAUGACUCUGUUAAAAAUUUCAAAGCAAUUGUUAGUUUUUUUAUUUUAUUACAAGCGAAUGAAUAAUGACUCACACUAAAUUAUUUUCCUACCUUGACCCAACUAUCAAACAAUUCCUUCUCAACGAUUAUGCACUUAACCUCAUCUAUCCAUUUGAACCCACUGCAUGAUAGGCCUCGUAUUUUUGCUAUGGCCUGGAAGGUUGGAAUGUUCUCUCAAGUGUCUCGAUCUGACAGUCAAUAGUAGUGGUCGUUUAGACAGUGCAUCCUGACAACUUUUCCACCAUCAAUCUCACUGGUUGUUCUAGGUAAUUGGGUAUGAAUGUGUCGUUGUCUGACUUCCACCCACCGAUGAAGACUAACUCAACCAAACACUCCACGAGGGUGGACUCCUUCUCUUUAGUCCAUAAAUGUUUGAGGGCUCGUGACGAACUAGCCAUACUGACAAAGGAAGGAAGAAAAAGAAAUCGUAAGCGAAUGAGUUAGAGAAGAAGUAAACACAUGGAACAAAAUAGGUCGUGCGACAUGUCAUGGGUCAUUGUUUCAUUCAUUUCGUGGAUACACACAUACAUUCCACAUAUAAUAAGAUUGGCCAUAUUUAAUAAAUUAAAGUAACGGGGUACCAUUGCUACAUUAUGAGUACUACUGAUUACGCAACUCUCAUUGACUAAACAUCUCUUCGGCUAGAUCAUCUCUCCACUGACUCCAUUUGUUGGAGGUCUCAAUGUAGUGAAUGCCAUCACCUCACUAGAAGAAAUAUGACCUUUAAUGUUGGUUUAAAACUAACAUCAAAACAAAAACGACAUUAAAGGCCUUUAAUAAUGCUAGCAUAGAUGUCGGUUGCCAACAGACCUUUAGCCUCGUUUAAUGUCGUUUUUAAACUGACAUUUUUAUGGUUAUUGAAAAUCUUUAGUGUCGGUUGGCCUUUGAUGUCGUUUUAAAAUCGACAUUAAUGAGACAUUUAAUGUUGUUUUUAAAUCGACAUCAAUGAAUCUCUUUAAUGUCUGUAUUAAAAUGGCAUCAAAGUUUUGUUUGGUUCGUUUUAUAAAAUUGUUUUUUUAAAUUAUUGCAUUAUUGUCCAUUUUUUAUGAUGUUGAAACCGACAUUAUUUGUCACGAAUUACGACAUAAAAUAUUCAUCAUCAAAUAUUAUAAAAUAUAAAAAAAAUCGUUGCACACUUGCUAGCUAUAGAAUGUUUACUACUCCAUGGCAAACCUUAUAAAUUAUUUCUAUUUCGAAGAUCAACACCUACCAAAUCAACAUACACUUUGUUAAGAUAUUUUGGCAAAUAGAUUACAAUCUUUUUCAAGUAAAUAAAAUUGUGUUUAGAGGCUCCUACUAUGAAGGAAUCUUAAUAAGGUUGGUUCCUUAUUUUAUGGAGAAGAGAUCUUUUUUAAAAAUAUAUAUUAAGCGUCGUUCAUGCUCAAGGUUUGGUUGAGCGAAAAACAAGAGAACGACGGUGAAUGGUGUACUGCUAAACUUGCCGAGAAGAGACAGAAAAAGGUGAAGGUCUUCAUGUAUAUUUAUGUCUAAUAUACUCACCGUAGAUUACAGGUUGUUUGAAUAACCUACAAAGAAGAUGAUGUAGUGGAUAGAUUGAUGAGGAAUAUGUCGACAAGAAGACCGCAUACUUGAGGGAUCAAUUCUAAAGCCAGGAGGAGCCUGUACUGGUCUUGGUAGCAUGUCGAUGAGAAGAUCAUGGAGUUGAGGGAUCAACUCUGGAAUUCAGGGGAGCCUAAAUCAUUCUUCAAAGAGAUUCAGGAAUACUUCAGGGGAGCCUGAGUUUAAUAUUUAGUUAUGCUAUGAUUAUUCAAUGUAACCCGUAUGACGAGUUACAUAUUGAGAAUCUCAGUAAUAUUCCUUAUCCGAGUAGAAUUCAAUGGCAAACGAAUAAUAUUUCUAGCUAUAGAAUUCAACAUCUAAAAAACUAGCAUACAUUUUUCCACACUUCCAUGGCAAACCAAUAAAAAAAAAUUGUUGCACGCUUGCUAACUAUAGAAUGCCUACUACUUCAUGUCAAACCAAUAAUAUUUCUAUUUCACCUACAAUGCACAAUAUCCAACACCUAACAGCACACUUUUUCACAUUUCAAUAUAAAACUACAACAAAUACACAUCAUCCAACACCCUUUCAACAUCCAACAUCCACACUUCCAUAUCCAACAUCCAACAUCUAAUAUACCAACACAAUUUUCCACACUUCCAUAUCAACAAACACACUAAAUGCAAUUACUAUAAGUGAAAACUCAAAAUCUAAAAAAUAAUAUGUAAGAUCAUGAUAUAUUACUAAACAAAAGUAUGUGUACAACAAGUUCCUCCACUAACUAAAGUAUAUGGUACAAGCUAAAACUAAAGUAUGUACAACACCUACUUCAAAAACUACAAGUAGAAAACUACAAGCAAAAAAGCCCAAAACUAAAGCAUGUACAACAACCAAUUCUUUCACAAACUAAAGUCUAACUACUAACUUAUAUAUUACAAAAAAAACAAAAGAAAAAACAUGUAAAAACUUACACAAAUCGGCCAACAAAACUUGCCCAUUUUAUUCGAAUCUCGCCAAUCUCCUCUUGCCUAUAUGCACUUUUUGUAUUGAACUACACAAAGAAAGAAAAGUGUGGAAAGAAUGAGUUUUGAUCAUUAUUUAAUUUUCACGUAUAAAAAGUGAAGGUAUAAAUUUACAAGGCUAGUAAUGGGAGUACUAGGAUUAUGCACUAUUUCGUGUUUAUAUUUUUGGACAUAGUACCUACACCCUACAGAAUCCAAUUGAUGAGGGCACUGCAUGUAUAUCAAUUGGAUACAAAAUAUUUUUAUGUUUAUCGAAAAUAAUUAUGUGUCAAUGCAAAUUACCUUUAUAGGUUUGUGUCAAUGCAAAUUACCUUUAUAGGUUUCCAUUUCGGAGUUGUCCGAUAGUGAUGUAAAUCGUGCUUAGCUUGCAAUGUUUUUAAUCCUAUAUAUAUUUGAAAACAUUAGAAUUAGAAGACAAUAAAGUGAAACAAGAAGUAAUAAAGUGAAUACACUUACACAUUUUACACAUUUAUGACUCCAUGAAUGUCUUCAUUAACUUUACUCCGAAGAGAUUCCAAGACAUAAGCAUAAUUUUCUUGAAGAUAGAUGACAUGCAACAUCCAAUGAAAACUACAAUAAACAUCUUCAAUGUGAGUAUACAUUUAACCACAAUGAAAAAAAAAAAGUGUUCCUCUUAUUUAUUUACAUAGGAUUAUACGGAAUUAGAACUAUUUGUUCCAAGGUAGCCGCUUCUAACUGGUUGGCUAAAUUUUUGGUCAAAGAUCAUGAUCCUUGAUAUGUGACGUUAGUUUUUAUUGGCUGAUAACAAAAAACUUUCUUCCACGGUCACAUUUAUCCCAAAGAUUUCUAAGUAAAAGCAACCUUAGUUAAAAAAAGAACAAAAUAACUAUAGCGAUGGUAUUGGAUAUAAAGAUGAGUAAAAGAUGUUUACUUACGUAAUGUAUGCAUAUAUAACCUAUUUCAACCAUGCAACAGUAAUGUAGGAACUCCUCACAAGCUAAAUAAACAAAUUUUUUUACCAAAUAUUAGCUCAUUCAUUGGGAUAUGAACCAUAUCUACAUCCUUCAUAUUGUUCACGACAUGUCCAUUUAAGAGCUUAAUAGUUUCACUAACGUCUGUGUACUUUGAAGAAUACACAACAUCCUUCGGGGUUGAAUGCUCCUACCAUAACCAAAAUAAUAAAUUUAAAGUACAACCACAAAUAAUAUGAAAACUUAAAUAGUGAAAAAGAGACUUACUAGUUUGUCAUGAAUCACAUAAACAAGCUAACGAGGUCAUUCAAUAAUGUUACCCAACGUUUGAUUGAAAGUCUCUAUCUUGCCCUUCAUCGGAACAGGUAUACUAAAAUCUCCUUUAGUAAGCAAGUCCACCAAAACUUUAACAUUUGGACCGUCACUGUUAUCGUCAAAUAUGGUGGCUAUUGCAACGAUAUUAUUAAUUGAUCCUACAGCUAAUUUGCAUGGUGUUCCCUUUACAAGUAUUAAAAGUAUCGUUAAGAACAAUUGAUCUAUAUCAUUAAAAUUUUAAAAAUGACAACAAAGUUAAUUACCUUUACUCCUUCGUUGCUAGGUGUGUUGCCCAAAUCCUCAUCGACAAUAAGAUCUAUGUUAACACUUUCGAUGGACGAUCUCGAGCGACUAUGACUCUUCUUAUGACUUUUGCUUCUCGAGUCAUCUUCUUUACGACAUAUUUCAACUUCAGAACUUAUCAUUUUCUCUUUCCCUUUCACUAUUUUGAAAUAUUGUGAUUGAGAGACAAAACCACCCACACCUCUGACAUGUCCACCGUGCUCCUUGGAACCCAAUGCUUCAGUCAAUAUGUGCUCAUAUUUAUGUGUUGCGACUAAUGCAUCCUAUAAAACAAUACAAGUAUUUUCAUCACCAACUAAGUUAAUAAAAGAUUAUAUAUUUUAUAUAAGUAAAUCGUAAGUAAACUUACAAUCCGAGAGACAGUAGCAUUAUCAAAAUAACCAUUGUUCUUUCCUUUUCGGGCUUCUUUUCAAAGAGUUAACGAUAGGAAACAUCACGUGUUAUAUUAUGCAACCAAAGAUAUAUACUUAAUUAGUAUAAACAUAUUAAGAAAAAUUAUUUAAUUUAAUUAGAAAGACUCAUUAAUUCGUUGGCAAGAUUCGCAUAUCCCUUACGAGCAAAUUGAUGAUUGUAUAAACAUUUUAACCUUCUUUCCUUUUGAAUACAACUGUACUCCUGUACAAAGCAGUAGUUUGUAGUUACAUACCAAAACAAUAUUAAAGUUAACAUGUAAUUAAAUUUUUUUUACCUCCCAUUCUUCAGUUAGUCUAGCGUCCACAAAGGAUUCCCAAUCUUCUUGAUUAUAUGAGAAUAAAUUUUAAGAGGAAACUGUAGAUGUGAUGGUUGACGAUCCUUAAACAGUAGUAUAUACUUUCGAGUUAAUGAGGUCUUGAAAGUCUGAAACUUUCUUGAUGCAGACAUGAAGAUAGAAUGUUUGGCAUUAUGAUGUAACUCAAAUGACAUUUACACAAUAGAAAACAAAAGCAUAUUUAGACUUAGGGAAAUCAAACUACAUUGUAUAAAAAACGUAAAUAUAGAAUCCAUACUGAUAUACAAUCAUAGAUUUUAUCUUUCAACUCAUUCGGAACUUGUUUCCAAGAUUUGUAUGUGACAGAAAUCUGCUGCUGAAUGUACACACCAAUGUAACUUUGCAUUUUCUUAGAAGUUGCUCCUAUAGGUUUCCCGUGUUCAUUAAAUUGAACGGACAACUGUUGCCCAACAUUUCUUGUUGGUGCUAACUCUGACACAAUAGUUGGGCCACGUGGCACAUAUAAUCUGGUUCUUACUUCAGGAAUCAUUUGUCUUUCAUCCUCACUGCUAGAAUGUGAAUCCUCCAUCUAUAAAUUUACAAAAAAAAAACAUAUAUACAUUAGUAAGCAAAGUAAUGACAUAUCAUAAGCAUAGUAAUUACGAACUCUAAACAUAAAUCUAUUAUAAAAGAAAGUAAAUGACCUACCUUAAUAAAACAUUUAUCACAAUCAUUACUUAUCUACCCAUCUACCCUCAUAAUCAUGUCUAAUAUAUGAUGGAGUUGUAUCAUCAAUCUCGUUGGGUGUAUCAACAUUGGGCAUCCUUUGAAUGACUCCAUAACCACACUCUAGAAGCAUAUCUCCUAUUUCAUCUCCAAAGAAAUCUUCUUCAAUAGUUCUUUGUGGAGAUGUUAAAUCCGCUGACCAUUUAGGAUUUGAAGAAUCUUUCACAUAGAAUACUUGUUUUGCUUGGGAGGCUAAAAUAAAAGGGUUUGAUUUAUGUCAAAUACGUUUGAGAUCCACAAUGGUAAAUCCAAGCUCGUCCACUUUGACUCCAUUUUUAUUAUCAACCCAAUCACACUUAUAUAAAAUAAAAGAUAAUUGAUGGCAAUCAAUUUCCCAUAUAUCUUGUAUUAUGCCAUAAAAGGUCAUAUCUGACAUGACAUGGUUUUUGUCUUUAGAACUAGAGACUUGCAUCGUAGUGGUUGUUAUACUAACUCCACUAUUUUCGACCAUCACGCCCUUUUGUGUGAUUGUAAUAACCAUUGAUCAUGUAACCAGAUGGUUUGUAAAUAUUUUCAUUGCGAGGACUUAAUAGCUUUGUGCUGAGAGACCAUUAUAGCAAUACUUCACUAAGUCAGGUCACUGUGCAUAAUGCACUCGUCAUGACUUUUGAUAUUGCUUGCGUUUGAUCUCGUGUAAGCGAUGAUUCAUAGAUCGUGAUCAUAGCAUACAGAAUGCUCACUACGUACCUCUUCAUUUCAUAAUACUUAAGUCCUUGAUAAAUACAAGUUUUUCUACUAUUCACCCAAGUGCAAGCAAAUAAUAGAUUUAUCUGAGUGAUCUAGGGUCGAACACAGGAAAUUGUUUGAGAUGUUAGUUCGAUACUUUACUUUAGCAUUAAGACGUUAUGACAAUUAAGCUGAAAGAAUGUAAUGCUAAUUAUAACUAACUAUUUACAACUUAAGACUCACGCACAGAGAAUAAAUUAAGCUAGGGGAGAGUGAAAUGAUCUAACUUGUAUGCAAAUGAAGGUUGAAGGAUAUUCUACGCGCUAUCAAUUGCUUAGGAUUUGUGAUAACCUUAACACACUAUAAUUGCAUAAUGGAUACAUGAUUAAGGCGACCUUCUCUCGAAGUGUUUAAAUGCCACACUUUCUCGCGUUUUGGGACACAAAUGACUAUGCUUGCUUAAGCGAAUUAUACUUAGAGAACUUGACUCAUAAUACUUAUAGGACUUCUCGUUUAAGGACGAAAACCUCUCGGUGCCUAUUGUCCACACUUCUUUACCUUUCAGGAUGCAAAUGUUGGAAGCUACCUCUCUAGGAUGAAAUUUAUGUCCAAAUUCCUCCUAGCGUGCACUAGUCUUAUCCUUGCUACUCGCCCUCUAGGGUAGUUGGAGAUUAACACUGACCAAGUGAUGAAUAUAGCUCAGCUAAUGCGACAAGAACUAUAAGUUAAACUCUUUAUCAAGAACUUAUCACCCUUUUCUCAGUUAAUAACACGAAGAUGAGUGAGAUGUUAAAAAAUGGUAGAUUGAAAAAGGCAUAAACAUGCAAUAUAUAUAUAAAGAAUAUAGGUCUUCGACCACUGUACAAUAUGAACAAUACUAUGUACUAUUACAAGUUAAGAAAUAAACAACAAAUAAUCUUUCCUUUUAUCAUGAUUGUUUAAUCUUUGGGUGUUUUAUUUAAACUCUUUCUUUCUAAUGUGAUUUUCUCUGGUCACUUGAGUCUCUCUCUCUCUGGCCUCUUUAGGUUCCGAGCCUAUUCGAGCCACUCUCUCUAUUUUUUUGGUGUAAAUUCAGUGCUUAUUAUAUGCUGCUUUUUCGACAAGAAAACUCUAUUACUCUAAAUGUGUCAGAACCGUAAUCUGCCCCUAUAUAGUCGCAUCAUUCCAACUACCAUUUUCUUCGAGCUUUCCUUGCUUGAUUUUUAAGUUCAUCUUCUAGAGUUGUUAGUCACUUGACACGAUCUAUCGCCUUGUUUUUGCACGGGAUGUCUCGUACGAAUUGAUCCUUUUUUCUUUUUUCCACUUGUCCUGCACUUAGACAUGGUAAACGCGUAAAACAGGAACUACAUUUAUGUAAGCCUUAAUUCUAAGUAUUUAUGCUUUUACAACAUAAGUUAUGCGUUUUGAGCAUCCUUUAAGUGUUUUAAUUUCCAUUAUUCUACUAAAAAGGGUUAUAAUCUCGGUGAUUUAUGCUCGUUAUCAUCAUAGUACAUGGCCAAAUCAAGAGACGGUCCGUGAGCUAUCCAUUUUAAGGAAGGCGUGAUGGAAUUUUUUGGAACUUCGAGAGGAAGUGCAACAUACAAAAUAUAUUAGAUCUGAUUAGUUUAGAUCCAGAAUAAACAUGAACGUGUAUGGUUCUAGUGAUUACCCAUGUGGACAACCACCGACUGAAUGUGCGAUUAUGCUCUUCUUGAAUUUAUUUUUUAGUUUUAGAUUUACCAGAGUUAAGCUUACGCAAACUCUCCAAAUGUUUUCUGUCAUAAAUGAAAAAGUUAUUAGGUAAUUAAACAACCAACUUAUGUAAUAUGAGAAUAUAUAGGGUAGAACAUACUCAACGUGUGGUAGAACAUCAUUUAUAUUUUGAAUAAUGUAAAGAUGAGCUUGAUCUAAUUGCUCCUUACUCGGUCUGAUAAAAGAAGAAGCUGAUAAUGCUCUAUCCACAUUUGAAUAUGCUUUUAUUACAAAUGAGUUUAGUCCAACAGAACUAACUCCAGUCAUAAAUUCAGAACAUAACUCUAUAGCCUCUUCAGCGAUAUAAUUUUCUACCAUACAUCCUUCUGGGCUAUUUCUAUUUCACACACAAGUUUUCAGAACUUUCAUAUAUCGUUCAAAAGGAUACAUCUACCUUAGAUGAACAGGCCCAUAAAACUCAAUUUCUCUUAUGAGAUGCACUACAAGGUGUACCAUUAUAGUGAAAAUUGAUAGUGGAAAAUACUUCUCUAAUAGAUAUAGAGUUACAACUACAUCUUCUUGCAUUCUUUGUAGUUAUGAUGAAUCAAUUUUCUUCUUACAUAUAGCAUUAAAGAAGAAGCAUAGUCGGACAAUUACAAGUCUUACAUAUUUCGGUAAAAUACCAUGAAUUGCCACAGGUAGCAACUGUUGCAUAAGAACGUGAUGGUCAUGCGACAUAAGUCCUAGAGUUUCAAAUAUAUAAGUGACACUAUACUUUGAAUGUUCGAUGAAUAGCCUUCAGAUACUUUAAGUUCAGAUAGUGUCUUAAAAAAACUCAUUUUCUCCGCUCGAGAUAAUGUAUAACAUGCUGGGGGUAAAAAUAUUUUUUUCUCCCCUACUUAAGGGGCUAACUCUGAUCUAAUGUUCAGUUUCACCAAAUCUAAUCGACUCUUGAUUUCAUCUUUUGUUUUACUGAAAAUAUCAAGCAAUGUGUCAAUGAGAUUUGCAUACACAUUUUUUUUAUGUGCAUUAUCACAUCUAAACAAUGUCGCACAUCAAGGUACUUCCAAUAUUCUAAUUAAAAAAAAAAUAGACUUUUUCUUCCAAUAAGUACAUGAAGAACUAUUCUUUUCCUUGAUAGUUCUCUUACCAAAUGAAUGAUUAUACUUGUUUGUACAAGAAUUUCUUUCCCACUCAAUGGUUUUGGAGCAAAUCCUAAUUCUUGUGCACCAUUGAAAACUUUCUUUUAUCUCCUAUAUGAAUGAUGACAUGGUAGAAACUUGCGAUGUCUAAUAUACUCAUCUUUCUUUCUUUUGGCAAAUAAACGGAUGAAGUAUUCUCUCCAAAAAUUAGACAUGCAUGAUAUCCUUUGACCGUACAACCACACAAGUUACCAUACGCAGGAAAAUCAUUAAUGGUCCAUAAUAAAAUAGUUUUGAGCACGAAACAUUGAUCUUGAUAUGCAUUGUAACAUUCCACCCCAUCAUGCCAAAGUUUUUUUCAAAUCAUCAACUAACAGAGUUAAAUAAAUAUCUAUUUCAUGUUCCAAUUGUUUGGGACCAGAUAUCAGUGCAGUGAACAUAAAAAAAUCGAUUCAUACACUCAUGGAGGUAAGUUGUAUGUCACUGACAUCACUGGCCAAGAACUAUAUCUACUGCUGAGAUCUCCCUGCGAAUUUUGACCCAGGAAAGAGCAAAACGCAUAUUUCUAGGUUUUAACUCAAACUCUGGCCAGUAAUUGUUUAUUUUUUUCCAUAAUAAUACAUCUUUUGGAUGUUAUAAUAAACCAUUCACUUCUUUGUUUUUUUUUUGGUAUGCCAUGUCAAUAAUCUUGAUGUUACUUUGCUUCGAAACAUUCUUUCAAACCUUGGAAUUGAAGAGAAAUACCAUACAACUUUCACUGGAACAUUCUUAACUUCCUUCUUUGAAUUUUUAGGAAUCUUCCAUCUUGACAUAUCAUAAGAGGGGCAUACAUUUGCAGAGAGUUCUUUCCUAAACAAGCAACAAUGAUUCCUACAUACAUGAAUAUUUUCGUACUUCAUUCCAUGAGUACACAAAAUAUUUUUUGUUUCAUAAGUAGACGUAGGGAUUUCAUUAGGAGUAAGUAAGAUGUCACAAAUUAAUUCUAGCAAUUCAGUGAAACUCUUAUCACUCCAUCCAAAUUUAGCUUUCAAAUUAUAUAACUUUAUUAAUGUAGAUAUUUUGAUAAAAUUUUUACAAUUAGGAUAUAAUGGUUUCUUGGUAUCAUCUAGUAGUUCCUCAAAAUUUUCUAGCUUGUCCUUGAAAUAAUUGGGUGCAACCUCAAACAUUCCGAUUGUGUCAUCAAUAUCAUCCUCAUCAAUUUCUUCUUUUUCACUACUAAAGACAAUUUCAUUGUUUCUCUUAAUUGAUAGUGAUUCACCAUGAAAAAUUCAUACUUGAUAACUCUGAUUGAUGCCAUUAAAAAGUAAGCGAUCUCUAAUUGUAUUCACAUCUAAAGUCUUUGCAUUUACGCACUUUAAACAAUGACAAGUCAUGACGUUCGAUGUCUUCGAAUGUUUCGAUCCAUUUUUAAUAAACAUCUCAACCCCAAAAGUAUAAUCAGUUGACAUUCUAUUCUUUUUCACCCACGACUUAUCCAUAUUAUAUAAGAUGCAACUUAGUCUUUAAAAAAAAGUAAAAAAAAAAAAAAAAAACAUAAUUAAGUAAUCUUAAACUUGUGAACUUAACUAUAAUUUACCAUAAUACUUAAAAUCUCAAAUUAAAACCAACAAGUUCUAUAUACACCCAACCAACCAAAAAGUUCUAUGUACACUCAAACAGCUACAAAACUCACAAUCAUAUCAAUCAAGUAACAAACAAAUAUAAAAUUAAAAUCAUCCACAAAGACCAAACACAAACUUCUGACCACCAUUACGACAUAAAUUCUAAAUGAAGGAAGUGAAACAAGACUUUAGAGAUUUCUUAUGACAUAUAAUUCCAAACUUACUUAUUAGAGAAAGAAAAACUUACUUGUUUAUGUCUCUUAAUGUAAAUCUUCAAAUUAGGACACCACUCGUCGAAGACCUUCCUAUCCUCUAAGAUGAGAUUGGGAUGGGAAAAAUGCUUAGAGAGAAACUAUUUUUUUUUCAGAGAGUAAAAACAUUAACUUUUUUUUUAAUUAAUUGAUUAAAGAAAACUGUUUUCUUCUAUAUAUUUAUAACUUUUUUUCCUUCUUGGAGUACGAAAGAGAGUAGCAGAGAUUCAUUGGAUUCUAUUAAUUUAAAAAAUAUUAAAUUAAUUAAUCAGUAAUCAAUUAGUUAAUAAUUAGCUAAAUUAAAUAUCUUAUAUUUAACUUAAAUUAAAUUCAAAUCAUAUUCAAAUAUAAGUUUCUCUUAUAACCAACAAUUUUAAUUUGAAUCAAAUUCACAUUAAAUUAAUAUUUGGACUCAUUCAAGUAUUUUAUCUCUCAUAAACUAAUUUUGAAACAUAUACAAAAUUAAAUUUAUAUCAUAAAGUUUUGUAUAUAUUAAAUUUAUAUCAUAAAGUUUGAUAAACUUUAUAUUAUAAUGUAUCACUAUACAUUAAACUAAUUUCCAAAGUAAUUUUGAACAUUUCAAAUUACAACCAAUAUAAAUAAAUCACACUACCCUUUACAAGCUAGGAAGGGGACCUGAUGGACCUACAAAUCAGAAGCUACAACGAUCUGAGACACAUUAACCACAUUAAUCAAUAUUUGUUAAUUGUGUGUACACUCCACUAAAGACCUCUUUUCUCUUAGCGAAGGUGAAGUACUUUUGUACGCAGCUUUGGACGAAAAAGUUCUAUUCUUUUGAGAUUGUCAGCGUUGAUUUCAAUCUUAUAAAGUCACAUCACUCCAACUAUCCUUCUUGUCUUCUAGUGAGCUUUCCUCAUGUAAUGACGUGGUUUCUCAUUUGAAUAUGUUACCUGCUAGGCGAGUUCCCAUCGCGUUGCUUGUGCGCGAAAUGUCCUCAGUGAUUUGCUCAUUUCUUCUUGUUUACUUAUCCUGUGUUUGAACAUGAAAAUCAAGUAAACACAGGCAUAAAUUUACUUGCUCUUGUUUGGUUUGGAAAUCACUUGAAGAAUUAAGUGAAACUGGCGCACAACAUGAAGAAUCAAGUCAUCCAAAGGAAUUUUGUACAAUUUGGUAAGAUAAUUUCUUACCAUUUUAGCCUCGUACUAUUGGUUGUGCUACGCAUGUACGACAUGUUGUUGAAAAAACCACAACCAGUAAUAAAUGCAUGCACAAAUUCAAGUUGGAAGUGCUUUGAGGUUGGCUUCUUAAAAUAUACUUCGUGCUUCACAUAUCACAAAGUCCUACUGCUGAUCCACAAUUUUUUUAACACUGCAGAAUUUCCUUGGGGCAUUGAAUGAGACUUACAUAAAGGUGAACGUGAUGAUAAUUGAUCGACUGAGGUAUAGAACACGAAAGGGGGAAGUUGUCAUAAACUUCCUCGAAGUAUGUGAUACGAAAGGAGAUUUCGUAUACGUCUUAGCUGGCUGGAAAGAAUCUGCAGUUGACUCCUGCAUUCUUCGAGAUGCUAUUUUAGAACUGAAUUGACUGAAGGUUUCGAAGGGUAACUGCGUUUUUGUUCUUCUUCUUCGAUCAAUUUGUAGGUAAAAGCUCAAUGUCUGAGUAGAGAAUGGUCCAUUUUCCAUUCCACCUAACUUGUGAUGUUCAUUUCUAUACUUUUCAUUUUUAUAUUUUUUUUAUAAUGUAUUUUUGUCCAUAUUGUAUAGUGACCUAAUACCUACAUUCUUUAAUAUAUUGUAUAUUUAUACAUUUCCAAUCCAUCAUGUCGUUACUAUUCAUAUGUCAAUGUGUUAUUCAAAGUUUCGGUCUGUGAUAAGUUCUUGAUAAGAAGAUUAGCUUAUAACUCUUAUCGUGUUAGUUGAGCACCUAUAGUCAUAACUUGGCUAAUGUUUAUCGCCGACUACUCAAGAGAACAAAUAACAAAGAAAUGGCUAACUUGUGCAAGAAAGAGUAUUUGAAAACAAACUUCAUCUUAGUGAGAUAAACUUUCAUCAUUUGUGUCCCAAAAGGAGAACAAGUGUGGGUGCUUGAAGCUGAGAGGUUGUCACCUUAAAAGAGAAGCUCUAUAAGUUUUGUAAGUAAAAUUUUCUAGAUAUAUCUUGCUUAAUUAAACUUAGUCAUUUGCAUCCCGAAAGGCGAGCAAGUAUAGCGUUUAAAGAUACCAAGAGGUGCUCACGUUAAUCAUAAGUUAGUUAACUAAGAUAUGUCGCAUUAUAGUUAAUAAUAACUUAAUUGCCUAAUAGUGCAGAGACUUUCCUUCACUCUUUCUUUACACAAGUUAGUUCACACCUCCAUUUCACCUUCAUCUUAAUUCCCCUUUAGAAAUUCUCUAAUAUAGAUAAAUGGAUAUAGUAUAAACCUACACUUUGUCAUAUUAUAUAGAUAAUUCUUUUAUAUUGCCCGUAAUGAAGAGUAAACUCUAAAACUAAGAUUUGAUAUCAAUUUUCUGUGUUCAACCUUAGAUUACACAUGAAACGUAUUGUUUCCCUUACACUUGGGCAAACAAUAAGAAAACAUGUACUCAACAAAGACUUAGUAAUUACGUGAAGAUGUGAUACACAUAGUGAGCAUCUAGCAUGCAAUGACUAUGGUCAAUGACUCAUCACCUAGAAUUAGAUACAAACACUACUGCAAACAACAUUGAGUCAUGGAAUCGCAAAACCAACAACAAGUUUUUGGCAAAACGAAUUCAAACAAGCAAAUUGUCUGUUGGCUUUCUACAGAAUCGUUUAGAUUUGACUAUAUAUUCUUUCCUACACGAUCGUUUAGAUUUGGUAAACGAUAUUUUUACCAAAUUUAAAUAAUUUUUUUACCUAGAUCUAAAUCGCUUUUUUUUACCUAAAUCUAAACAAUUCUUUUUCAAGAUUCUUUUGUACAUGAUCGUUUAGAUUUGGCUAUUCUUUUCUACACGAUCAUUUAAAUUUAAUGAUUUAAAUUUGGGUAGCCAAAUCUAAACGAUUUUCUUUUCAAGAAUUUUUUGGUACACAUUAAUUUAGAUUUGGUACAUGAUCGUUUAAAUUUAAGUAGCCAAAUCUAAACAAUAUUUUUCAAAAAUGUUUGGUACACGAUCAUUUAGAUUUGAUCAUUUAAAUUUGGGUAGUCAAAUCUCAACAAUUGUUUUCAAGAUUUUUUGAUACAAGAUCGUUUAUAUUUGGUACACGAUCAUUUAAAUUUGUACCUAAAUUUAAAUGAUUUUUUAAAGAUUCUUUGGUACACGAUCGUUUAGAUUUGACUAUUUUUUUAUACACCAAGUUUAGAUUUGACUAUCCAAUAUCCCAACAAAUUUUUUUCAUAAUAUUUUAUAUUUGACAUUUCCAUCGAAAACUGACAAAGAAAUAUCCUCGAUUGAGAUUUCGAUUCAUGUGUACAAUGAAGACAAAGGAAAAAUCGGACAAGAGAAAAUGGAUAAGACAAAUAAACAAAUUGACUUCUAAGUAAUGAGAAACAAGAAAACAAAAAUAAUGAAAAAUAAAAAAGAUGCUCAAUUAACACCUUUUGUAAGCACAACUUAUAUUUACAACUUUUACUUGAAUAGGAUUUGUUUAUGUUGUACUAGUGUGUCCUUGAAUUCUAAAAAUAUAGCAACCCAUGUUCACUAAGGAAAACAAAAACACAUAAAUACAUCAAAAUAUCAGUAAGUUGAGUCACAAUCAAAAAUACAUUUGAAAAAUAGAAACUCUAAGUUGAAGAGAAAGAUCAAUUUCUUUAAGAGAGAAGAAAAAUACCUCACAGUGGCCAUGAGCUGUAGAGUAAUGGCCAUUUUGAUAGGUUUGUUUGAUUAUGGAUAUUGAAGUAGAAUGUAAGUUAAAUUUCAUCAACCCAACAUCAUAAACAAAAAUAUAUCAAUAUAGUAAACAAAAUACCUUUCGUUUAAUGGAUACAUGAAAGAUGACUCCACCCUGUAAAAAAAUGUGUACAGGAAAAAAAUUGCAUGAUAUAAAAAUUGAAUGCAAAAAAUAUAUGGACAAACCAUGGAAAACAAAAGAGAAUUUUCGAACGAGAACCGAUACAACCUAAAGUAAAGUAGUAAGAAAACAACGCAUCAAUUUUUAACAAGAGGCGUUUUGGAUGAAUUCUUAUGAUUUCUACUUUCUUUUUCGGAUUGUUUUUCAUCAUCUGAAUUUAAUUCCUCAUCAAUUGGAAAGCCUCUAAACCCAGAAAAAGGGUCAACAAAAUAUUUAUAUAUAUAUAAAAAAAAAAACUCAUCCCUUCCUGCUCUGCUCCUUCUAUUAGUCAAUCUAGCCACUAGAACAAAUCACCCUAAAUUGGAUUUUGAAAUGAAAUUACCCGAUCUCCAUCAAGGGGGGUUUCACCCUAGCCAAUGCGAAGCUCCAAUGCCUUGACGCCAGCCGAGUUCGAGAGGUCGAAGAAAUCCGAUGGACGGAUUUGGAAGGAGCGACAAUAAGAGAGCAGAGAUGGAGAUGACGAUUGAGAGGAACCAAAAGAGAGAUGGAGAUGAAAAUUGAGAGUGUAGCAGAGAUGGAGAUGGCGAUUGAGAGGAACCAAAAGAGAGAUGGAGAUGAAAAUUGAGAGUGUAGCCGAGAGAGAUGGAGAUGCGAAUUGAAAAGGCAACGACUGAGACGGCGAUUGAGAGUGCAGCGGCUGAGACGACAAGUUCUGCAUCUUCGUGCGUUUUGAUUAAGGGAAGGAACGUGUUUUCAUCCUAGGGUUUUAGAAAAGAGAAAACGGACUUAAUUGAAACGACGUCAUUUUAGUACUAAAUUUCUUGACGUUUUUAAAAACGUCAAGGAUUUUUUUUAUAAAUUUCUUGACAUUUUUCAAAACGUCAAGGAUUUUUUUAUAAAUUUCUUGACGUUUUUAAAACGUCGAGUAAAAUUUUAAAUUCUUGACGUUUAAGAAACAUCAAGCAUGUCGAAUUUAUACGCUUCUUGACGUUUUAAGAACGUCAAAAAAUUAAUAGAUAUUUCUUGAUGUUUUAAAAACGUCAAGAAAAAAAUUAUUUCUUCUUGACGUUUAAUAAACGUCAAGAAUGAUGUUUCAGAAAAAUUCUUGACGUUUUUUUAUUAAAAAUGAAAUCUUUUUUGACGUUUUUUGAAAAAAAUGUCAAGAAAGGAAAACAACAACCGUCAAGAAAGCCCAUUUUUCUAGUAGUGCGAUCUUAAACAACCAAAUAAAAGUUUGAAAAAAUAAUACAGAAAAAUGAGAGAAAAAAACGAUGGAAAGAAAAUAAAAUCACAUAAGAGGGAAGAGAAGAAAGACAAUGAAAAAGAAUCAUGAACUUUUUCAUUUUAUCAUAUGAAAGGUAAAUAUUUUGCCAACUUAUUAUAUUUUUGCCAAUCUUACUAUAUUUAAAAAUAAUUUCAAUUUUUUUUUUUAAACAAUUACUCAAGUCUAUAAUUAAGAAGAGAACAAAAAUGACAUAAAGAAAUUUUUUAAAAAAAAAUAGAAAAGUAGUUUGGGUUUAGGGUUAUAUUUAUAUAUAAAUGUAGAAUUAGUGUUGAGUGCUCAUCCAUCUAAUAUCCUUUAUGGUUACAUUGUGACCACACCAAAAGCAACCCCACAAUUUUAUUUAUUUAUUUUCAUUCUCAACUAUUCUUCUCUCUCUCCAAACACACACACUCUCUCUCUCUCUCUUCUUUUGCCAUUUUUGUUGUGAAAUUUUGCAGGUUAGGUUAUUGUGUGAAGGGAAAAAGGUAAGGUAAGGAUGAUGUUGAGGGUAGUAGUGAACUUGAAAGCAAAAAUAAUGAAGUCAUUGAAGAUGAAGAUGAAGAUGAAAGCAACAAAUUACGAUGCAGAUUAUGAUAAGAUGGAGAAAAGUGAAAGCAUGAGAGUUGAAAUCAGAAGCAGAAAAGCCCAGAAGCUCAUCCAACAGUCCUUGAAAUUUGCUGACUCUCCCUCUUCUAAAACUUAUGCCUUUUGAUUUCUUAUAUAAAUAUCAAUUUUCUUCUCUUAUAUCUCAAUCAAUCCCACCCCCUGCCCUUAAUUUCAUCUAUACCCUUCCCCUCCCUCCCUUCCUUCCUUCAUCACUACAUAAUUAUAUAUGAACAAAAGUAUCUAAUAAUAAAAUAAAAUAACUCACUUUUCCUUAUUCUCUUCUCUUCUUCUUCUUCUUCUUCUUCUUCUCAUCCUCUUUUUCUUUUUUCUAUCGUGGCUGAAACCAUUAAAUUUAUAAUACAUAUUUAUUUCUAUAUAUGAUGAGACUAUGUGUUUUUAUUAUUUUGUUACUUAAAUUAAUGCAAACAAACAUUUAUAGUUGUUUCUUUAUAUUAAUUAACCAUAUGGACAAAAUAUGUGUAUUUUAUUACUCUAUCUAUUUUUCUUAAUUUGAUGAGGGGACAAAUUAGAAAUUAAUGAAAUGUAGUUAAACAUUCUUUCUACCAUUUUUAGUUGGUUAAUUAUAAGAAAAAUUAUGGCCACCACAAUAAAAACAUAGAUUUUCAAAUUGGUUUGUUUUAGAACAAUUUUUUCUUCAAAGGAAGAGAUACUAAGAGAAAAUAUAUGAGAAGAAAAGCAUGAUCUAUCUAAUUAAAUUUGGAACAUAUCAUCUACCUAUUAUUUAAUCAUCUUUUGCAAUCAAUAUAGAUAUUACAUAUACAACUGCUAAGUUUUUUUUUUUUUUCUUUUUUAAAGUUAAAGUUAGGGAAAUGAUAAAUUAAGGAGAUAUAUAUAUAUAUAUAUAUGGUAUGUUAGGAAUGUGUGGUAUAUAAUCAAAAAAGUUUUAUCCAUGAUUUUUGUAUAGGGAAGCAAAAUGAUGUGGAAACAUAUAAAAGAAUAUGGUUGGUAGAAGAAAACUUAUCUCAUCAAAAUUUAAUGGUGUGAUGAAAAUGACAACUUUUAUUUUCUUUUCAGUGGGAUAUUCAAAUCUAUUUAUAUCAUCUUUUGCAUGGCACCCAAAUGAAAGUGCUUCUUCAUUAUUGUAGAGAAGAUAUAAGCUAUACCAUUUGAGCCAAUAGUGUAUAGAACAAAGUGGAUUUUACUUUCUUUUUCAUUAGUCAAACAACUAGCAGCUUGAUUUUCAAAGUGGUGCAAUAUUAUUUUAGUUUAUAUAAUAAUGUAAUGCUUUCAAAUAUUGUUUGCCUUUGUUUAUGUUAAUUAUCAAUUUCAAUUAUCUAACUUAUGCUAUGCCUUCAAUUAAUUUUAAAUUUUCUUCUAAUUCAUUUUACCUUAAUGUUUAUCAAAAUCAACUUAACAAUAAUAGUAAUAUUUUAAAUGAAGUGUUCAUAAAUAUAAUCAACAUUUUAGACCAAGAUUAUUAUUUGAAAUCUUAGAAUGAAUAAUGUGGUUUGAGUGUCGUCAAAAGUUGGUGAGCAUGUAAUUUCAUAGUUUAAAGAGAAAAAUAUGAGUGAACAAGUAUCACGUUUGAAUUAAAGGAAUUUAAUGGACAUGAAAGUUAAAAUGAUUACUAGCUAUAAUCUACUACCAACGAUGUUACGUUUUCAUUUUAGUAAGUCAAUAUCAUAGGAAGGCUAAGAUGAAGUGUGUUUGACACGGAAUAAUCUUAGUUGGACGAAGUGUGUAAAUAUACACAUUGAAAGGACAUUUUGGUGGGUGGAAAAGUGUUCAGUCGUAUAGAGAGAAGACUGUAAAAAGUAAAAAGAAAUGAGAGGACAUUGUGGACUUCUCAAGAAAUUUACCAAGAGAUCUUUAACCACACCAUAGAGAUCAAUCAAAGUUUUAUAACCAUCAAGAAUAAAUUUAGACAAAACUAAAUGGGCAUCAAUGUAACAAUCAACUCAUCACAAUGUAAAAAGAGAUUAUAAAUAUCACAAUCAAGGAAGAUAUAUUUUUCUUGUUUACUUGGUAGGACUAACCAACUUUACUAUUAAAAGAACAAUGUUUCUUUUGUAUACAUGAAAUUAGUUGGCUUUUUAUUGCCCAUGAUGACAUAUGUAUAUACACACACCCUAUCAUAUUUUUAUUUAUUUGAAUUCACUUAUCAUGUGAGUACUGUCAAGAAUUUGUAAAUGUACAUUGUUAAAUGAUUGGGAAAAAAUACAAAGUAAAAACAAACAAAAAUAUAAAUAACAACUAACAAAAGAAUAUCUAUGAAAAAUGGAGUUUUUCUUUGACACUGUUUUAGCUAGAAUUUUUUUGAAAGAAUUGAAUGUUGAAUUUUUGAAGAAAUGUGGUGGAGUUCCAUUAGCUGUUAAGAUGACGAGGAAGGUUCAACUAAAAGACAUCAUGAUAGAGGUAAAAUACAAAGCACGAUUGGAAGAAAAAUAGAUAUAAAAUUCAUGAAAAAGUAAGAAUUAAAAGCUUUGAUUUCUCUUUUGUUUACAUAUGUUAGUGCAAAAAAUGUAGUGCAUUCGCUUGUUGCUCAUUACCAAAAAGAAAGAAGAAAUAAAAAGAAAAAGAAAACAAAUAAUAAAUUUUUAAAAUGUUAGAGACGUGUUGAAAUAGAGUAUUGAAUUUUAAGAUUUAUUGACAAAAUUGGUUAAACGUAAACAUAUAAAAGUACAUAAAAACUGUGAAAGCUUAUGCAAUUUGAGAAGGGAUUCGACUCUAGGAGAAUAGAGAUCGAGGAACGUCAUCUUUUAUAUGAUUCUUAGAUUUAUGGUGCAUAUUGUCACGUUCCGGCGAAAAUGAUUCCAAAAUUUGUGCCAAAAUGAUGUCCAAGGCUCUUUUAACAACCAAGAAGGAGCCCAACUUACCCAUUUGACAAACCAGUGCAGCUAGGACACACGCACAUGACACUAAUGUGUGCCCAUCCAAGGUAGUCAAGCCUCGCACGUACCAAGACAGAUGCUCAUGACAGCCUAAUGUGCGUGUGCAGAUGCCACAGCCCCAUAGGCAAAACUCAGAUGCCAAUGAGCUCAUGGCACCAACACUAAGCACACAGCUCAUGCACACAAGCGUUGUGCAUAUGGACAAGUGGCAGCCCAAGCAUGCACGCAUACAUGUGCAUGCCCCAGACGGUCACCCUUGCUCGCAAACGCAUGGCGUGUGCGCCCCACACUAGCCUGCAACAUGUGCACUGCAUCGUGCAAACUCGCAGUUCGGUUUGAUUUGAUUUAAAGCUGAAACUACGCCUAAUCGCAAAAUGCAAAAGAAAUCUCAUCUGAAAUCGAACCAAAUCGCUCAUCUGGGUCAAAUUGAAUUAAAAUUGAAUCGCAUAUGCAAUUCAAUUUUGAUUCGAUUUUAAAUUAUCUUAUACCAUUGGCAUAUGUGCCUACAACCUCCUACACUAUCGUUUAUCAUUCUAUACAAUCGUUCAACCUCUUACACUUACACGAUCCUUUAGCUUUCUAUACAACCGUUCAACCUCUUACACAAUCAUUUAGCUUUCUAUACGAUUGUUUACCCUCUUACACAAUCAUUUAACUUUCAAACGAACAAUCGUAAUUAUUUGCCCUUUUACACGAUCAUUUAGCUUUCUUACACAAUCAUUUAGCAUUCUAUACGAUCUUUUAGCUUUCAAACGAUGAUUCAACUUUCUAUACGAUCAUUUACCCUUUUACAGUUUCGUUCGAUUUUAGAAUCGGUUUAAUGUCUUAAACCGAACCAACCACAUAAGAAUCGAUUUCAAUUUAAAUGAAACUGCAUGCAUUCGGUUUCAAUUAUGUUUUGGUUUGGUUGUGGUUCGGUUUGCGAUUCGAUUCAGUUUUCAACUAUUUUUUGAACAUCCAUAGAGUAUACACGCAACACACAACCCUUAUGCAAGCCUCAGACUUGACAUACGUGCCACACUACACAUACUCGCAACGCUUGCCCCUCAUAUGUGUCGCCCCGCACGGCACCAUGCGCCCAACCUAGAGCACCCACGCCUUAGGCGUGCGCCCCUCAUGCAAGCCACAUCGCGCAUACUCAUAGCGGAUGCCCUUCAUGCACUCCUUAGACUUGGCAUGUGUGUCACCUUGCACAUACACACAACUCAGCACUCAGCCCAACGCACCCAAACCUCAGGUGCGCGCAAUACCUUGUGCGUGCGCCCAUGUUCCAAAUACCCCUAAAAGCAUCUACAAACCUCUUGAAGCUUCCAAAAGGGGUUAAACACGUUCAUGGUCGUGUUGCAUCACCCACCCAAGGCCUAGACAACCCUAGAAGGCUUGAAAUGGUGCCAGAGCAUUCUAAAAGUGUCUAGAUCACCUAAGAAGGCCUUGAAACAUACUGGAGGAUGCUAGGGAAUGUUGAAAUAUUUCAUGACCGUACUUUUAAUAAAAUCAUGGUGGAAUGUACAAGAAAGAUCUAGAGAAGUCUAUGGCCGACCUUCUAAGGCCCUAAGGUCAGUUGUCAUGUCUAUAUAUAUUUCAAAGGCGGCUCAUUUGUACAACUCUAAGAACUCACUUGGUUGUAAUUCAAACAACUCCAAGAAGAGUUAACCCAAGCUCUUUCAUUCUCUCAAACCUCUUUUGCCUACACCACAAUUUUUCUAUUGUCAUACUCAUCACAAGUGCUUUGUACUCUAACCUUUAAAUGCUUACUUGGCUUCUUUGACAUCAAGAUUGUCCAAGAGCCGCACGUUUAGGUAGUUGAAAACUCUAACCACGUGACAAUAUGCUAUAUAACUAGCUUGAUGAUUUCUGUAAAGUGGAUUCAAUUGUUAGACAUAUAGAAUUUAGACAUACAUUUUGUGAUUAAAAUAAAAUUGAACAAAUAGAUGGAAAGACCAAUUUUGUAAUUUUAUUAAGGUAAAAUUAAAUCGAUAAUAAAAUUAUUGUACUUAAAAAAAAUUUCCAUCACAAGUUCUAUAUAUCAUCAUGAAAUAUUACAUCUUCUUACACAAAACUUAACCCAAAAAAAUUAAAAACAAUAAAUAUUAUGUAGAAAAACACUUUUUUUUUUUUACGUUCACAUAUUUAAUUAAUUUGUAACUAACAAAGUUAGGUUCAUUUGAUCAUGUUUAAGCACUUUGCCUUUAGUUAAUUAUAAUAAUAAAGUUCUGUAUUUCUCAUGAAAAGAGAAUAAUAAGGUUGAUGACUGGAUAUUGUUUGGACAUGAUUGUGCAUAUUUGGUGGAUGUCAUCUUUAUAACUUUUAAACAGCCUUUACUUUCAUUAAUUAAGAUUUCUCCCAAAAAGAAAAUCCACCUUUACUUUUAUGCUCUCAGUCCUUCCCCAUUCCUUUUCUUUUUUUUUUGUGGAAUUCAUCAAAGUUUUACAUUUAAACUAUUCUUUGAAAUCCCCUUUUUGUUGCUUUUCUGUUCAUUAGAUAUUCUAUUUUAAUAGGCAACAAGAUUCAUCCGUACUCAAACAUUGUUACACGAUAAAAUAAUUGACAGUCUUCACAAAUCUAUGUUAGCAUUUCUCUGAUAAAAAAGACAAUAAACAGCCAAAAUGUUACAACAAUACAAUCAUUCUGAAUAGUAAAUUGGUUCUUUGAAAAUUUACAGAUUCUAUUUCUUAAGAAUGUUUCACCAUCCAGUAGAAGGAUUGAUCUUGGUUCUUAAACUUCAACGCAUUAAUACAUUUAUGUUAUGUUUGAUAUAUAUUUUUAAGUGUUUAAUUUUAAUAAGUCAUUUUGAAUAAAUUUGGAGUGUUUAACAUUCAAAAUAACUUUUGAAACGUACUUUAAACAAUUUUGAAUUGAAAUGAUUUUUUUUUUAAAAAAAAAAACACUUUCUUCCCUGGACAAUCCAAAAGAUCCUUUGGAUCCACAUGAACAGUAUUACUUUGAAUAAGAACAAAAUUAAUUGUUUAAGAGAAAAAAUUCUAAAAAAAUAGGCAUCUUAAGAACAAAUGCAUUAAUCAAGAAAUAAGUUGGAAAUAUUUCACAUGAACAGCUAGAAAAAAGUGUCAAUUAUUUCAACAUACUAAUAAUCUGCUUUAUGCACGUAAUGAUUUCCAAAAAGAUGUACGGAUGGCUUUUCUUUUCUUUUCCUCCUUCCUAAUAUCUUCUUUCGGUUAAAUGCAGAAGAAAUCAAACAAGACAUUCAAAAACAACAUCAUAACAAGCCAAACAAAUUGAAACUUUUCAAAAUAAUUACAAUAUUCAGUGUUGAGCACAACCUUAGCAUUGAAGGAUUUGUGGGAGGCAGGUUGGCUUUUAUUUGCUUCAAAAUCUUCAGCCAACUUCAAAUUUUUUUUUGUAAAGGCAUUGUAAUAAAUGCUGGAGUGGGAAUUUGAAUUUGAAACCUCUUGUCCACAGGAACAUAUAGGUGUCAGUUGAGCUAAACUCAUGUUGGCCACCCAACUUCAAUUUCUCUAUGAAAUCACCUAAAACAAAAUCACUAUCAAUCAUUGUAAAGCUUCAACAUAGGAUUUUAUAAACUAUCUUUCUAAUGGGGUAUUCUGCAGUUAAGUAGACUCUUGGACAAGUCCCAGCCUACGUGUUUGGCUUCUAAUACAAGGAGAAUGGUAGCAGUACGUUUUUGCACAGCACAUGAAUUUUAAGUCAAUGCUUCUCAGAAUAAUGUCCUGAUUACAUUAUUAGGUUUGCACAACAUUUUGUGUGUAUAACUCUAUGUGUUUCUUAUUUUAAUUAAUUCUUUUAAAAACUCUAUUCAUCUACUUUCUAUUUUAGACUUUUAAAACACCUCAAUUUUAGUUGAAACUUUCUUUUCGUUACACAUGUGAUCCAAACACAAAAGUACUGAAGUAGAUAAUUAUUUAUUUUAAAACAAUUAAAAAAUAAGAUAAAAAUGACUUAAAUAAUGGUAAAGUUUGUCAGAGUAUUAGUAUGCCAUAUUCGUUCAUAAAAGAAAAAUGUUUUCUUAUACCCUAAGUAUUGGUAUUGGGACCCAUCAUCACUAAUCCUAGAGAACCUUUCGGCGGUCCCAAGGUCCAAAUGAGAGCAUUAAGAGGUUUUUUCUCAUUAAGCUCACUCAAAGGUUUAAACAUGUGGCUUUUGACAAGAUAUUACCAAGAAACAGUGUGUCUUUGCCGACGGGGUCACCCCGUUGGGACCAAAAAUACAAUGAAAAUAGAAAAAUAUAUAAAUGAAUCACAUCAUAGAAAAGGUAGGAUAUAUUUAUUAGGGUGGGCACAAUUUUUCAUUUACUUUUAGAAAAAUAAAUGCAACCAAGUAUGAAAUUAAUGGAAGUAAGAAAGCAAAAUGUCAAAGGACCAAAAUAAAAGGGUUAAGAAAUCAAAAAACGUCUAAAGGUUUUUUCUUAAAAAAAAAAAAAGUUAACAAGGUACAAAUUGGAUCUUGAUAAGUUGCUCGCUAUUUGUUUGUGCUCAUAACAGCGUGAUAGAACUCGGAUUAUCUAUUCACUAUUUAAGCCAAAAUGCCAAGGAAGUCGAGGCUCCCUCCUUUCAACAUGCUCACAGGGCUACACUUCACAGAAUGCAAAAAGAUAAUUAAAAGACUUACCCAGAGGCAAUCUAAAUAGCCCAAUCCUAACUAACCCUAUAUCCCUGUAGAGCCCACUGUAACUUCUUUUACUCCAUAACUAACCGUUUUCCCUUUAACAAUUAUUUACAGUUAUCUCCCUUCCUCUCUUUUUUCUCAUACACCUCCUAAGGAUCGAGGGUCUAUCACAAUGCUAGUCUUUAAUCCAAUUUCUCAAAAGCAAAAUCCACCAAUACCCAACUCAGAUGAAUUUCGAAAAGUAUACGGAACAAUAUGACAAUCAAAAGUGGGGGCAAGUUACCUGAUCUAACAAGAUGACAAAUUAAUGGCUUCGAUGGUACAGUGUCUGCAGAUCCUUGCAGUGAAUACAAGUCCAUGGUAACAACGGUGGGUCCAGACAAUAUGAAUGAAUUUGUCGAAUUUGACAAAGAUGGCAGCUCAUGAGGAGGUCCUCUGGUUCCCGACAACGGCAUGCACUACAAACAGCUGCUACUGAGGGCUGUUAAUUAUAACUAUCGAGAAUUAGUUGUCUGUUCAGAUGGACCAUUUUAACCAUAGUAAAUAAGAAUGUCACCAGAAAAAUCAUUGAGUAUUAGCAGAGAAGAGCUACAAAUGGAAUUCUUGAAAAUGAGUACUAGCUUUGCAUCAACACCCCCCCCCCCCCCCCCCCCCCCCCCCCACACACACACACACACACCCGAACAACAAAGCAACGACAUUGAGCAUUAUAAUAUGACCUGAACAACGUUGUUAAGAGUUCUUUCAUCAGAUAGAAGGUAAAUAUCCAAUAAUGAUGAUCCACAUGGAAUGGUUUGGGAGUAUAUCUUCUGAUCCGAGGUGGCCGCAUAUUCAACCUUUGUGAUGCUCAGAAAACUGGCUUUGCACAAAGGGCACGUUGAGAUUUUUCUGCUCAAAGCCUACAAGAUACGAGACCAAUAGAUUAGGACCUUGAAACAGAUUCUGAACUUCAGAGUACAUAUUAGAACGUUGACAGCGUUUGAAUGACUGAGUAAAUCAAUCAAUUCAGAAUGACAGAACUUACUCAACAAGUUCAAAGAGCAAAAAUCAUUAGUAGUCUCAGAGUUUCAAAGCAGAAGUUGGCACUAGAGGAAAAUAAGUAAAUUUGGAGCCCGCAUAAUUUGGUUUAGUUAUAUAUCAUCUUGUGAUUUGAGGAUUUUAAUCAAGUUUAGAUGAAAUGAAUUAUUGAAAGUGAUGUUAGAUUUUCCAUCAAGUAAUGAUUAGAGGAAAAAUAAAUAAAUUUGGAGGUCACAUAAUUUGCCUAAAGAGCAAAAUGUAUGGACAAUUAUAGAGACAAUUUUCAGGUUAAUUUUUCUUAAUCAGAUCUGCAACGUUGCCUAAUAGUUCAAGAAUCCCAAUACAACCAUAUAUGACAAGCAGUUAAAAUAUCCAGUGUUGAACAUUCAUGCAAAUCCCAUGGCUGCUCGAGCAAUCAUCAUCCUGAACUUCUGCAAUAUAUUAUCAUCCCUAAAACACAUUUCAUGCCAUGCUGAAUUAGAUAGUGAAUUUUACCUUUGAAUUAGAAAACAAAAAUGGAUAAGCAGUACAGAGAGAAAUUGGAAAAGAUACGAAUAAUUUAUGGAGGCAACAUAUUGUUUCUCAAUGUUAUUUGUCUGGAAGUUCUUACUUCGGAUGUAUCAAAUAAAGAACUAGUACACAAUCAUAACUAGCAUGUUCAAAACAUAAUCCAAUUACUACAAAAUAUAAGGAAUUGUCAUUAAGAAGAUUGUGAAUACGAUGGAAAAUUCAAAUAAGUAGUUCUCUAGUCCCAAUUAUCUAGGCAAAAAUGCAACCUAGUUAAUGAAGUAAGAAAAGCUAACUCUCAUAUGCUGAAUAAAUUGAACAGUUCACUGCCCAGGGUCCUAUCUUUUAUAGCAGUUUUAGCUCAAAAAGCAUAAACAAUAUCACAAGGUUUAGUCGUAUCCUUGAAUCUCUAUGAAUAGAAAUUGAAUAGAACUUUUACCAUGUGAUCUGCCCAGUUCUGAAUGCAUGAAUAGCAAAAUCGGUGCCCACAGGGUAAAACUCCCCUCGUCGAACUAAAAUCUGUCCAACAGAUGACACAUGAUAACUCUGUUGAAGUGGAGGGUAAGCUUGCAUCGAGUUCUAUAACUGGAUCCUCAAUGUUCUUUUGCAAAUCAUUCAUAUUGUGCAGUUCAUCUUCUGAAGUUAUUGAUAGCACUCUUGGUGCAUUGUCAACUAGUAAGUUUGUAUCUUUGGAAGUAGAUUGGUUCUCACAAGCUUCAACACCUUCAAAUCUGACACUUGCUAGUCCCCUUUCAUCACACAACUGUUCACGAUCAGAUGUUCCUCCAAUGUUUACCACUUCAAUAUCUGUUUCAGCAUCCCAAAGGACUGAUGGAACUGUAAGACUAUUACGAGUUCCCAAACGAUACAGCUCCGGGUCAAAAUUCGAAAUGUCAGGCUUGUUAUGAUCUUCCCUAGAGUUAUUACUUACAAGCAGGCGUCGUCUCCUUGAAGAUUUAACAGUAGAGUCUUGAUUACUACUUUCACCUUUUCUUUCAUCUCUCGCCAAGCUUGAAGGGCUACCACACUAUCGAAACAAAAUAAGAGCAAAUGUUAAUGAAGAAGGGAAAAACGUUCAAAAGUGCAUAAGAAUUUUUGUUUAGGGUAAAAUGCUUCUUUCUUUCAAGUGGCAUUAUGCCAAAAAAGACAGAGAAAUAGUAUUUCAUCAGAAUGGUGAAGGAAAUCAAUUGCCCAAGAAAAGAGACAUCGUGUAAAAGAAUAUGACAUUCUAAUAGAUGAAAAAAUAAAGCUCAAAAGAACGUAAAAAUUACACCUUUGAACAGAAUCUGAAAUUAUCUCAGGGUUCAAUUAAUAAUUUGAAAGAAGCAAACCAAGCAGCAGCUCAAAAUUUCAAAAACAGUAAUAGUGAGCUUCCAAUUUUGCCUAGCUGAGGCAAAGUAUUCCUAAGUCAAAGCCUAGCAACAAGUUAAAGGAAUUGACAAGUUCUUGGAUGAUUAUUGAUUAAUCAGAUCAGACCAUAUCAAUUCACCAACCCACACUAUGAAUGUAGAAGAAACUCACAUUAACAUAUAAAAAAAACCACUCACUAAUGUUCACUAGAACAGAUAUUUUAAGAUAUGAUUUAUUUGAACCAAUACAAAAUGUUAUAUUCUAAAUGUAGCCAUGCGGAGAAAACUCGAAGUAUGAUUGUGUUGAGUUUAUAUAUGUUUGUGGAAAAACGUUAGAAAUGCUAUACCAGACAGUGUAUACACUCAUUUCAUUAUCAGGGUUCACAAUCUUUUCCUCACACACUGCAUACCUCCUCUCAACCGUCUUGCAUUGUUUUGUUAUAUCUAAGAAAAAUCAUGUCAAACCCCUUUUCAUAUUGAAAGUUCUACAACUAAUUCUCCCAAGUCAUUUGGUUAAAAGGAUGCUAAAAUGCAUAGAAUGAAAGUAUCUGUGGCCCAUCUCAAUACUCUACUCUCGCCAUGGACUCAUGUCUCGAUAUUAUUGCCACAGUUUUUGCAAAUCGCCAACACAUGCCCUAUCAGAUUCCUACUUGUAGUCAUAUGGCUUCCGUGAAGAGAUUUUUUAUAAAAUUGAAGGGUUUUUAUCCAACAAUCUGUCUUUUCCUGCUAGUAAAAUUUAAUAUCAUGCCUAUUUGGACUCUAAGGGGGCGUUUGGGAUUUAGAGUGGGUUAUUAUAAUCUGUGGUUAUUAUAAUCUGUGGGUUAUUAUACUCCAUGUUUGGGGUGCAAAGUAUUAUAGUUUAUUUUUUGGCAUAUAUAUAUUAGGUACAUGAAAUACCAUUUUUUGAAAACAUAGCUCGAAUUGUACCUUCCACUAAUUUAUACAAACUAGUUUAUUACUAGUUGGGAUACAUGUCUUCUACAAUUUUAUAUUAUAACAUAUUUUAUAGAAAUUGCUAUGUGAUUAAAUUAAAUUAUGUUAAUUAGGUUGUUCAUUUAAUAAAUUUAGUUACAAUCUUCAUAUACGACUAUUAACAAGUUCAACAAGUAGAUAAAAUAAUUUUGCAUGGAAAAUAGCAUAAGUGUAUUUUUAAAAAUAUUAUUAUAAUUAAACUAAAAAUGUAUUUGGAAUGACUUAGAAAAAGAUUUUUCAAAAAUUCGUUUUUAUUUAAACACUUUUGAUGAAAACUUCUUAAAAUAAAAACACAAUGUGUUUUAAAACAUUUUUUAGAAGUACUUGUAUAUACAAGUUUUUAUUUGUUUGUUAGAUACACUAAAAAUGUUUUUUUAAAAUUUUUCAAGAUUGAUUGGUGGCAACAGUUGCUGGAGUUGGUUUUCGAAAGUUUCCUGGUAGAGUCACUGAGAGUGGUGGUUGAAGAUUAGCCAACGACGAUCACUGAAGACUAGCCUAAACUCUAAAAAUAUUUUUAUUAAAAAUUUUCAAUAUUGAUUGGUGGCGACGAUCGCCAGAGUUGGUUGUUGAAAGUUCGUCGAUGGAGUCACUGGAGGUGGUGGUCAGAGAUUGGCCGAUGAAGAUCACCAAAGAUUAGCCUUAAACCCUAAAAAAUUUAUAAAAGUUUCAAGGUUGAUCGGUGGUGUUGAUUUUAUGGAAUCAAUCUAUAUUUCAUUAAUUACUUAAUAGAGAUACAAGCCUAUAUAUAACCAUAGAGAAAUACACUUAAGGAAAUAAUAUCAAAUAAUAUCUCCAGAAUAAUAUCUCCAGAAUAAUAUCUCCUAAGAAUAAUCUAAUUAUAUUAAUAGGUGGCAACCGAAGGUUGGUUGAUCGGUGGCAACCAAAGAUUGGUUGGCGAUGGCCGCCAAAGUUGGUUGUCAGAAUUUUACUAGUGGAGUCACCGGAGGUGGUAGUCGGAGACUGGCCAGCAAUGAUCAUCAGAGGUGAUGUCCGAAAGUUGGUCGACCAACUUCCCAGCUCUUGAAACAAAUACCCCUAGAAUUAAAGAAUAGUAAUGGCAUGUGAAUUGUUUUAAACUCUAAUCCUAAUCCUCAACUAAAACUAAACUUUGCUCCAAACAUGCGAGAUUGGGCUAAAAAGAGUAUUGAUGACCUCUCAACCACAGGUUGUGUGAAACUAUUGAAUCAUGAUGCAAUUUCCAAAGCUCUUACAAGAGCUCAAGCAAGGGGCUUAGCUAGCUUGGAUUGGACACUUAUUUGAAGAUGCUUGUGUUCCUUAAUUCUUCUGUUUCCUAAAAAGAUAAUAUUUAUCCUAGUUGCUAGAUCCGAUCUUUUUAAGGCCCAAGUCAUGUGAAAAGUGAUUCACUCUAGAGAAAGGUUGUGCACAAGGAUAGUUAUUAAAUAUUAUUACCGCUGCUCAUCAACCUACUGACACUUUUACUACCAGAGACUUGAAAGCAUUUUUUAUGUCUUAAAGGCAAGCCCAUGCUCUUUCUUACUUGUUGCCAUUUGUUGGAGGUGAAUUUUGGUUAGCCUAAUACAUUUGCAUAGCAUUUUAAGCAGUAAAGUCAGUAGGUGGACCUCAGAAUAAAAUUAGAACAUGCCAAUUUAUUGGGAUUUUAUAACAAUAGAAAUUUAAAUUGUUGGAGGAUUAAUCAAAAGAUAUCAUGUCAUCGACCUACGAUUAGAAUUGGAGAACCAGAUCACAUUACUUAAUUUAAGAAAACUAUUUACGUACGUUAGUAAUAUAGAACAGAUGUUUAUUAAAUUUAAACCAUUCGCCAGUACAAGAUAUUACCACAGGUUAAGACCUUAAUUGAAGAGUGGGCUUUGUCCUAUGAAGUAUAGCAACAUGGACAAAAAUGACGAGAUUCAAAAUGUAAGAUGGAAAGAAGAAUGAUAUAUCUUACCUCAAUCGCAAAAAGACCAGCAGAAGUUGGUUCCUCAAAACGGUUUCUGCUACUUGAGCUUGAUGGGUCUUCUAGCUUAGAAAUCCUCUUCCGCACUUUGUGCUUUCGCUUAUGAGCAGUGUCAUCACUUUUUCUAAAAUCAGAGGACAGAUCCUAGUUGGGAAUGACAGUAAAAGGGUUAACGAUAGGCACUAACUCUAGUCAUGUAUUGAACUCCUUUUUUCUCUUACGAUAACAGUGGUAGAGUCGAAAAGCCCUAGGGCUGUUACUUUAUUAAUGAUCAAAAACAGUUGUACAAAAGGGGAAGCCUUACUCUAUGUAGGAUUUGUUUUAGUUCAACAUGUGAGGCUGGAAUUCAAACUUAUGACCAUCAAUACUUCAUACUUUAUUCCAGGUGAGCUAUGCUCAUAGCACUCUUUUCAUAUAGGCUUAAGUCAUGGGAUUUAAAUACAAUGAUAUUAACCAUACUAAUUAACUAAUAACCUAACUGUUGAAGUAGCAUACCCAAGUUUGAUUACAAAGAGAACCCUGACAUUUUAAAUAUCAAACAAAUCAUAGCAUGUACAAAGAUCUAUGAAUGGUGUUUCUUUCAUAAAAAAAAAAAAAAAACAACAAUAUUAUUAAUAAUGAUAACAAUAAUUUAUGAAUGGCACUUGAACUUGGACUCAAGAAAACCAAUAAAGUCAUGAAUGUGAAGAAAAUAAUGUAUUUCUCACCACGAAAGGAAAUGUAAAUCGUUUAAAAGAUUCAGAUACUUAAUAUUUUCCCUGAAGAGUUUAAUCUAGACAUAUGAAUUUCAAGUUACAACUUACAACAAAAUAAUUUAUUGAUUAUUUCUAGCCACUUAAACAGCAAGUUUGUGCACAUAUCUUAAGAGAGGAAUGUCUCAAAUCACCUUAUCCAGCAAAGAAGAGCGGGGCAAGAUUGAAUCACCAAAAGAGCAUAUGUCUUUAAUACUUUGAUCUUCAACAUUUCCGUAAUUGUGUAACUUUUCAGAAAGCAGGUUAUACUUUUUGGCUGAGACAUAGCCCUUGUCAGCAAGAGGGAGUUUCAUUGACAAGGGACCUAUAGAUUGCCCACUGCAAGGAAUAAAAUCCACAAUUCAAAGAGAAAAAAUAUAAAACAAUUACAGGAUAUAUGCCAUAAAGCAAUGGUGGAAAUUAACUGAUAUGUAACCGAGCCUUAGUGAAAGCUCAAGAAAAGACAUGCAUACAUACAGACCAAAUGCAAAGGAAUAUAAAAGGAAGAACAGAUAAUCUGAGACAAAAGGUCAACAAUUUAUAAAUUCUAGUUAUCAUUUACUGUGAAAAAGAAAAUUAUAUAUUUUGCCAGGAUUAGGUACACAAGAAAUGAAAAGAUGGACUUCAUAAUUUAUUUUCGAGGGAAAAAAUAACAGAAGACUUUCCGGGUUUGACUGCAAGAGUUGCAUCAAAAAGUAAGAAGACUCGGAACAUAGGCAAUGAAUAAAAAUAAGCAGCACUUCUCUGGGUUGAUUGGAAAUGUAGAUUUUCGCCCUCAAUAUUUUUCAUGCAAUUUUUGUUAUUUGUUUAUUAAAUGUUACUAAUUGCACAUUUUCCAUCCUUGCCUUGAUGGUUAGAAAACAGAAAUCUUUUGUUGGAUCACAAAAUGGAUAUAUCAUUCUUAAGUCUUUAUACUAGUUGUAAUGUAAUUGGACAAAAGCCCCACGACAGAAUGUUAAUGCUUGAUGAUGUCUGCAAGAAACUAUAAUGUAAUCUAGAAAAAGUAACAAUUGACAAAACCUUUGGAGAAUGUAAGGACCUUCAGGGACACGCUUUCCAUGUUUGAUGCAAUCUUCAAGCCAACGAUGAUUGACUAUUAUUGUUCUAAACUUCUCAGCAAGAUCAAAUUUCCUCCCUUGUAAUUCCCAACAAAUCUAAUCACCAUAAGAAUGGACAAUAAUUAACAUCAUUUUUUAGCCUAAGAUUGCAGACGAGUGAUUCAUAACAGAUAGAUACUGCAAUACUAUACUCCAUAAAGUGUUUCAUCAAAUCCCCAUCCAAAACUCCAAACUUGUUCUGUUUUACACAUGCAUAAUCGCAAAACUCAUCUUAUUGGAAAGCAAUUGGUGAACUUCAGACUGAAUUGAGAACUAAUAAAAAAAAAAACCCACCAAAUGAGUAAUAGACCUUGACAUUGCACCCACAUAGCUAGCACCAGUAUAAGAUAUCAUCUUGAUAAGGUUAAAUCUUUCUGUGCCAUGGUAGCCACUAACAGUCACAACCACAGAUUCCAUGCCUUCAAUUGGACAGCCUACAGACGUCACAAAAAUCAAAGCACUAAAUCCCAGAGCAAAAGAAAUCUAUGGAGUAACAAAAUAGGCACAAACACAGUUUAAUGUUGCAGCUAGAAACUUAAGAAAUAGAAAGCUUCCAGAAGAAGUUUCAUUUUCUGAUCAAACGGAUGAAACAAAUAGAGUAACGAAAGCAGAUAUUCUAAGCUUGCAAACCCUACAAAACUAUAUUGACUGAAACAGGACGUUAUCAAGAUCGAGCGGAUACAAGCUCCGGCAAACCCUAGAAAGAAUAUAAUUAGCAAGUGUGUAGAAACAGAUGCAUGAAAUGAGAGAGAAUCACCGGGAAUUCGAUUAGGGCAGGAAAGAAUUGUAUUAGCGAGACCAUGGUCUUCCUCGUGCUCUUCUUCCUCCAUCGAACCCUCAAGAAAUUGCCGCGAAAAAUUAGAAAUAAAUUUGAAUUUGUGGGAUUUUAAAACAUAGAGGAAUUGGGAAGGAAAUUUUGGAUUAAUAUCGUGGAUUUUGAAAAUAAUUAUAGAAACAAUACUUUUGAAAAUAUUUAGAGAUUUUAGGGUAAUUUUGCAUCUCUCUCAUUUUCAACCCAAGACCUUGCUACCUUCAUUUUUUUCUUUCCGUUUUUGGAGUAGCAUAUCCUGAGAUUUGCAUCGGGACCUUUGAAUUUUAAAAUGGUACAAUCACUCCACCAAAAGCACGAAAAUGUGAGAGCACCUGUCCCAGACCCUUAAUAGAUCCACCCAUGUGUCUUUGUAUGUUUUGUUUUUUAAUUUAUGAUCCACCUGACUAAAUUAUCGCUUUCUUUAUAUAUUUUGUAAUAAUGGUUUUCAGUUGGAAACUCAAACUUUUUUUUUUAAACUGAUAAUCUAACUAAACAAACUACCACUUUAUUUAUUUAUUUAUUUAUUUAUAUAUAUUAAUUUGUCUUGUGUUCAAAACCUAACCUUUUAUGUAUUUUUUUUAUUUUUUUAUUUGUAAUCUAACUAAACAAAUUACCAACUUUUAUAUAUUGACAAUGGUCUUGAGUUCAAAACCCGAGUUUGUAUGUAUUUUGUUUUUAUUUUUAUAGUUUGUAAUCUAAUUAAACAUAUCACCAACUUUCGAUCUUUUUUAUUAUUUUUUAUUUUUUAUUCCAUCUAACUAAACAAUUAAUUUAAAUCAAACCGUAUUGAAAUUGAUAGAAAUUAGACAUGUGAAGCAUAAACCGGAUCUAAAUUCUACUCUAAUUCAACUUAAUUAACGAGAAAACCUAAACCAAAAAAACAAAUUAGGCUUUUUCUUAGGAUACUUACAUUUGAAGCUCCGAUUGUAAUUUGAACUACCACUAAGGUUGACCUACUAUCAUCUAGACUCAUAAUCGGAGUGUAGGGCUCGUUGGAAGAAAGAACCGGGAGAGAGAGAUGAAAAUGAAGAGAAAUUUGGCUUUCUAUUCUUCCUUUUUUUAAAAAAAAAUAGAGAUAACCAUGAGAAUAGCAAAAUAAUAGAGUGCAAUUUAGAAAAUGGCAAAUUCUCAGAAUAAUUUGAUUUUUAGCAAAAUCGCAUGUAGUAGAUUUUUUUUAUAAAUUUUCAACUGAUUUUACCCCUUGAUAGUCUGAAACUCAUUUUUUUCACUUACAGUGUAUUUGUGUAGUGUAAAAUAAUAUAAUAUAACAUAGAAUUACGAAAAUAAUGGAAUAUAACACAGAGUUAUGAUUAUAGUGUAUUUGCAUAGUCUAUAAUCAAGGCAUGUCAUGCAGAGAGUUACGACGAACACAUUAUGCGCGACGACUUGACUCGAUGAUGUAUUGCUCUUGCGUUAUACACACACAAAUUUAGUAAGUCCAUAUUGAAAUUCCAACCAAAUAGCUGGGGACAUAUGGUGUAAGACGAAAUUCGCUUCUAUCUACUUUAGGGUUAGUAGAUAGGUUGUUCCCUUAAGGACUGAAUCCAAGUCUUGAACAAGGGGCUUCACCCUCUCAUUGGCCCGAGAGGGAUUUAAUUUAUAGGUUGGACCUUAAACCAAUUGUGGAUCAGUGGGACUUAAGGAACAAGAUGUAAUCUUUGAGGUAAAACGGUAUUUUAACCUAGCCGAACUUAUAAACAACCUGUGAAGAAUUAACUUACUAAUCAUGAUUAUAUCAAAUGGAUACAAAUAUAUAUGUAUAGUAAGGGGAGUGCAACUAUGAGACUUUAGUGGAAUGGCGUGUUAGUUAACGAAUGUCGAUUAGCUUAGUCUAAAAGAGUUUAAUCAGUUAAUCUCGAAUUGUUGGAGCCCAUGAUCUAUAGGUCCAUUAGGUUCAUUUGCUAGCUCAUAUGGAAUAAACUUAGAAUAGUAUGAUGGAAUGAGUCGAAUUGUUUGAUUUAGGUGAAGAGAGAAAAAUUGAUAAGUAUAUAUGAUAUAGCCAUCGAUUACUAGUUUAGAAACAGAGCUUUAUGUUUAAAUAUAAAAAAUAUGAAUAUGGAUUCAUACUCCGAAGCUCAAAAAUAAUGGAAAUGACCAAAAUUGUAAAAAGUCAAAAGGUUUACUUUUGACUUUGAAAAAUCAAACUUUGACCGGCUAUAGAUUCAAAUGUGAUUUGAAUUUUGAGAAAAUUAAUGCGGAUUCAUGCUCGGGAGGUCGAAUUUAGUCAAGAUGAUUGAAGUUGUAAAAUGUCAAAAUGUUGACUUUUGACUUGGAAAAGUUAAAGUUUGACUUUGACUUGAAUAGUCAUUUGACCCAUUGACCAAAGUUAGUGGGAAAAUCCAACAUUUUGUGCGAUAAUCUCACUAACUUUUAGCGGGUUAUGUGGUGGCUCAUGGUAAUGAUACCAAGUCCACUAAGAGAAAAUGUAAUAGUGAAUAAAUCCACUAAAGGUUAGUGGAUUAUAAGGUGUUAGCCUUUGGUGAUUCCAUUACGUGCAAAUUUGUAUGUAAUUUAUUUAUAAAGGGAGAGUUUUUCAUUUUUUUAAAAAAACUUUUUGCCUUUUUAUGAUUUUACUUUAAGAAAAAAAAAAACCAAAAUUUCCCAUUUAUUCACCUUUCCUAAAUUUCCUUCACUCUCUCAAUCUAAUACUUCUUCUUUCGAGUUCCACAACCUGAUUCUUUGUCUAGAGGAUAAUAAGUGACUACUAAUGGUGGUCCUAGUUUGUGAUUGAGGAGUAGACAUUUCUUUCGAAACUACAAAGGUUAAACUUUCAAUAAACCCCAAUUCCUUUUACUUUAGAGUUGCAUGUUAAUUAGGUGCAAUUAAGGUAAUUUUUCGAUUCUUAUUUUCGUUGCGAUUGUCUGCUUUCCUUACAUACUCAACCUCAAAUGUGACUACCAAUUAAUAGUACAGCUACCAUAUGUAUGAUUAACAAAUUUAAAAAUGAAGUGAUAAACAAUUAAAUUUAACAAAUAUGUAUGAUUACUUAUUCAUUUAUGACAAUAAGUUUCAAUACCUCUAACACUUCUUCCUUUUUAGUUUUAUAUUUUUCAAUAGUGGUUUUACGAAUAACACUCCCUUUGAGACUCCAAUUAUUUUGGAAAUGUUCCAAACCUCGUAAUAGCAUAUGCUCUAUUAAGUUUGCAGUUUCAAAGUGGAAAUAAAAAUUAGGUUACAAAACAAUAGAACGCAACAAAAUAUAAAUAUUAGCAUUACUUUAGAUCAUUUUUUUCUUUGAGUUGGCACAAACAAUGAGCAGAUAAAACUUGAAAGCAACAAAAAUUUAGGACAACAAGUUUAACUACAAGGAUGCAUCUAUAUUUAUAAUAAAAUUGGAUUGUUCUUGAUUCUAGCUAUGGAACUUUAAAAGACAAUUUUUUAAUUAUAAUAAUCAUACGCAUUUAUUUAGGGUCUUUUAAAAAAAAAUAACAAAGCGGCAUAAUAUUUACACGCUAUAGAAAAUUUCUGAAACAGAAAAAGAACACUGGCACACAAUAAAAAAUAAAAAAAAUGUUUCAUAAUUAUUUUUCAUUAUAUUUAUGAAAAUUAUUCAUGCACAUAAUGAUUAUUUAUUAUAGGGAGGAUUUAUAUUUGUUUAUUAUUACAUUAUAAUGAAACAAAUAUUGAAAGAAUAAAUUAAAAUUAUUAUUUAUUACUAGCCAAAAAAAAUUGUUUAUUACAAACAACAUACGAACGUGUGUGAGGUUUUCUUUCAUUAUCUAGAAAGGUAAAUUAAAUGACAGUGACUUAAAAUUGACAUUAAAAUAUAAAAAAUAACCGUGGAUGACUUUUUUAUAAAUUAAACACAAUAUGUAGGGUAAUAUUGCAAAUUUAGAAUUUGGCCAGAGAUAAAAUAUAAUAAUAGGUAUAAUAUCAAAUCCAUUUUCUAAAUAUGGCUUAAAUAAAAGUGAUUUGGCUACCAAAUUCGUAUUUUUUCAAAAUUCUAUUUUCAAUUUAUAUAGCAAACAACCUUUUAUAAUAUGCUUUUGAAUUAAGGGCUAGAUUUGUAUUUUAAAGCUCUUUUCGUCUAGAUAACUUUUAAUCCAAACCUCUUUAUUCCUCUUUCAAUGUUUCACACCUCAUUUCCAUUUUGUCUUUAAUAUCGUACGCUUUCACACACUUAUCUAAUUUGUGUUAAUCUUGACUACACUUUAGUUCUCCAAACACAUAUUUAGAAUUUUAAAUAGGCUAUUUUCAAAUAUAAUAAAUCGAACCAAAAUAUUUACAAAAUAUAGUAAAAUAUCACAGUCUAUUUACGAUGAACCACGAUAGACUAUAGACACAGGUAGGUACUAGUCUAUCGUGGUUUAUGACAUUUUAAAAAUAUUUUCAGAAGUUUUGUUAUUUAAAACAAUUUUCUAUUUUAAGUUCAAGCAUGGAUAAUUUGAUUUAAAUAAAUAUUUUAUGUUUAAAUCUUACUUUGGUUCCUAAACAUUUUACAACGUAUCUUCAAACAUUUUAAAAAUACUUACUUUGGUACCUGUCAUUAAGAUUUCAUACACUUCUUAUAUUUAGAUUAUUGAGUUUUAUAUUAUCAUAUUACUUAAACCGAUAAAUAACUAAUAAAUCUUGUUAAUUUAUUCUAAUUUUUUUAUACCAACACAUUUAUCAAAUUUGUUAUUUUUUACUCAAAGUAUCUUACAUUAUUAUUUUUUUUAUUUUUCAAAUGGAAAUGUUGAUGGAGAAAAAAUGUAAAUAAAAUUGAUAUAUUGUUGAAAGUAAAAAAUAUAUAUAUAUAUAAAAGAAAGCAUAAGUUGUGUAUAAAUUAAACCCCAUGAAAUUACCUCUAGAUUCAUUAUUUAAUUAAUAUGAUUUAUUAAUUAAGUAAUAGGAUGAAUCUAAUGAAUCAUAACAUCCAUCCUAAAAAAUAGAAAGAAAGAAUUGGAAGGAAGAAAAAGAAAGAAUCAGAAAAGAUCUAACAUGAGUUGAGGAAAUGCAAGUGGAAGUGCAAGUGGAAGUGCAAGUGGAAGUGCAGUAGAAUAUAAAGGAAAAGUGACUUUUUUUUCCUAUAGUUAUCGGAUAAACAUAAAUUAACCAUGUGAUAUUUAAUUAAAAAUAUGCUAUUUAAAGAAAAUUUAGGAAUUAAACAAAAAAUUAAAAGAAGUUUAGUCCUCAAAAUUAAGAAUUAAAAGAAUAUUUUAAGGUAAGAUUAGCUUAAAAAUGGGUUAGAAAUUGAUUAAGAAGACCAGUGGUCAACCUUUUAUAAUUAUUUUUAUCCUUAAAAUAAAACACGUUUUUAAACUGAAUCCUCAAAUUUCAACCCAAACUCACCUUUAGGAGAAAAGGGAGAAAAAAAGAAAUAACACCGGGACAUCUCUUCCUCAAUCCGCCGGUGUCCGCCGUCGCAUUUUUCAGCAUCACUCACCGGAUAAUUAUACGUCAACUCAUCGUCGAUCAUGCCGGAAGACACCCUUCCCAUAGACUAUGUAAUGGAAGCCGCCUCCGGACCUCACUUCUCUGGCCUCCGACUCGAUGGACGUCUCGCCUCUCCGCCGUCUUCCUCAACUUCCUCUCCGGCUCACCGCUCUUCUUUUUUAUCUUCCUUUGCACAGGCCGAUACCAACUCUCCCAGGCAGCCCUUUGUCAUCGGUAAUUUUUCUAUCUGUUCUUUAUUACUCUGUGAGGGGAUUUGGAUUUUUAUGGAUGAGUUUUUCUUUUUCUUUUUUUCAUCUUCGCCAUUCCUCUUUUGUUGAUCCUCCAUUGAAACUUACAACUCUUUCCGUUUGGAUCGACAUCCUUAUAAUUGUUGCUAUUAUUAAUUUGCUAGGUGUUUCUGGAGGUACCGCUUCUGGGAAGACGACGGUGUGUGACAUGAUUAUCCAGCAACUUCAUGAUCACAGGGUUGUGCUGGUCAAUCAGGUUAGCUUCUUAUCUGCUGGAUCCUACUUAGAUUUUCUUCCGUUUCCUGAACUUCAUGGCUUUGCUGUAGGACUCGUUUUACCGCGGGUUGACAGCUGAGGAACUAGAACGCGUACACGAGUAUAACUUUGAUCAUCCUGGUAAUGACAUUAGUGAUUUUUUUUUUUUUUUUUUUUUUUUGUCUACUCUCAUUGUAAAGGAAAGCAUAGAGAUUCAAUGCUGUAUCAGCUGUAAAAUAUUUCUCAAAUGUAUGUGAUAACGAUUUGAUUGCUUUUAAACUAGGUGAUGUUGAGUAUAGAUAAACGGGGAUUAAGUUUUCCAUAAUCCAGUAGCAUAAGCUACUGGGUUUAGUUAUCAUUAUAUUCAAUAGAAACAGUACAUAAUA
rnacentral:lncRNA from 1 species